UAUUGUUGAUAGUGAAUCGGAUGUCAGAGGAAAGUUCCACAAUACCAAUUCUUUCAAAUUGGAAGGAAAAUGAAAAUCCCACGACCAAUUUGUCGCUAAAGAGGGCCCACUGUCAUUUGUGUUUGAACUUUCAAAAUCUGCUCUAAGGUAAUCUAGUUCAGUUAAGUGAUCCAAUUUUGGGAACCAAUAUCGCUCUUUUGAGUAAUCCCAUGAUUCCUUGAGAUCAAAUACAAGACUUUGAAGAUUGGGGAACCUUAUGAAAAUAUCCUCUGUUUCUUUCGAAAAAGAAAGCACGAGUGUCCUUAAAUCUCUCAAGUUCUCUAACUUUGAGUGCUCUGCUAUCAGUAUUGGUUCAUCUGUAUCCAUAUCAAUAUCAAGGAAAGAACAAGAAGUCAUGUACAACACUCGCAACUUUGCAAGAUCCCAAAUACUAGGUAAUAGUACCAAGGUUGAUCCUUUGUUUUCAACCCAUACGGUCUCUAGAUUCCAGAGGUUUGAGAAAGAUGAAGGCAGCGAUUUAACUUCUGUCCCAAUUCUUAAGAACCCAAAAUGAUUCAACAUGCCUAUUUCAUUCAGCAAAGAAUCUUUCACCAUCAUAACAGAGGGAUCGAAGUACAACACUCUAAGAAGCCUCAAGUCUCUUACGUGACAUGCAUCAGAAAGACGAUCUUCCAUCUCGUCUCCAAUUAUCAACAAAGAACAGAGGUGCUUACCAGAAUGCCUUUUCUUUUUUUAACUGAACAGGACGAAAUUGUUAGGCUCAAAGUGCUCCUUAUCAUAAUUAAUGGUCACUAUGCUUGCCAUCAAAUCUGAAGAAGAAGAUGGAUCACUUGAACUUAUCCUGCCAAACAACUUUUCCUCUCUUGCUUUUAUCAUACAAAAGUCUUGUACAAGAUCAUAUAGCUGGCAAGUCGGGUUAUCACCUAUCUCAUUGAAAGCAAUUAUCCAAGUAAAUUUCCAUCACUUCUUCCAAACUCUUCAUACCCGUCUGUUCAACAAGCCCUUCAGCACGCAAAUACAUUUUCAACAUAACUCUAUGCACUGCAGUGUCCUUUGGAAAAGACGCAUGGUAGAGAAAGCAUGGCUUCAUGUGAUGAGGUAAAUGGUCAUAACUUAAUUCUAUAACUUUCAUCACAUCAACUUCACUGCCGAAAAUAAUGGAAUUCAAAUUAUUUCAAACUUCAAGCCACACAGCCUUUUUCUUUUCCAAACCUGCAAUGACUCCAGCAAUCAGAUCAGCCACCAAAGGAAGUCCCUCACAAUUUUGGGCUAUUUCUUUUCCAACAUCCAAUAGUUCAUCAGGGCAACUCUGCUCUCCAAAUGCCCUUUUUUCUAUUAACUCCCAACAUUCUUCUGGACUUAGCAAUCAAAGAUUAAGAGGAUCAGUGUUGACCUUUCCAUGAAAAGCCACUUCCUUUUGUCGAGUCGUCAAAAUAAUUCUACUUCCUUUCUCAAGAUCAGGGAAAGAUCUUGUUAAAUCAUCCCAUGUAGUAGUAUCCCACACGUCAUCUAACACAAUUAGGUACCUCUUUCCAAACAGUUGUUUCCGUAGCAUAUCAGCAACAUCAAUAUCCUCACUGAACUUCAAAUCCGAGCCCUUCACUUGAUUAAAAAGUUUCUCCAACAACUUCUUCUCAUCAUAUUUUUGGUCGACUGUGCACCAUGCACGAAGGUCGAAAUGACUACAAACUGAUUCGUCAUUGUAUACUUUGUACGCCAAAGUAGUUUUGCCCGAACCCGGCAUACCAGUGAUUGAAAUGACAUCUAGAUUUGCUGGUCCGCUGGUGAGCUUCCUAAUUAACCAGUUUGUCUCCUCCUUAAAACCUACAAUUAUUUUACCAGUUGUCAAUGAUUUUCUUUCAGCUGGACUCUUGGGAGAGUUUACAACAAUGAGGGUCUUGCUCUUGGGAAUCUUCUCCAGCAAUUGGUAGACAUCUUCUUUGAUAAGGUUGAUCUUUUUUAUGGUGAUGGGAAGUGAGAAAAUAAGAUGUAAGAGACCAUUAUCUCGUACAAUAAUUGAAUCAAUGACAUCUUUUGCCUUAUAUGCCACAUCUAAAACACGUGCCCAGAGAUCUUUAUACAAUCCUUGCUCAACAUUCACAAAGAACGAUCUUAUGAAUUCGAGAGCUUCUUUCACCAGUCUAAUGUCAUCCUUUAUCAAAGCAAUUGAAUAAGCAUUGGACUCUAGCAGAUCAUUCAAGUGGAUGAGUAGAAGACGCAUGAAGAGCGGGCCAUCAUUCAUAGGGAAGCAACAUUGAUAUGAGUCCGGAGGUUUCAGAUAAACAUGUCCAAAAUCUUCCUUGAGGAGUUCCAUUUUUUCUUCCAGCGAGUCUACAGUCGCACGACAUGUUUCAUCGGUACUCUCUUCAUUCCUUGAUUUUUUUUCUAAGUCGUGAACGAGAGUUGAUACCUCCCUGAUAAGUGCUCCAACACGUGCCAAAAGAUCAAAUGAUUUGUCGUGAUGAAUAAAGUCCUUCGGCAUAUCAGUAAGAACAAUUAAAAGGAACUCUAUCAUGACAUGAAUGUUUCGAGCCCCUGGAGUUGUAACGGUAAUGACAUUUACCAUGUGCUCUUGUAGAUGAAUCAGAUACUCUCUAAGAAUGUCUGGAGAGAUUUCCAGGAGAUUCUUAAUGAAGCGUCCAACUUCUGCUGAAGUUAAAGGUUUCAAAUUUGUAUAACAUAUUUGCAUUACCUCCAGUUCAAUUGGAAUAAUCUUCAUGAGUAGAUGUGCUAGCUUGAAGAGUCGAGAAUCUCCAUAAGUUCGACUAUUCCAAAAGAAGAUUCCAACUCUCUCAGCCAUGAGUUGAAACUGAGGCGAGACAUAUAGAACAAUCUCGUGCUCAACGCAACCAUUCACCAUCAAUCCAUGGAAAUCUUUCAUGUUGCCAGACACUUUCUGAAGAAUCUCAUACUGAGUCUCUAAUGGAAAACUCUGUUCAGCAGCAUACUUGGAUAGAUAAUGGAGAUUCAAGAGGAGGAAGUCCAACUGCUCGUCAGUCAUGGUGGCACUUGAUGUAGAAUGAUGACACAAGCUGAUACAAUCAUCGAUAUUAUCCACGAGGCUAGGAAGGACAUGAUCCAUGUUGUGUUUACACCCGACGUUGUUGUCAACAUCAUCCAAAAUUGGUCGAAGCAGAUUCUCAACCGCUUGUCUUGCCUCACUCAUUACAUCUUCAAAAAAUUUCAAAUCACAAUGAGAAAGCUGGACGUACGUACAAAUAAAUGUCAGCAUCGAUUUCAGCUCUUCAAUUUGAUUGGCCAUGUUGACAGCAUUUUAACCUCCUUCAUUCUUUAACCCCUCCAAGAAAUCCAGAACGUUGACAACGUCCUUGCGAAGAGCAGAAAAUGACACCUGCCAAAUGACCAAGCCAUUGUUUUAUUUAUUUUCUAUAUUUAUCAGAAUAUCAAGUAAAUAAGCAAACCCAUUAAAUUGAAGUCAUGCAUGUAUUGAUUUUCAUAUCAGGAAGGAAAAAUUUAUACAUUGAUUUUGCACGAUUGUUGGGUUUAUCAACAGUUUUGGUGCUUCAAAUGUUCUAUCACUAAAGGCAUAUAUUUUUCUUGCAAUUGGACUUUUGAAAAGAACUUAAAAUAAUUUUUAAUGUGGCCAUAAUUUUUAGCUAAUGUUUUAUUCAAAAUCUCUUGAAAAUCUCAUGAUAAAUGAUACAUUGUAAAUCUCUCAAGAAUUUUUUUAGUUAUCAUUUAAUUUUUUCUUCACCCACCUAAUUAAUAAAUCUUCAAUAUUGCUCUUUUUCCGCAAUGAUAAAAGAAAUUAGAUGUCAUUUUCAUCUUUGAGCUGAAAAUUAUGAAAAAAUAAUAGUGAAAAGUCAUUUAAAGGUUAUAUUUGUGUUGUUUUGAAUAGUGCACCGUCAAAAUUUAAGGUCAAAGUUAUAAUUUAGUGUCAAGUUUAGGGUCAUAUUUAUGUAUUAUGCCCUUAGAUUUUAAGUUGGACGCGCCCAGUUUUGCAUGUUGAACACGCAUUUUACCACGUAUGAUCGGGGGUCAUAUUUGUGCAGUUUUGAAUAGAUAAAGGUCAUAUUUGUGCACUGUCAAAGUUUAAGAUCAAAAUUAUAAUUUGAUAAAGUUUUGGAUCAUAUUUAUGUAUUAUCUCAUUAUUUUUCUAAUUUUUUUUUUGUUAAAAUAAAAAGCCACAUGGAUUUAGCCACAUGGAUUUAAUUAAACGAAAAUUUGCCAGAAUAACCCCCUCUACUUUCAAAACUUAUAUACAUCUAAUCUCCAUCUUUCAAUAAUCUGAACCAAAAUUUGACCUUUUAUUGAAUUGUAUUUUCAGGAUAAUUAACACAUAGUUCAAUAACUUAAAUGGAACAAAAGUUUAAUUUUAUGACCAGAUACAAGUAGUAAAGUUCAUUGAUUUUAGUGAGUCAAAAUUAGUUUAUAAGUGACUAAUUAACAGAUACAUAGAUAAGUAAAGUUCAGUGAUCAUGACAUACCUCAAAAUUAUUUGCUUUCCCUUUCUCCGGAUCUGAUGUAUUAAAAAAGUAGAUAAAAACUUCACCAGAUGAAAAAAGAAGAAGCAUAAAAUUAAUUUCUUUAUCAUUUUUAUUUCUACAGAUCUUAAUACCAGAAUUAAACAAAGUAAAUUUAUUAGAGACUAACCUUUAUCACUUAAUAAAAGUAUGUUUUUGUGUACUCUCCAGAAAACUAUUAGCUUGAAAAAUGAAAAGCUGAAAAUUAGAAGAUAAGAGAGAACAAAUGAUUGAUGUUAGGUAGAAAAUGAUGCAUAGUAUUUCCAAAAAAGUUUAUAAAGCAAAAGCAAAUGGGGCCUCUACUCAAGUGGGAAUAAUAAUAUGCAAUAGGGAAUAUUGGCCAUGAAAUUUUUAUUUUUUUUUAGAUAAGUAUCCAUUAUCUUUCGAACUAUGAUCAAAGCUGCUCCGAUAUAUUCCUUCACAGGAGUUAUAUUAUCCCUGAAUUCAAUUUUAACAUAUUUUUAUCGCCCAAUGUGGCACCUUUAUAACAUAAAAUGAGGCUCACGUUAAUGAUAUUAUAUCAGCAAAAAAAGUUGACAAAAGGUGUCACGUCAGUUAAAAAGAUUGAGAAAAAUACGUUAAACUUUAGUUCAGGAGGGUAAUAGAAUCCUCGUAAAGUUGGAGAAUGUCGUAGCGAAUUUGAUCAUAGUUCAAAAGUUACUAGGUGUUUUACUCAAAAGAAUACAUAAAAAUCAUAACAAGAAACAAUUUUGACAUCCAAAGUCCUAACUGAACCAUUGAAAACGUCAAUAUCUAUCCACCCAACGUAGAGAGUUUGAUUUCAAAUCUUAUGAUUUAUUAACCUCUAUGUGAAAUCUUUCCUUCUCCCACAAACUCUUUCAGUUGUUGGAUGCACAAAAUAACCUAGUGGAUGAAAAUAAUUUCUGUACGAAAAAGUUAAAGAAAAAAAUGGUGCAUGGUAUUCCAAAAAAGUGAAUCUAAAAAGCAGAAGCAUUAAUCAAUUUCAAUGAGGCCUCACUUGUUUGCCACUAGGCCCUCGGCAUAAAAUAUCAAAAAUUAAAUUACCGAAUCGAAUUUAAAAAAUUUGAUAAUUAGUAUUCGGUAAUUUGAUAUUUGAUAUGAUAUUUGGGAGUAAAAUUUCAAUAUUUUGGUAUUCGAGAUUGAAUUUGGUACAAGAUAUUAAUACCGUUUGGUAUUCGGUAUUUACCGAAUAAAUAGACAAUAAUAUUAGUCAUCCCAAAGAAUCUUUUGGACCUUGGUAAUAUAUUCAUAAAAAGCAACAAAACAAAAUACUAAAUAGGGUUUCUAUUAAAUAUACUCUUUGAAGUUUAAACGUACAUGUGCACAUGUCCAACUUUAAUAUGGUAUUACCAAAUACCGUACUUAACCAAAGUUUAAUUUACCGAUUACCGAACUGAUGUUUAUAAGUAUGUUAUAUGAUAUCUAUGUUCAAAUACCGAUUAUCGAAUUAUCGAACCCAAACUUUGAAAAUACCAAAUCGAAUACCGAACGCCCACCCCUAUCUGCCACAAAGUCUAAAAGGAAAGAAAGUUAAUCAGACUUUUAAUACUGCUCACUUUGUAUGAGACUUUAUUAUUAAAAUUGUUUGAAAGUUAAUCGGAUAACAAUUCUAAUAGAGAAAGUGUAUUGAAAAAAUUGAGUAAGAGCAAAUCAGAAAUGCAUGUAAGGAUGUGUACAAUAGGCACUUGUGAUUCAGCCUUCUUAGAUUUUGUGCAUAACGGGAACUUACUACCUACAUAUGAGAAAAUUAAAAAUAUAUUUUUCUCCAUACCAAACACACCCUUUACUUAUAAGUAGAGAUUGUUUUCUGGAGUUGAUUCAUUAAAUGGUCAGAAAAUCACUUACUUUUUGAAGAAAAUUGAAAUGAUUUUCUGAGAUAAUAACUACUCUCUUCAUUCAUUUUUGCUCGUACAACAUAUUGAAAAUAGAUGUCCAAUAUUUCUUUUUCAGUUUGAAAAAUCAAUGAAUAGUUUACUAAAAAAAGAAGUUUAACGCUAAAAUAAUAAGCAAAUAGACGAGUAUUGAUAAUAUAAAUAUCCAUAUCAAACAGAAUAAUGUUUAUAAAAAGGCCAAAUCAAUGAAAUUAGUUUGUUUAGUUGAUGACUAUAAUAACUUGAUAACAUUUGUGUGGAGGAGAAGAUAAAGAGAGAAGGGUUAGGUAGAAAAAAUUCCUUAAAUCUGGUGUAAAAAAGAAAGAAGCAUAAAAUUAAUUUCAUAGCAGUUUUUGCACAUAUAAAUAAGUCAAUUAUUUUUUGUCGACUUCAAUGAGUAAAAUUAGAGAUGUGAGUAACAUAAUUAAACACACUAUAUUUUUAAGUUAUUAGUAGAGACUAACCUUUUUAGUUGAUGAAAUAUCUGAAAUGGCUGCUCUUUGAUUUUGUGUAUGACUAUAUUAACUUGAUAACAUUGAAUGGAGGAGAAGAUAAAGAGAAAAGGAUGUGCGGGUAAUAAUAGGACACCAAAUUAUUGAUGUUAGUAAGAAAAUGUAGAUAGCUUGCAACUAUUAUAUAUAUGUUGCUCGGAUACUUCAAAAAUGUUAUUACGCUAAUGUCGGAUUCUUCGAAAAUACGCUACUUUUGGAGGAUUCAAUAUGUACCCUUCGACAUUAUUGAAGAGUUUGAACUACAUAAUUUUUAAGAAGGUAUGUAAAGUGUGACUGGGUGGUGUUGCUCUUUUGACUCUGGUUACCCUAUUGACAAAAUUUCAAGAACAAUAUGAUCCUUUUACUUACAGGACUUAGAUGUCUCAUAUUUUUCAAAAAAGUGAUUAGAUUGAUACGAUUUGGUAUGAGAUCGAUGAUCUCAAUGAGAUUGAUAUUCCAAUCUUUCUUCUUACAAAGUAUUGAUUUGACCCCUUAAGCAGAAUCAAACAUAUUGCCUCUAAAAGGAGAACUUAAUAUUUCUUUUAGAGAAUCUCCUAAUUAUUGCAGAGCAACUAGAAAGAGAUUCUUUAACUAGAAAGAAUUAGGUCCAAAUGUAGGAUACCUAUCCAUAAGUUUUCGCAACUCAAUCAUAGAUGAUGGAAUCAUAAAAAAUUUGACAGUUUUGAUCUACAGGCAACGCUUUUGACUUUUGACCAUAAAGGUUUGCGCAUGAGGCAAGUGAAGUCAAAAGUCCAAGACUACUUGAUUAUUAGGUAUAUCAAAAGUAGCUAAAUUAUGGCUAUCAAGCAUACCAGUUUCCUAACUAAAUUAUCACCAAAUGUAUAUCACAACUCUAUGAAUUGUUUACUUUUCUAUCAUCAGGUCCCAAAAAAAAAGAGGAACAAAUGAUAGUUGAGGCGUAUUUUGAUAAACAUUUUGAUAAUAGUUUGACUAGAAAACUAGCAUAAUGAAUAGUUUAGAUAAGAAACUCGAAAAAAUAGGAUAUUUUAGACGUGGCGUAAUUUAUGUACAUACCUCUAGUCCACUUGGAGUAAUUUUCAUGAGUAGAUGAGCAAGCUUGAAGAGUAUUGAGUCUCUUUCAAUAUCAUGCUUUUUUAUAUACAUAAUAUGAUUUUUCUAUGAAAAAGUAAUAAUUGGCUAUCUUUCAUUAAUAGGUAACAUUUCUUAUUUUAAAAAUUGAAUUUUCAAAUUUCCUGAGACCCAUCACGAGAUCUGAGCGAAAAUUGACCAGCGGCCCUCCGGCGGACUAUGAAGCGGAUCUGAGUGGUCCGACGGGACCACCUAGUCCACUUGGGUGGUCAAAUGGACGAAACGGUGAGAACCGAGUAAUUUUUGGUCUCUUUCGAUGGGUGUACGCCCACGGUUUGGUGGAUGGGCCUAGGGCCCAACACAGGAUUUGGAUGAAAAUAGAUUGGUGCCCCCCCCCCCUCCCGGCGGCCUGUGGAGUGGAUUAAGUGGUCCGACAAGGCCGCCUAGGUCAUUUGGGUUGUCAAGUGAAACGGUGCGAACAGACCAUUUUUGACCAUUUUCGGUGGGUGUUAGCUCAAGGUUUGGCGGAUGGGCCCAUGUCCCGAUGUGGGAUCUGGAUGACAAGGUUACGAAUUAGACACUUAAAAAAAUUAAGGAUAAAAUUAUUUUGUGUCGAGUACAUCAAAGAUAUAUUUAGCGAUUUUUUUGGAUAUAUCACAUUUUUUGAAUACAUCACUUAAUUUUACAAGGAUAUAUGACAUUCUUCAGUGAUGUAUUCACACUUUUAAAUAAAAUCAAGGAUUUAUGUAAUUAUGUAAAAAAAGGUUAGGAUUUUAAGCAGUUAUGAUAAGAUAAGUAAGUGGUAUUAAGUGGGAAUUUUAAUUUGCACACAUUAUUAAUUUUUCAUUGAGAAUCUAUAAUCUAUAAUAUACAAUAUAUAAUAUAUAAUCUAUAUCUAUAAUCUAUCAUAUAUUAAAAGUGUAAAGACCCUUAGAAAAGUGAAUUGAACGUUUUGCCAUUCAUUAAAAGUCACCGCUUUAGAUAAAAUCAUUUUUUCGCUAUUUUUUUAUUAUUUUAAUGAUAUUAAAUAUUGACUAUAGUAACAAAUAAAAACCUUCCCAAACAAAAAUAAGAUAUUGUUUUGACAAAAACCUUUCCUGGCUAAAAUAGAAUCAAUCAAAAUUUAAGAUUAUAUUUUCUACAAAUUAUUUUCUUGAAUUAAAUAUCACAAUUAAAAUACUUGAAUACUAAAUCUUUUCUUAUAUUCUUCUUCUUUUCAUGUUCUUUUUCUUCUUUUCAUGUCAAAUAAAUAUAAGGAAAGAUUAUAUUGGACACAUGAAAACAAAAGAAAAAAUUAUAUAGAGAUUUAUGAUAGUAUUUACUAAUACUGACUUUCUCAAGUAUAUUUAAUGUUCAGGAAGAAAUUACUAGUACAAAAGAAAAUGUUCAGAAAGAAAUUUUAUGAUCUAGUAUAUUUAUGAUAUACUUACUAAAAAAAAUAAUUUUUGAAUAUCGUAUUAGUAAGUAUUUCAAAAAAUUUAAAAUUUAUUUGAUAAUUUAUUUGUUUUAUUGUUAUUCAAGGUUUAUUUAAUCUGGAGAAAAACUUAUCUUAAAAAUUAACUUCUAAUUGAAGAAGUUUUAUUUUCUCAGGGUUUUUAUGCACUCCUUUAUAACAUUGGCUUUUCAUGGAAUAAUGAGGGAAUAAUGCAAAGACGAUAAAUGUUGGUAAUAGUUCAUGUAAUAAACUAAAAAUAUUGAGAUAUUUUAUGCGUGUUUUUGACCCUUCACUUUUUUUCAUAAGUCAUCAUAAGAAUUUUUAAGUUGUUUGUUGAAUAGGGGGAAAGAGGGAUUUGAAAAUCUCAUAAUUUAUUGUGGACGAUCAUUUAAAUGUAUAGAGCAAUUGGUGAAAGAUAAGGUAGGAAAUUAAAAAUUUUGAGAUACUUUAGGUUAUGUUUUUGACCCGUCGCUUUAUUGAUCAUAAAUCAUCAUAAUAAUUUCGAAGUUGUUUGUUGAUAGAGGAAAAAGAAAGAGUGAUUUGUAGUAUGAGAUCUCAUAAUUUGUUUCAGACUUACACAAUCAUAUAGAUGUAUAGAACGUUUGGUGAAAGUUUGGAUAGAGAACUAAAAUAAUUGAGAUACUUUAGGUUAUGUUUUUGACCCGUCGCUUUAAUGAUCAUAAAACAUCAUAGUAAUUUUGAAGUUGUUUGUUGAUAGAGGAAAAAGAAAGAGUGAUUUGUAGUAUGAGAUCUCAUAAUUUGUUUCAGACUUAGACAAUCAUAUAGAUAUAUAGAACGUUUGGUGAAAGUUUGGGUAGAGAACUAAAAUAAUUGAGAUACUUUUUGUGUAUUUUUUAUUCUCACUUUAUUUAUACAUCAUUAUAAUAAUUUUCAAGCUAUUUGUCAAUAGAAAAAAAGAGUAGUGUGUUGUAGUAUGAGAACCCAUAGUAAUUUCGAUAUGAAACUAAAAAAAUCUAGAUAUUUUAGGUGUGUUCUAAGUUACUAAGGAAAAGUGGAGGACAAGGACAAAUUCGAAUAAAAUCUCUAUCGAUCCUCAAGUAAUGAAUGUUAAGCCCAGAUUGACGAAUGACAUUCCAACUAAAGUAAUUAAUUUCUACAAUUACUUUAAGAUUUAUCUUUUAUCUGAUUUGAUUUAAAUAGAAGAAAUUUAUUAGCUAGUCAUUUUCAUCCUUUUAAAUACACCCAUAACCAACUGAAUACAAAUUUAAAUUACUAAAAGAUUUUGCUAUUCAAAUUUUGAAGUGAAAAAUUGACUUGUACCCUACAAUUCUGUUGUAUUUGAUCUAAGUAGAUUUAUGAUGCAAAUAAGAUUUCAAUGCUUCCUUCAGUUGUCGUAUAUAGACUAUAAAGCAUAUUUUUUCUUUGAUAAAGUUGAGUGCAUUAUAAGAGAAUAGCUAUUUUAUCUAUGAAUGUGGCCAUGAUUAUCUAAGAUUUGAUAGGAAUAAUUGACAUAUUUGGUUGUUAGUAUUAUUUGUCUAACUACAUUAUUUUACAUACCCGUGAAAUAAUGGUUUAUAUUAUAUUUAUACUAUAUUAACAGUGUGAAGACCUUAGAAAUAUUAUUUGAUUUUUUGUCCUUUAUUAAAAGUCUCUGCUUUAGAUAAAAUCAUCUUUUUAUUAUUUUUUUAAACAUUUAAGAGUUGAAAAUUAAUUAAAUAUUUAUGAUAAAACCUUUUAUUAAUAGAAGUAAUCAGAAUUAAUGAUAACUAAUAUCUUUUUCAUUAAUUUAAGAAUUCGAAAUCAACUAAAGUUGAUUUAAAGAAGGUUUGAAAAAUCUAGAAAUAAAUAAGUUUGAAAAUUCUAGAAAUAAAUAUGAAAGCAAUAAGAAAAGUCAAAUUUUGAAAGUUUUAAGUAAGUAAUCAAAGAUUUUCUAAAUAUUUAACUUUAAAAUAAGGAAAGAUUUUAAAUAUAGAUAAAUAAAAAAAGACUAUCGUACUACAAAUAUAGUUCAAGUCGAUGUCUCUCUCUUACCCUCUAACAGCAAAGAAAAGAGGUACCACAUGACAAACGCAAAAGUGACGAUCCAUUAACCACUUGAAACUUUUGGUAGUAUAUGUUAUAUUUACAUUACUAUAUUAAAGUGUGAAGGAUAUUUGAGAAGUGAUUUGAACUUUUUGCAUUUUACUAAACAUCUUCGCAAUAGAUAAAAUUGAAGCGUAUUACAACAAAUUUCGUCAAAGAUUAGGUAUAUUUCGAAUCCUUUUCCCUUUAAGAAACUAAAAAUAUACCAAAACAUUAUAUUUAAAGGGUCAAAAUAGACAUUACACACAUAAAUAAGUAAACAAUUUUGGCUUUAUAAAAAAAAAAAACUUAUUAUUUCAAUUGAAAUUUUGUAGAAGUAGAAUCUUGAUUAAAAAUAAAAAUAAAAAAUCCUCCAUAGUUUAGAUUCCUUGGAGUUUUGUCAGAAGUACUAGGUAUAUGGGGUUCCUCCAUUUUCAACACUUAUGACUUUGCAACUCCAAAAAAACAAGAAUCACCUUUUACAAUCUACUUUAUAGGUAGUUUACUUUAAGUUUUGCUUCAUUUUUUGUUGUGUUUCUUGUUUAUUCUUUGUUAUUUUUACGAAAUAUGUAGUGGGGUUGUGCUAAUUUGGGUGAAUUCAAUGUUUAUUCUUUGUUAUUUUGCUGAAAUAUGAAGUGGGGUUGUGCUAGUUUGGGUGAAUUUAAUGAGCACAUCGUUCUUUUUGGGUAUUUAAGGGGCAUUACUGCAAGUUUUGGUUCAAGAUUUGAUUUUUUGCUGUGUAUUUCUGUUUGUUUUUUUGUUAUGUUGAUGAAUUAUGGAAUGGGGUUGUGUUAGUUUGUUAUUCCUUUCUUUUUUAACCCAUCUCUAGCUCCAUUAGUGACUCGAACUCACAAUCUUCGGUUUGGAAGUGAGGGGUGCUUGCCAUCCGAGCAAGUUUGUUAUUCUAUUUUGGGUCAAGAUUUGAUUUUUUGCUGUGUAUUUCUGUUUGUUCUUUGUUGUUUUUCUGAAAUAUGAAGUGGGGCUGUGCUAGUUUGGGUGAAUUUAAUGACCACAUCAUUCUUUUUGGGUAUUAAGGGGCAUUACUGCAAGUUUUGGUUCAAGAUUUGAUAUUUUGCUGUGUAUUUCUGUUUGUUCUUUGUUAUGUUGAUAAAUUAUGGAAUGGGGUUGUGCUUGUUUUUUUUUUUCUUUUUUUAACCUCUCCCUAGCUCCUUUAGUGACUCGAACUCACAGUCUUCGGUUUGGAAGUGAGAGCUGCUUGCCAUCCAAGCAACUUUGUUAUUCUGUAUUGGUUCAAGAUUCGAUUUUUUGCUCUGUAUUUCUGUUUGUUCUUUGUAAUUUUGUUGAAUUAUGGAAUGGGGUUGUGCUAGUUUGUUAUUUUUUUGUCUUUUUUAACCCCUCUCUAGCUCCCUUGGUGACUUGAACUCACAACCUUCGGGUUGGAAGUGAGGGGUGCUUGCCAUCGGAGCAACUCCGUCUUGUCUGCUAGUUUGUUAUUCUGUUUUGGUUCAAGAUUCGAUUUUUUGCUGUGUAUUUCUGUUUAUUGUUUGUUAUUGUACUGAAAUAUGAAAUGGGGUUGUGCUAGUUUGCUAUUCUUUUCCUUUUAAACCCCUCCCUAGCUCCCUUGGUGACUCGAAUUCAGGACCUUCGGGUUUGAAGUGAUGGGUGCUUGCCGUCCGAGCAACUCCGUCUUGUCUACUAGUUUUUAUUCUGUUUUGGUUCAAGAUUCGAUUAUUUUGCUGUGUAUUUGUGUUUAUUCUUUGUUAUUGUACUGAAAUAUGUAACGGUUUUGUGCAAGUUUGGGUGAAUUUAAUGUCCGCAUCAUUCUUUUGGGGAAUUUAAAGGACAUUACUGCAAGUUUUGGUUCAAGAUUUGACUUUUUGCUGUGGAUUUCUGUUUGUUUCUUUGUUAUUUUGAUGAAUUAUGGAAUGGGGUUGUGCUAGUUUGUUAUUCUUUCCUUUUUAACCCUUCCCUAGCUCCCUUGGUGACUCGAACUCACGACCUUCGGGUUGGAAGUGAGGGGUGCUUGCCAUCCAAGCAACUCCGUCUUAUAUACUACCAUCAACUUUUAUGGUCUGACUUCUCGGUGCUUCGCUAUAUUUUGAUCCGUUACUGCUUCAUAAAUGCCACAAUAUCAUUCUUUUUGGGAAUCUAAUAUCUAUGAAUUAAAUAGAUCCAAAUAGAUACAUAGGAUGAUUGAGUUGGCUACAUAGGUGGUUGAUUGAUUCUUUUUCAAGAAAAAGGAAAGUAGUGUCUAGAAGGGAAGUGAAGCCAUUGUUGAAGGAGAGAGAUGGCGGAUAGGUCUGAAUUCGUACGAGUUACAGGACACAGAUUAACAGCAAGUGCAUUUGCUAUUCCAUCCUUAAAAUUCUCUCUCUUUUUUAAUGUAACCCGUUAGACGAACUUGCUAGGAGAAAUUAAUUAGAGUUUCCGAGCUAAGAUGUUAUAUGAAGAGUGUAUCCAGUCAAUUACGGCUAGCAGCGCUGCAUUUUCUCUCAGAUAUGGAUUUUGCGUGACUUUGCUUCAAUUUUUAUUACUUCCCCAAACCUGUUGACUUUCUGGGGAGAAGUGGGAUCAGGAAACCAACAAUAAAUCUGUGGGUUACCGUGCCGACUUGCAUCUGUUGGAUUUUGUUGACGGAAAGCUUUCUCUGUACUAAGGUUUACAGAUGUCUUUGGCUUAUGGCUUUUUGGUGCAACUUUCAGGAUGUAAAGAAUGAAAACAGUAUGUUCGAUUUCAGCAAUUCACUACAAGAAUAGAUUUCUGUAUAGACUGCGUGCCCCUCUUUUGUUCUUGCAUGGGGGGAUAUUCUGCUUUGUGCCUACAGAGAACCUUCUCAGCGCUUUGCUGUUUAUCUCAAUAUAGUUAAUUGCCGGUUGUGAAAAAAGAAAAUCAGAUUAGGUUCUUUCUGUUGUGUAUCCCUUCCCCCCCUUACUUUUGGUUUUCUCUGGGUAACAAGAUUUAUGUUCUUCAAUUUACAAAAGGAAUUUCAUGAAGAAUUUGUUUGAAAUUCAUCCACACCUAUUCUUAUCAACCUUGCAAUACCAGGCUCGACCAAAUUCUUUUUUUUGUUACUUUUUGUAUAUUAUUUAAAAUUUUACCAUAUGUCAUAUUUGGCUAGUAUUUUCUCAUUUAUCUGUGUUCUCUUGUUGCAGGUCAGUUCUGAAGUUGGAUGUCUGAUUGUGCUCGACAGAGAUAUAAAGGUGAAGUUAAGAGAUAAAACUUACAUUGACAUUGAUGAACUAUGCCUGUUUUUGGUUAUUUUCUUCCUUAGUGUCUAUGUUGCUCGGACUCUUCAAAAAUAUCAGCGGGUGCGUGUCGGAUUCUCCAAAAGGAGUGUACUUUUGGAGAAUCCGACACGGGUGCGACAUCGAAAGUAAAGAGUCCGUGCAACUUAGCUUAGUGUUAAAAGCCAAAAUAAGUCCAUGCCACGUUUCAUGUUCACUAAUGCUUUCCCUUUUGUUCCAGCGCUAUUUUGUUUCAGUGCUAAUGGGGGCCAAGCGCACAAGAUUACAUGGUGAAAGUGACGACUGGAAAAAGUAUCCAAUUCCACCUGGUUUUGAAUCGCCAAUGCCCUUCACAUUAAAGGAGGUAGAAAAUAAUGAGAAAGCCUGUAAAUUUGUCGCUGUUGGGAAUGAGUCUGAGCAAGAUCCCAGCCAGGCGGCAUCUACUUCAACAAUUAUUAGCGUAGGAAAGCUUAAGAGUUCUGUUAGGUGUAGGCCUUGGAUACUUGAUGAUGAUGUUGAUCACAUGGAAGAAGAUUCUGGAUGUGAAGCUGAUAAGGUUAGUAAGAUUUUCAUAAUUUUUUCUCAUAAAUCCUGUUUUAAUUUCCAUUACAGUAUAAACAACGCUACGUCUGUUGUUGUAUGCUUAGUAUAAAAAAAUUAAUAGUAGAUUUCAAUUAAAUUGAUUAUGCUAUAAGUUUUGAGCUUGUGUCACCUUCAAUAUCCCCUCGUGCUUUUUUUUUAUUGAGAAGGCAUGAAAAGAAGAGUGAAUACCAUAGCUGAUGCUCCUGGUUUGAGAGGAUGAGAUAAACAUAUCUGGUGAGAGAUGCAUAUACAGAAAACUAUUUUUGUGCUUUACCGAGGAUUAUUCCUGUUGAUCGUAUGCAUCCCUAUAUUUUUUGGAACAAGAAGAAACCCAUGUUAACUGUCAAAAACCUGGUGAUUUCUUCCCAUCUGUCAUUGCCGUAGUGACAGAGUUACCUGUUACCGGCAGGAGGUGGUGGAUAUCUCGUGAAUUAGUUGAGGUGUGCACAAGCUCGCCCAGACACUAUGGUUGUCAAAAAGAACUCUAUGUUAACUGACAGGUGAUUGGAAAUAGGAAGAAAUGGAGAAUUUUCUUCAAGAUAUUUAUCGCCACGUGCGAUAGCAAGGGCAGGACAGGAUGGUAUGUUUAGGCCCAGUAGCAAAACGCAAAUCUUGCUAUAGAUAUCUGGAUUAUAGAGGGGGAAUAGAACCUAUAAGUCGCAGAUACCUUUGCGACAUGGAAGUUCAGCUUAAGGAAAGAAUGGAAGAAAGUUUGGGAAAUAGCAUCAGUAUACUUUUUUUGGGACGAUGGAGAGAAAAGAUCAGGAGGAUUUCUAAAGGGGUGGAUAGAUUUUUUGGGAGCUAUACAACUGAGCAUUUAUACCUAUUAACCCUGCAUCAUCUUCUUGCACAUUUAUGAAAUUUAUUUUGGAUUUAUCAAUAGGAAAGUUGCAUCAGCUGAUAAGUUUGUGUUCUCUCAUUGCCGCUCACUGUAUAGGGGAAGGGCCUAAUGGUGAAUUCUUUUGCUCCUUUACUUGUCAAUAAUGAACUAGUAUAUGUAAAUAGUACUCCCUCCAUCCCAUUUUAUGCGUCAUAGUUUGACCGGGCACGGAGUUUAAGAAAUAAGUAAAGACUUGAUGCUUUUUACUAAAUUGUCCUUUAUUAAAAUAAUGUAUUAUUAUUUUUAAUUAUGUGGGCCUUAUAAGUGGGAUCAAUAAAGGUAAAAGUGGAAUUGUGUCUUUAAAUAGUUACCAAAUAAGCAAAGGUGACAUUCUUUUUGGGACGGACAAAAAAGGAAAUGAUGACACGUAAAAUGGGACGGAGGGAGUAGUUAAUAUGGAAGUGUAUAUACGGAACUAGCGUUAAAACUGAAUCGUAGUGUCUCUGGAUGUUGAGCCCUUGUCGCCCAUACUAUCCAGUAACAUUCCUCAAAAGCUUGUACUAUUAAGUAAGUUCUUCUCUGAUUAUAAAAUGAGAGGUACUAACUAGUCCUAAUCCUAAUAUACGUGCUUGUUUUCUUAUAACUCUACCUAGAAAAAGCAAGUUAAUUAGAUAGAGAAUUGUCCAAGAGACCAUAUACCAAUACGAUGUCCCAUUCCAUCAACCUAGUUAGAAAUAUGUGGGACUCCAACAUUCAAUGUAUCGCCUAAACCUGGACAUUUGAAGUGUGGACGACAUAGUAUGAUGCUCAACAAAUCAACAAGAGGAUGUGUGGCUUUGAUACCAUGUUAAGAAAAUGAACUUUGAAACUAAGUCAAUGUAAAAUGUUAUCGCAUUAGGUGAGAGUUGUCCACGACCAUAUGAGGAGUCAAUAAUCAAUUCCCUCAAUCAAUGUGGGACGCUGUAAAUUUGUUAAUGGGCUUUAUCAAAACAUAUUUCUUGGCAAGUGGGCUUGAGUACCGGUCAAUGAUGAUGUUCUUUUCUGUUUUCUACGGGUUUUCUUUUCUUCAUUUGAUUGUCUUGUGCGUUACUUGGAGUUAAGGUCCAAGAUAUAUUGAGUUAAAGGCCCAUCUGGUUGCAUCUUCGCUUGUGGUGGCUAGUCAAAGAAUGUUGCAGCAUCUAUUGUUUCUCUGUGUAAUUGUUGGCAUGUAGCGCUGCUAGUUAGAAAUAAUGGUUUGGUCUUUUGAUUGUCUCUGGGUUCAAUUUAUUUCUUAGAGUUCGCCUUCACGUGCUUAUCUCCCAAAAGGAGUGAUUCGAGGAUGUUCCAGUUGUCACAACUGCCAGAAGGUUCAUUCUUCCUUAAUAUUGUAUAAUAUUUGGUUUUAAGGCAAGGAUUAACUGUUUUCUACCCAAAAGUUAGUUGCGAUCGACAUCUGUCUUUUUUGGUUUUCAGUUACCAUUGAGCUUAUGAUGUUUCUUAUAUGCUUUUUCCACAGGUUAUUGCAAGAAGUCGUCCGGAAUUGGCACAGAUCCCUUCACUUGAUGAGGCUCCUGUACUCCAUCCUACUGAGGAGGUAUUCCUUGACAUCCCUUCGUUCUUUCAGCCUGGUAUAUGCCCUCUAAGUUGCACGGACUCUUCACUUUCGAUGCCGCACCCGUGUCGGAUUCUCCAAAAAUACACUACUUUUGGAGAAUCCAACAUGCACUUGUUGACAUUUUUGAAGAGUCCAAGCAACAUAGUAUGCCCUUUAUUGCAUCAUAAACAAGUACUCUGGAUGCUGCUUUCAUGACAUUAAAUCUUAUGUUAGGAGUUUGAAGAUACUCUCAAGUAUGUUGCAAGCAUCCUUCCAAAUGUCAAGAACUAUGGAGUAUGCCGUAUUGUUCCUCCCUCUUCCUGGAAACCACCUUGCCGCAUUAACGAAGAGGACACGAGGUAUGGAGUUGACACCCAUGUCCAGCGCAUUAGCGACCUCCAGAGUCUGUUUUUCAAGAAUAGGCUUGUGGGAGACCAUAAAAAGACAAGUAAUAGACGGCAGAAAAUCCUAAGUAUGAAGUCAGAUUUGGAACACGACGUGGAACUUAAAGAAUUUGAUUGUUGUAAUGAACACUUUGAAUUCGAAAGUGGGCCAAAGUUUAAACUGAAAGCUUUCAAGAAUUACGCUGAUCAUUUCACGAGGCAGUACUUUGUCAAGGAAGAUCAGGUCACAGUGUCAAACGACAAAGAAGAUGCAACGAAGAUGCUGUCAGAACCAUCUAUUCCUGAUAUUGAAGGAGAAUACUGGAGGAUUAUUGAGAAUCCAACUGAAGAAAUUGAGGUUUUUCUCUGGAAGUGCAAUUUUCUUUUCUAGAAAUCCGUCAAACACGUUUUCUUCUAUCAUUUUUUUUCUUACUUUUCGUUGUCAAUUUGGUUUAUUAGGUGCUCCAUGGGAAUAUUACGGAAACUAGUGGUUUUCCACUUAAAACCAAUCCACGGGAUGUAACCGAGUGUCCCCAAUAUGUGGAAUCAGGUUGGAACUUGAACAAUACCCCUAAGCUUCAAGAUUCUCUUCUCCGCUUUGAGAGUUGUAGCAAUUCCUCUAUUUUCUUUCCCCGGCUCUCCGUUGCAAUGUGUUUUUCAUCAAAUCACUGGGUAAGAUUUACAGUCUUUUCAUUGAGCAAGGAUUUUCGUUCUUUUAAUUCGAAUUAUGCUUGGGAAUUUGUUCUUGUGUCUUAGUUUUUUCUGGGAAGGGGCAUCAUCAUUCUCGGGGCAGUAUCUCUCUUGGGAGGAAAAAGUACGAUGAGCAUUAUUUCAUUUGUUAGCGUUUUCUUUUUGAUUGAUUAAUUGCCUAUAUUUUCUUCUUUUUCUGUCCUCUAUUAGAGAACUGAAGAGCACCACUUAUAUUUGCUAUCCUACAUACAUUUUGGUGCCCCGAGAAUAUUUUAUGGGGUUCCUGGCAGUUUUCGUUGCAAGUUUGAGGAAGCUGUCAAGAAGCAUCUGCCACAGUUGUCAGCACAUCCUUGUUUGCUUCACAACCAUGUGAGUUUCAAAUUCGUGAAUAUAUUUUUCAUUAUUUUAAUUAGGAAAUGUCUUUUACUACUCUGUGGGUGUUUUCGUUUCUUUUAUUAUCUAGUGGUGUGUUACCCCAUUUUGUUGUUUGUUUUUAUGUUUUCUGCUUGUUAUACUGCUAUUUGUCCUGAGCCGGGGGUCUAUUGGAAACAACCUCUCUACUUCAUCUGGGGUAGUGGUAUGGACUGCGUACACUUUACCCUCCCCAGACCCCCCUUUGUGGGAAUACACUGGGUAUGUUGUUGUUGUUUGCCUUUUACUGGAAAGAAAGGAAUGAAUGUUUAGCUGGUUCCAUUUUCAAUUUUACUAAUAAAAUGAACUCUCCUAACGGAAUCCGAAUGAUCUCUGGAUUGUUGUUGUUGUUCUUAUAAAUUGCACGAUGAAGAUGAAAAGUUUGUCUAUUACCUCCCAUUUGAUCGAUCAACCCUUAUAUUUGAUGCAGGCCACACAAUUCUCUCCUUCUAUAUUGACUUCAGAGGGUAUACCUGUUUAUCGUUGUGUGCAAAACCCGAAGGAGUUUGUUCUCAUUCUCCCUGGAGCAUACCAUGCAGAGUUCGAUUGUGGAUUUAAUUGUUAUGAAGCAGUAAACUUUGCUCCCUUUGACUGGUUACCACAUGGUCAGAAUGCUGUGGAGCUGUACCGUGAGCUGGACAGAAAGACAUCAAUCUCCCAUGAUAAGCUGUUGCUUGAUGCAGCUGCAGAAGCAAUUAGGUCUUUAGGAGAACUUGCGCGACAAAACAAUAAUUCGUUUGAUAAUUCAAAAUGGAGGGCAGUCUGUCGGAACUAUGGUUAUUUAACGAAAGUAUUCCAGGUUAGCCUCUAUUAUAAUUGACUUCUAUAUAAGGAGCCAUUCCAAAUUCCUGAACUUCAAUUCUAACAGGCUUUCUGCGACUUGUUCGUUUCAUUUGACAUUGCCAUUUCUUCCAUUCCUUGUUAUGUUGUACUUCUAAUUUUGUUAUCAACCACAACUGUUUUCCCUCUCUAGUUGUUCGAUCUCUUUCAACAAUAACUCCUGCGUAAUGCUCUCUUUUUGAUAUGCUUUCUGUUGUUGUUACUGUUCCUUUUCUGGAUGCUGUGUAGUCAGUACUGCUUUUCUUAUUCGUUGUCAGGUUUGCUUUGCUGUCGUGUUUUCUUUUCACAGCUAUUUGAUUAACCUGAGCUAAGGGUCUCAGAAUCAGCCUCUCUACCUCCACGUGGUAGGAGUAAGGUCUGCGUACACUCUUACCUUCCCCAGACCCCACUUCUGUUGGUCCCUCGUUUUGUGAGGAAGUUACUAUGCUAACUGGCCCUUAGUAAGGGCUAAUGUCAUGUUGAGUUAGAAACUCUCGUAAGAGAUGCACGCAUUACUGACUAGUUAUGUUUUUUUUGAAUAUGAUACAUCGUUUCAUUUUUAUGUUGGAUAGACUCGGGUUGCCGCUGAAGUGAGACAACGGAAAUAUCUGUGUGCUGCUCUUGAAUCACGAAAGAUGGAGUAUGACUUUUGCGCUACCACCAAAUGGGAGUGUGUUACAUGCUUCUAUGAUCUAUACCUUUCUGCCAUUGGCUGCAACUGUUCUCCGCAUAAAUAUACUUGUCUUCUUCAUGCCAAGCAGCUAUGUGCUUGUGCUUGGAGCGAGAAGUAUUUGCUUAUACGGUAUGAAAUAGAUGAGCUGAACAUCAUGGUUGAAGCUUUGGAUCGAAAGUUAAGCGCAGUUCAUAAGCUGGCAAAAGAAAAACUUGGAUUGCCUGUAUCCGACGUUUCUAAAGAUGCCAAAAAGGAUGGAGGUACGGUAACAGUGAAGGACGAACCUGUAAUUCCUGACGUGAAACUCUCUGAGAGUGAAUCUCACCGAUCAACCUCCAGACAAGCGUCAGAUGCUCAACGGUACAAGAAAGCAGACGUGUUCUUUGCACCUUCGGUUCGUCCAAGUUCAACGACAAAUACUUUGGAUCAGAUAUCUGGAUCGUGUGUUGGUGCAGAUGUUGGUGCAGAUGCAUUGAAUCAUCGAUCACAAUCAAAAGAAAACACUCCAAUACAGCAUACUGCCGUUGGAAAAACUAUUCCGACUUGUUCCACAGUUGGUCCAAGUUCAACGACAAAUACUGUGGAUCGGAUAUCUGGACCGUGUGUUGGUGCAGAUGCAUUGAAUCAUCGAUCACAAUCAAAAGGAAACGCUCCAAUACAUCAUACUGCCGUUGGAAAAACUAUUCCGACUUCUUCCAAUACAGAUCUGAAGAAGCAUCUUGCACGGGGGUCUUCAUCGACUGAUAGAAAUGUGAUUGUUCUCAGCGAUGAUGAAGACUAGCUACCCCAAGUUCACCAUAUCACGAAUGGUAAACGAGCGUUUAUUACACAUUAAUCUGUUGCUGUAAGUCAGUUCUUUGAUGUAAAUUUGCAGAUAGUAAAGCUAGAAUUCUGUUACAGAUUGUAAGUCAGUCUUAAAUUUUGUUUUUCUUGAAGUACAUUCAUCAUCACCAUCAAAUAUGUAAAUGCCACUAAAAAGAUAUGUACAAAGAAGUACUAACAAGUGUUUGAAUAGUGUGAGGAAGUAAGAGAAGUUUUCUGACGGUGGAUUUAUCGGAUACAACCUCUCUAAGCUACAUAGGUAGGGGUGAGAUCAUACAUCCUAUCCUUUUUAAACCCCACUUGUUGUAUCUUUACCUUGAGCCGAGGGUCUAUCGGAAAGAGCCGCUCAUCAAAACCUUCCACGCCCCACGCUGGAUUUACAGGUACUUUUCACGUUGGUCCAUAAGGAUUGGACACCCAUAUUCCGGGACCAUGAAAUGCAUUAAAACCAAAGCAAGCUAUCCUUGAGAGAAAUAAAUGAAUUCUAAAGAUCUUUGACAAAUCCAAAGAGGUUUUCCUGUACGUUCGUCACAAAAUAUUUUUAGAUCUCAAUACACCCAAUGCUAGCUAGCUGCCAAAAAGCAUAAGCUAGUCCACCGUGAUACUCCAACUGCUCCAUGAAUUGGUUAUUCCUAAACGAGUCAUAAGGGUAUAACGAACAUACCCUGUCUCCACAUUGGAUCAAGAACAGAAUCAGAAGGAUCAAAAACCACUAAUUCAUACAAAGCCAUCGAACCGGCCCAACCAGCAACCAGAGUUGUAUGCAUAGAGUGGAUUCGAAACGAGGUAGUGAAUGAGUCAACCGAAACUGUAACUAUGGAGAAGCAACUAAAAUGCAAGUAUUAUCUUUUUUGAUAAGGUAUGUAAAACUCAUUGAUAACAAGAAGGCCAGCUUGGCAGUAUACAAGAGGUAUACCAAAAAUAUAGAAGCAAAUCACAUAAAUAUACACUUUAAGAGUUAAUAUUACAAAAACUAUCCAUAGUUUCUAUUUUACAAAAUAUAACAAUAGAAAUAUAACAAAAUCUACCAAAUAAGGCAAAAGAAAAAAUAAAAGACAAUAAAUAAAAUAGCAUGAUUUAAGGGGGCAACUUAAUAGUUGAUGUUUUACCCUGCAAAUUCUCCUAUAUUGUUUUUCAUCAAUUUUUUUUAAAAAAUAAUAAAUAAGGCAAACGAAAAAACAUUGCAUUUAUUUGAUAUUUGUUUUAUGUUUUCAAGUUUAAUUUAUUUAAUUCAAUUGACCUUAAUUUUUAAUAUUUUUUAGGAGAAAACAUCAUUAAUGGUAGUAAAUUCUCCGGUUGAUUCAAACUACAUCCUAUACAAAUUUUAUACACCAUAAAAUUAUUGAUACACCUAUUUUUAUAUACACUUAUUUCUAUAUCGAUCAAACACCAUAAAAAUAGAUCAAUUUCUAUACAUAUUAGACACCAUAAAAUUAUGAGAAAAUGGCCAAAAGACCCCCCAACCUUUACCCCAAAUUUCAAUUACACACUUAUACUUUGCGGGUGUCCUAUGACCCCCUGAACUAUUUAAAAAUGGAAUAUAUGCCCGUCUAAAAACUCAUACCCAGAUUUGUACAAUCGAGUGAGCUGCACGCGCCUAUCAGCUAAUACCACGUAAUAUUGUUAUUUUUUUGAUAUAAAAAAAUAUUUUUAUCCUACUUUUUCCUUAUUUUUUCGAGGCCCAUUUAAAUGGUCUUCUCAAUGGAAAAAACUUCAAUCCAUGGAACCCAGAACUUCAAUUCACUCUCACAUGAAGAAUCAGAAGAAGAUGGUGAUUUCAUCUACCUUCAAUUAACCCUCAAUAAAAUCCCACCCAAACAACUCACUAUCUCUCACAAAAUCACCCUUGCCACAACUCAAAAUCCAUUCUUGAUGCUAAAACAGACAAUUUCAACAAAUCCACAACUCAAAAUCCAAUCUUGAUGCUAAAACAGACAAAAUUAAGAAACCCCACAACUCAAAAAUCAAUCUUGAUGCUGAAACAGUGCAAAAAAAAAAAACUUAAAUAUGAAUAUUGAUUUUGAGAUAUAAUAUUGAUUUCAUGGCUUGAAAUCGUUUCACUUGAUUCGGAAUCCUCAUGAGACAUAAUUUUUUGAACUAAUUCCCACUUUUUCUCAGAAAUUACCCUAAGAAUCGCUUUAAUCUUUUCAAAUUUCUGAGAAUUGUGAGAUGAAUAUGUGUGUAAUUGUUUAUGGGAUUGGUGCGUAUCACUGAUAUAUUCAUUUUGGAACUGGUCCGAUGGCCGGACAAGCUCCACCGGCGGCUGUGAAGCCAUUCCGGCGGAAACACUUGGAAUUAUUUAUCCUCAUUCACAAGAAGGAGAAAUUAGUUGGUCUAAAAAUGAUAAUUAAAAAAAUAAUGAUGAAAAAAGUGUUGGGCUUGUGGUAUAAAUGAAAAUGGAGAUAAAAAAAUGAAGAUGGAGAUGAGAAAGAUGAAGAUGGUGAAGGAAGAUGAAAAUGGAGAGAAGGAGAGGAAUAAAGGAAUAAAAUAAAUAAAGAAAAAAAGAAUCUAUAUAUAUAUAUAUAUAUAUAUAUAUAUAUAUAUAGUCAAAUAUUAAAUCUGCUACUCACAAUUUCAAAACAAUAUCUAGUGGAUGCUCAUUCUCUCAAGGAGAGUGAGAUUCACUCGCAUUGCCACGUAAGCAUUUAGGGAGGUAAUAAUAUCAUUUUUAAAUAGUUCAUAGGGGUGAUAGGACCCCCGUGAAGUAUAGGUGCGUAGUUGGGAUUUGAGGUAAAGGUUGGGGGACUUUUGACCAUUUUCUCUAAAAUUAUUGAUACACCUAUUUCUAAAGAGUUUGAACACUAUAAAAUUAUUGAUACACCAAGACACCUUAAAAUAAAAUUGAUGAUAUACCAAUCUCUAUAUAAUAAUUCAAACACCAUAAAAUUAUCAAUAUAUCAAUUUCUAACUAUUUCAAAAAUCAUAAAAUUAUUGAUACACCAAUUUUUAUACUUUUCAGACGCCAUAAAGCUGUUGAUACACCAAUUUCUAUACAAUUCAGACACCAUAAAACUAAUAAUACACCAAUUUCUAUACAAUGCAUACACCAAUUUCUAAACAAUUCAUACUGAUACACCAAUUUCUAUACUGCACCAUAAAAUAACCGCUGACAGUAUGGCUGGGCAUAUUUUGGUUUAAACUGAAAAAACCAAAAAAUCGAAUCGAAAUUUAAUUUUGGUUUGGUUUUUCGAAUUGGUUUCGGUUUCAAAUUUUAGAAAUUUGGUUGAACGGUUUGGUUUUUGGAUUUACAAAAAAGAGAAUUCGGAUAAACCGAAAAACCGAAAUUAUAUAAAUAAUAUAUUACAAUAUAUAUAAUUUAAUAUAUAUGUAAAUAUACUAAAAAUAUAAUAUAAUCUGAUAUAAUAUAUAAAUAUAUAAAUUAUAAUCAUUUAGUAACCCUAAAUCCUAAUAUACUGCUUUGCUUUACACCUUAACAUUAACAUGAAGGCUGCAACAACUCUCAACCAUCCUCAGUUCGUCAAUUCAUUUGAAAUUUCAACAUCGUCAACAACAGUCGUUUGUUCAGUUCGUCACUGCCAUCGGCAGUCGCUGCCGAGUGCGAUCACUGCCGUCACGCCAACGGCGAUGACUCAGUGAGGUCGAUAUUUAUAGUUAUUUCAUGCAUGUUGAAUUAAUUAUAUUUGGGAAUGAAAAUUAGGUUUGAAAAAAAAGAUUAUUUUUCUAGAAAAAUCAUCAACUUUAAAUACUCACUACUUUAAUCUUUAAAACCGAAAUAAAAAUUCGAAAUAACCGAACUGAAUUUGUAAAAACCGAACCAAACUGAAAUAAUUUUGGUUUGGUUAUGGUUUUCAUUUUCGUCAAUCCGAAAAUCGAACCGAUAUUCAAUAAUCAAAUCGAACAAACCGAAUGUCCACCCCUAGCUGACAGUCAAGAUACUCAAGGAAACUUUCAGCAGUAUGCUUAUCAUAAGACUAAUGGUAGCAAUUGGAUUAGAGUUUGGAAGAUCCCUUCAAAGCCAUGUAUGGUGAAUGCUAUUUGUGGGGCUUAUGAGCCAUGUUUGGAAGAUCCUUCAAAUACCCUUUUAAUUGGGUUUUUCAAUCAAGAAAGAAGAGAGGAGAUAAAAAAGGAAGAAGAAAAGGGGUUUUUGGAUUAAAUUUUUUACACACACAAAAAAAAAAUGAAUAUUUGGUAGAUUUUGUAAAUAAAAAUUAGAUUUUAUAAAUAAAAAAAAAGUAGUGAUAGAUUUUGUAAUAUUUACUCUUAGAGCGUAUAUCUAUGUGACUUUUCCUAAAUGAUAAUAAAAUAUGAAAAUAUAGAAUACAAAAGACACUGAUUCAGGGGCUUAUCUAGGUGGGCAUUACCAGAUUCAUGUGAACUCAUGUUUUCCACCUUAGAUCAUAUGUAGUGAUGUUAUAUUCUUUUAAAAAUAUUUAAAUAUAGAUGAAUGAAGCCACGCUUGACGUAUUUUCUUAAUAGUACAUCCACCCUCUCAAAAUCCUGCAUACGCCCCUGCGCACAUUCCUGUAUACAAACAUGAACUACAUGGGUGCACCAAAAGAAAAUAAGAGAUCGAAUACUACUAGUCAAUCGAGCAAAGCUCGUAUACACCCCUUCAAACCAUGCCUUUUGCGAUCUUCUUCUAGCUCCACUCCUUCAACUGAACAUGAACUAAGAAACGUUAAAUCAAAUGAAGAUAUCCGCCAAUAACCUCAUGGUUAAUUUAGGCGCAAUAUAUAAACAUGCCCUUUAACUUGGCCUCAGAUCACAUCUACGACCUUCAACUUUGGGUGUGCACAUGCAGACACUUAAACUUGUAUGAAGUUUUAACAAGUAGACACAUAUGUCCUAUGUGGAGUCUUACGUGGCCAGUUCUUGUCCCACAUGACAUCCUACAUGUAUUAUGUUACAUUGGACGUGUAUAUCUAUUCGUUCAACUUUAUACAAGUUUAAGUAUCUGCUGGUGCACACCUAAAGUUGGAGGUCAUAGAUGUGAUUUGAGGCCAAGUUAAAGGCUUGUUUAUGUAUAAUGCCGUUUGCAAAUGAUAUAGAAAUGACAUUCGAUAAGAUCAGGUUGCGCCUGAGUGUAGUUUACUACGAUAUCUAGGCUCGAUCUUCUAGGAGAACGACAUGACAUUUACCUCUCAAACGGAGUAGAGCUUUAUAAUCUGAUCGAUUUUUACUCGACAGAUGGGGCAUUCCCCUUUCUUGGAUUUGAUCUGGUUCAAACACUGGAUGCAGCCAACCAUGUGACCACAAGGUACACAGGCUCCUUCAACUGAACCUUCCCAACAUAUUAUACACAAUGCAGGUUCAUGUUCAUGUUCAUGUUCAUUUUCCUUUUGAGUCGUAACAGAAGCUGUUUUUUGAUCCACAUGAGGAUUCAACAGGUGCAAUGGGCUAAGAUCUAUGGCCGGAUAACAAACAGUUUCUUCGUGUACAACCUCUUCUGGAAGUGGUGGAGCUGAAGGGGACGCAAAAUCAAAAGCAGGAUUGUUGCCUUCUCGAGUUUCAGCAUUUUCAACCAGAUAGACAAUCGGUCUAAACUCAGAUGCAUUGUCUGCAUUAGCCAUUGAUUCACGGCUAGUUACACCUGGGGAUUCUGUUUUGUCCUUUGCGGUGUGUCCCCAUCCUUGAUAAUGAACUUUAUCCGAGGCAUCUCUAUGUCCCUGCCGAGGCUCAGGCAUGCCCCAUCCAUUGUACUGUUCUACAGCAGGCUCGGCAUUCCAUCCGCUGCAGCUUAGUUCAGAAGAUGUGGAUUUAGGAAGCGAUUGCUGCUGUCGUUGACUGGAUACAUCUGCGUUACUUCCCCAUCCAUUUUCUUGGACCUUAGUUCUGUCACCCGUCCAAUUGUAGUUAGUAAUUUCACAUGUAGGCUCGGAUCUGACAAGUGAACCCCAUCCGUUGUAGGCAGAAUCAUCGGUGUCAUCACACCAGUCAUUUCCAUUUUUCACACCGGAGCUUUGUCCGUGAUGAUGUAAAAUCUUAUUUUCUUUAGCAGAAUGAAUGGAAGAGUUGAUUCCAAUUGCUAAUUCCAUUGCUUGUGCAGCAGUUUCAGAUUGUGGCACUGUGGUUCGGGUUUUCUGUGGUAAGCGACGAGGCGUGACCUGAAAUGCGAACAUGUCAAGCCCCAGAGGUGGUUCUACUAUACUAUGAUAUAUACCUUAUUUGUACCCUCCGUUAUACUUUGGGAUCAUUGAUACCGUUGUCAUUAGCAAAUCACCGUAUAAAGUCCAGAGCAAAUAUGAGACGAUUUGCUAACAGCAAGGGUACGGAUGGUUCCAAAGUAUAACAGAUGGUAAAAUUACGGUAUUCCGUAUAUUAGAGGAAUAAAUUUGGAUCUUUUCCCCUAUGCGCGGGGUUCGGGGAAGGGCUGGACCACAAGGGUCUAUUUUACGCAGCCUUACCCUGCAUUUGUGCAAGAGGCUGUUUCCACGGCUUGAACCUGUGACCUAAUGGUCACAUGGCAGCAACUUUACCGGCUACUCCAAGGCUCCCCUUCAGGCAUAAUGCACGUGUUUCAAACACAACUUGUGUAAUAUCGCAAGGUACAAACUCAUCCGACGAACAAACAACAGAUACAGAAUUGGUAAAAAAGUAUGAUUCAGUCUGAGUUGGUAAUAACCUCAAUUGCAGCAAUACAUGCUCUGUGCAACAACUGAAGCUGUUGUUGCUCGGAAUCGCUCACUGAUGUAAAGUUAUAUCGAGUAUCUGAUACGAAAGCAGCAAAAUCAAAGAACUAUUAUAAAGUCUAUUCUGUAAAGACGCGUUUCAGGAAAAGAGUAUUACUACUGGUCUUGUCGAAAAUUGUCAGCACAGGAUCUGAUCGUUGCCACCUUAGAUCCUCAACAUUAGCCUUCCAUAAGGCGAUAACAUUACGAGGCUGGGCAUCCUGUUCAACGGAACAUCAUUUCAGUAAAUUCUCCAAUUUCAUAGUAAGGAGAGAAGAAGUAUCACGAGUCCAUUGAAUUGUCAACCAACUCUAACUAGUUUGGUUUUGAGCAUCGUUGUUGUUGCUGCUUUAUUGAAGUUUCAACCAAGCACAGAGAACCAUGUAUAGAGAAGAAGGAUAACUCGACCACAGCAUAUACCGAGGAGCUGGCUCAUAUACGGCUUAUGCUUAAACCUCACAUAGAUAUAGUAUACCUACAUUUACGUCCAGUUUUCAUACCUACUCCUCGCUGGCAUACAUCAUUAUCAAGAAUUCUCUAAAGAUGCUGCGAGCUAAACGACAGGUACCUCACAACAUUGCCAGAAGAGUUUUCAUAGAAGUGUUUAUUUACCUGUAAGGAUGAGUAUAUCGCCAGCUCCAAUUUAAGAGGCUUCGCAGGAUCAGCUAUACUGCAAGGUACGACUACAACCCAACUGCAUUUUAUAAUCAUUUGUCAGCAAAUAUGCGAGACAGCUUACAACAACAACAACAACUACGCUUAGGGUGUGUUUGGUAUAACGGAAACUGUUUUACUGUAUUUCUGGUAUUUGGUAAAUAUGCAGGAAAUAUAGUCUCAAAGCAUUUGUACAAGUCUGGCGAACACUAUUGAGGUUGACGUGGGGGAUGUGUUGGAGGGCGGAAUUAGACAGUUAGUAUGGAAGGUCACUUAUGCAACCUAUUUUCCCUAUUUCCACUAUGUACAACCGAACAUGAGAAAAUUGGAAAAUAUUUCCAUACCAAACACAACCUUAGUCCCAAACAGGUUAAACAAGACUGCUUACAUAUGUCUAUUUCAACAGCCUUCGGCAGAACAAAAGUUUUGAAACUUGAAACAUUACAACAACAACAACAACAAUUGGAGUAUAGAGGUUGUUUCCGAUAGACCCCAAAACUUGUAGCAUUAUAUACAGAAAAGAAUUCAAAGCACAGACAAGGGGUACUUAUAAGAAAAGACAAGUCGGAAUCAUACUGACAUCUUCCUAGAUAACAAUUGAGGAGCUAAAGCUUCAAGAAUUCCUCGACCAUAGAACUCCCUCAUCCAGCCGGAGAAAAUGCAGAUUUGUCUCUGCAAGUGAAAGCAAUACCAGAAUAAAUGAAUUUACGAACAUACAAUCCAAGUCAAGAAGGGGGAGAACGUACAAAAAUCUUGAAACUAAUAUCAAGUACACCUCAAUAGUACGAACGACAUUGCUAAAACCCUUUGCUCGAGCAACUUCAAGUGGAGUUUGGCAACCAUCGUUCUUGAUCAAUGGAUUUGCUGGUAAAUUAGUUGCAUAGUAAGUUAGAUACAUACAUUAAGCGGCUGAUAACUAUGCAAAAAUGACAAUCGCUCCAUCCCAAUUUAUGUGAAGGUAUUUGAUGGUUGCGUAGUUUAAGAAAGAAAAAAUUGCUUUUGAAACUUAUGGUCUAAAAUACAACAACAACACACCCAGUGUAUUCCCAUAUAGUGGGGUCUGGGGAGGGUAAAAUGUACGCAGUCCAUACCACUACCUCGGAAGAAGUAGAGAGGUUGUUUCCGAUAGACCCCAGCUCAGGACAAAGAGAUGGUAAACAAUGUCGUAAUAAAACAUGAAACAAGAUGAAAAAACAGAAAUAAGACACUCACAAAGUAGUACUACGCACUAUCGAACCAAAAGGACACAAUUCAGCCAAAAUCUCCUAACUAGAAGCUCCAACCUAUGUACAAAGCCCUACGACUACUAGUCAGGCUACACUAAAGCACUCCUAUCUACUGGCUACAAACUCACCCACAUGCACUAGUCCUCUAACCUAAUUCGCAUCCUCCAUACCUUCCUAUCUAGGGUCAUGUCCUCAAUAAACUUUAAAAUAAACCAAAUAUACUUGUGUGACUAUGAAUCAUCUCACUAAGGGUAAAUCAACAUUUUAAGUUAAAUUGUACAAAAUAUAGAAAGAUGUCGUUCUUCUGGGACCGACCGAAAAGGAAAGACUCUCGCAUAAAUUGAGACGGAGGUAGUACUAGAUCAUCGAGAAAUGCAGUCUGGAUCGAUCUAUAGAGCAAAGCCAGAAAGCAUGUUCACUCUGCAAAGCUAUAAAUAUGUACCUCCAUAGGAAAGAAGUAACUGAACGUUAUCAUCCAGACCUCUCUUAGCUGCGUGAUGCAGUGCAGUUCCAGCACCAUAUCCUGAAGAAAAUUAGUAAUCGGAAUGAUGAUUAUCGUAAUAACUAAAGCAGAUUACAACAAAGUAAUGAAGGUCGUGACACUUAAAGCCUACUGACUUAAAAUCCAGGAGCCGCCUCUAGUGACAAGUUGGGCGAGAAAGGGAUACCUGGCCGGUAAGCAUUGACAUUAGCACCGAGCUCAAGCAAAGUUUUUGCAACAUUCAAGCCAUUCGGCUUCAUGCACGCUACAAUCAAUGGUGUCUUUCCUUCUUUGUCGGUCCACUGAUUCAAAGGGGGCACACAAUUACAUUUAGUAUAUACAGAUAACUCAUGUAACCUCCUAAACAGCGAAGCUCUUUUAUGUUCACCAAAACCGGAGUUGAUGUAGAGCUAAACUUUUCAAGUAAAUUGGCGCAUAGAACUUGUAUACUACAGACUUGCACCAGUUAAAAGAUCACUUAUAACACCUCCUAAAAGUUGAAUUUUUUGUAUAUUUACCAAAAGUGUAUUGCUAUAGAGUUAUAUUCUUCCAGUAAAUCGGGUACAUGGGUGAAUAUGUAUGACUACGGACUUAAAACGGCAGCUCGGUGCACUAAAGCUCCCGCUAUGCGCACGGUCUGGGAAGGGCCCCACUACAAGGGUGUAUUGUACUCAACCUUAUCUUGCAUUUCUAUCAUCAGAGGAUGUUUCCAAAGCUUGAACCCGUGACCUCUUGGUCACAUGGCAACAACUUUACCAGUUACUCCAAGGCUCCCCUUCCAAAAGGAGGGAUGCAACACGAGGACUUCUCAGGGGGUCACCCAUCCUAGUACUACUCUCACCCAAGCACGCUUAACUUCGGAGUUCUGAUGGGAUCUGGUAUGUUAGUGCUGGUAUGAUCGUAUCAUCUCCGAAAAGAUGUUUGUAUAUUCACCUAAAUUUAGAACUUAGUUAUUAGCACUUGAAAUCGUCGUUGCAAAAUUAAGAACUAGUAAAGCUGAAAGCUCCACCUAUGUGCACCAGUGACAAAACUUAAUGUCAUAUCCUAAAAGUUGAAUCUUUUUCAUAUUCACCAAAAAGGAUGUUAAUAAAUAGUUAAAUUCUUCUGUAAAUUGGCAGCAUUUGUAUACCUCCUAACUUUCACCAGUUAAAUUACUUACGAUAUCUCCAAAAAUAACAACAACAACAACGACAACAUACACAGUAUAUUCCCACAAAAUGGGGUCUGGGGAGGGUAAAGUGUACGCAGUCCAUACCGCUACCUCGGAUGAAUUAGAGAGACUGUUUUCGAUAGACCCCUGGCAUAUCUCCAAAAAUAAAUAGGAUCUUAUUCAAGUUUAACCAAAAGGGUGUUGAUAAAAAGCUCAAAUUCUCAAGUAAAUUGUGGUUCAUAAUUGAGUUUAUAUACUUCAAGAAUUGCACCAGUGACAAAAAAUACUCAUGACAUCUACUAAACAUUGAAUUUUUUUCAUAUUUACCAAAAUGGGUGUUGAUAAAAAGCUAAAAUUUUCAAGAUAAUUGGGUACAUGAGCAAACUUAUGUUUUUUAUUUUUAUUUUUGGUUUUCCAACCAGUGUCCGGUAACCAUAUCGGAGCCCAAAUAAAUCCGAAUUAGCACCGGGAAGUGCCACAUUAGGGGAAAAGCGCUCUCUAACAAAGGUAACUCCAUACCCAGGGGAAUCGAACCUAAGACCUCUGGCAAACUUAUAUACCUAUACUUCAAGACUUGCACUAUUGAAAAAAACACUCAUGGUACCUUCCAAAGAUUGAACAUUUUUCAUAUUCACCAAAAAGGGUAAAAGGGCAGCCUGGAGCACUAAAGCUCCCGCUAUGCGCAAGGUUCACGGAAAGGUUCUACCACAACGGUGUAUUGUACGCAGCCUUACCUUGCAUUUCUGCCAGAGGCUAUUUUCAAGGCUUGAACCCGUGACCUCCUAGUUAUAUGACAAGAACUUUAUCAGUUACUUCAAGGCUCCCCUUCAUAUUCACCAAAAAGGCUGUCAGACAAAAAGUUACUUUUGUCCAGGUGCACGGAAGCUAGCCUAUACACCAGGAUUAUCGUAAAAAAAAAAGGGCUAAAUUAUUCAAGAAAAUUUUUAUACAUAGGUGACAAUAUAUAUACCUCAAGACUUGCACUAUUGAAAAAAUCACUAAUGGUAUCUUCCAAUGAUUAAAUCUUAAUUUUCAUACUCACCAAAAAGGGUGUCAGACAAAAACUAAUUUAGUCUAGGUACGCGAAAGCUGGCCUAAACACCGCUACCACAACAACAACGACAACAUCGCCAGUGUAUUCCCACAAAAUGGGAUCUGGGGUAAAGUGUACGCAGUCCAUACCACUAUCUCCUAUGAAGUAGAGAGGUUGUUUCCGAUAGACCCCGGCUCAGGAUAGAUAACAGUAUAGCAAACAAAAACAAAAAAAGCAAACAACAAAAAUGGAUAUCACACUGCCAUAUAAUAAAGGAAACAAAACAGGACGAAAACAACAACAACAUACCUAGUGUAUUCCCACAAAGUGGGAUUCAGAGGUAAAGUGUACGCAGUCUAUACCACUACCUCACCUCAGAUGAAGUAGAAAAGUUGUUUCUGAUAGACCCCCGGUUCAGAACAGAUAACAGGAUAACAAACAAAAAUAUAAAAGCAAACAAUAAAAAGGGAUAUCACACCGCCAGAUAAUAGGAAACAAGACACACAAGGAGGCUGUUUCCGGUAGAUGCCCGGCUCAGGACAUAUAAAGUAUAGCAAGCAAAAACAUAAAAGCAAGCAAUAAAAAGAGAUAUUACACUGCCGGAUAAUAAAAGAAACAAGACACCCACAAGGAGGCUGUUUCCGAUAGACCCCCGGCUCGGAACAGGUAACAAUAUAGCAAACAAAAACAUAAAAGCAAAUAACAAAAAGGGAUGUCACACGCCAAAUAAUAAAGGAAACAAGACACCCACAAGUUCAUACUACUGGUCUAGACACCACGAUUAUCGAAAAAAAACAAAAAUAAAAGCUAAAUUAUUCAAUAAAUUUUUUUUACAUAGGUUAAAAAUUUUAUAUACCUCAAGACUGGCACCAUUAUUAUGAAUAGCUUUGAUAGCUUCAACAUUUCCUUCAAUGACUUGUUGAUACAGUAACUCAUCUUUUGAUUGUUGUUGCCCCAUUAAUCAAUAAUUGCUAAACAUUUCACUUCAAAUGUUAGAUUUUUUUCUUAUAACAAAAUGUUCCGGCUAACUGACGCGCACCUCGACUAAUUAUAUGUAAGAUUUUAUGUGCAAUCAUUUGUAUACAUGUGGCAUAAUUUGAACUCCCUGCCGCUGAUAAACCAAAUCAAGUCUGUCCAAUUGGGAAUAUUUGUGGAUAGUAAUUUUUCUCCCAAUUUUUUUAAUAAUAAUAAUAAUAAUAAUAAUAAUAAUAAUAAUAAUCUUGGUACAAAAUUUAACUUGCAAAACACAUAGAUUAAAUGGAAAAAGGUUUGAAAUAUACCUAAACUUUGACGAAAUAUAUUGUAACGUGCCUCAACUUUGCGGGGUCCUAUGACCCUCUUGACUAUUUAUUAUCAUAUUUCUGUGGCAGAUUUUGCCCAGCUGAACUACUGCAUGAACACACGUACACUGAGCAUGUAAGGAUUUGAAGUGAUCUAGCUAGACAAAUAUAUAUCACAGAAAUACGAUAAUAAAUAGUCGAGGGGGUCAUAGGACCUCGGCAAAGUUGAGGCGUGUUACAGCAAAUUUCGCUAAAGUAUAGGUAUAUUUCUGACUAUUUCCCUAAAUAAAAUCUUAACUUGGUUUCAACCGUCAAUCAUACACUUUAAUUUUGAGAAUGCACAUGUAGAUAUUUCAAAUCGUCUUUAUCAUGUUAGUUGAACGUUCUGACUUAAAAAAUGAUUGUGUUAGACACCUUUAAAAUAUAUGUGUUACGUUAGCGUAGAAUAUCCAUGAGACACAAUGAGAACAAGUUGAGGAGUCAAAAUAUAAAGUAUCCUUGAACAACUAAGUCAACCUCUAAUCUUAUGUUCGAGAUUCAAUAUAUACAGUGGCGGAGCCACCUUAUGAUUAGGGGGUUCAUCCGAACUCCCUUCGAUGGAAAAUUAUACUAGUUAUAUAUGAUUAAAAUUAUUUUUUUAUGUAUAUAUCAUUGAUAUUGAACUCCCUUCGGCUAGUUCAUGUGCCUAUUUCUUUUGAUUUUGAACCCCUUAGUGAAAAUUCUGGCUCCGCCAUGAUAUAUAUAUAUAUAUACAUGUGUGUACAUAUACAUAUACACACACAUCACCCUCCAAUAAACCUCAUCUUUAUCGCACUCUUGUAGCCUUCAUCCGCAUUGCCUCAUAUUUUUAGGAUAAUAUUUUUCGCAUAUAUACCACACAUAAGAAAAUAAUCAGCAUGGAAUAAUAAUUUAAAUUAGAGUAGAAAACCAAAUUUAUUUAAACCAAGUCUCAAUAAUGAAACGAAUCCCUUCGCUCCUUUUUACUUUGUCACUUUUCAUUUUUUCGAUUGUCAAACAGUAUGAACGUACCUAAUAAGUUGUUUUAGCGUUUUUCGUUUUGUUUCUGAAUAAGUAAUGUUUCACAUAGUCAAAAAACAUUAAUGACAUUAUUCCAGUUUUACCCUUCUUUAGAUGAAGAGAAUUUUACCUAAUCAAGAAACGUCUCCUUUUCACUUGUCACAUUUCGUUUCUUGAUUGUCAAACUGCAUGAACUUCAAUUUUAAAAUCUACUAUUUCAUUAUAUUAAUUGUAAUAUUUCAUGAUUGCUAAUUAAUGACUAAUUAGUAUAAAUUAAUAUCUCACAAAGUACAUAUAUAAAUUAUAAUCACAACUACUAGCUAUUACAACAUUAUAUUCAUAUACUACAAAAUGACCUUGAUCAUUAUACCUUGUAAUUUUCACCUAAUUCAUAAAAUUUCUUAAAAGGCGAGUAAUUUAACUCUUCAAUUCUUGAUUUAUUUUAUUUUAAUGAGGUUGAUAAGGUUUGAGAAGUUGAAUUAGAGAAAAUAUGUAAUAACAAUUAAGCUGCAUAUAUAUAAUAUAUAAUAUAUGGUUCAUGAUCGCAAAUUAAAUGACUAAUUAGUAUAAAUUAAUAUCUCACAAAGUACAUAUAUAUAUAAAUUAUAAUCACAACUACUAGCUAUUACAACAUUCAUAUACUACAAAAUGGCCUUGAUCUACAUGACAAGUGUAAGUCGAUCGAGCCAUUAAAAUUUAUUUGUUCGUAUAUUUUUAUUAUUAUACCUUGUAAUUUUCACCUAAUUCAUAGAAAGGCGAGUAAUUUCUCUCUUCAAUUCUCGAUUUAUUUUAUUUUAAUCAGGUAGAUAAGGUUUGAGGAGUUGAAUUAGGGAUCCUUUAAGGUGAAGUGACAUAACUUCAUUUGUUGAUCCAACUAAUUUCCCUCCAAUAAAUACUGCUGGCACUGACGCAUUACAACCCAUUCUCAUAAGAGCCUUUUCCAUAUCCUUUCCAUCAUUAUCGUGAUCGAGUUCAUGUACGUAAGGAUCAACACCGAGAUCGCGAAAUAAUAUAGUGACCGCGUAACAUAAACAACACGUGCUCUUGCUAAAGAUCACGACCCCGUGCUCUGAUGCCAUUCUUUGUACCUUAUCCAUUUCAGGUCGUGAAAGAAUCGCCUUAUGCCCUUGGAGUAACAACAAUGUCUAGUAGUACAAGAUGAAAUUAGGGUUUUAUUGCCUCUGGGUGGAAUCAGACUGUUUGUACGAUAUAAAAUUAGGGUUUUAUCACCUCUGAGUGGAAUCAGACUGUCUGUACGAUAAAAUUAGGGUUUUAUCGCCUCUGGUUGGAAUCAGACUGUCCCACUCUCAAUUGCUAUAUUAUGUUGGUUGCCUUGUUAAGCUUUUAGGUAGUAUACACCUUCUCAAAGCUUUAGUGGCUAGAAGACAGAUUGGUACGAGUUACACUUGAUAUUCAGGUAUUUGGAAACUUAUCAAAAAAUAGGGUUAAAUGAAGGUACGCUUUAGUAUACCAUCGGAUCUAAGUUCAACAGAAAAUGAACAUCGAUCCGAUGGUUAAUAAGAAGUGAUGAAGGAAGAAGCAAAUAGAAAGAAAAAAAAACUUGAGAAAUAUUAGGGUUAAUUUUUAGUUUUUUUUAGAGGUUGCUUGGAAAUGUAGGGAUUUCAUGGCCACACUAUUUAUAAUACAAGGAAAAAAAAAUGGAACAAUCUAAAAAUGAAAGUGGAAUUCUCUGACUAAAUUGUAAAGAUUCAAAAGAUGGUGUGCUUUAUUUAGAUGCUCCAAAAAUUGGACUACAGCUCUACUAAAAAGAAUUUUAUUUUAAUAAAUAAAUCAAAAAGAAGAAAGGAAUUUUAAUAAACAAAUAAAUAAAUAAAAAGAAGAAGAAGAGAAUUUUAAUUUUUAAUAAAUAAAAAAACAAAAAAGUAGAUACUAUUUCAUUCCACAAACUUUGAGCAAGUUGUAGGAUAGUACAUAUAUUCUAUUUAUUUAGUCAUGCACUUUUUGAAUAGAAUCUUUUUGGUGGAAAAGUCUUAUUUGAACCACCUAGAAAUAUAUACCUAUAUGCACAUUCCAUAUAGUUAGCAUUUAUUAUUUUUUAUGUAAAAAAUUUAGUAUCUUUGAAUUAUGACGAGAUUUAUUAAGAUACACUCCAUAAUUUCACAAGUGUUUUAUUAUUUUUGAACUAAAUUUUAGUAUAUUUUUAUCAACCUUUUCAGCUGAUGUGAUACCUUUUGUCAACCUUUUUAGCUGACGUGACACCUUUGACGUGAGUCUCAUUUUAUGUAAAUAAAGGUGUCAUGUCAGCACAAAAAAAUGACAAAAAUAUGUUAAAAUUAAGUUCAGGGGUAAUAGAAUCCUUGUAAAGUUGGAGUGUAUCGUAGCAACUUUGGUCAUAGUUUCGAGGGAUACUGAAUGCUUAUCUCUUAUUUUUUUUUGGUACAUAGUUAUAUAUUUUUAUAACAAUCAUCUUUUAUAAUAACAUAUUAUUACACACUAUUUCAUUCUACUUCUUAUUUGGAAUUGCUAUAUUUGGUCUUUCGAAAAUAGUCUCUCUACCUCCAUGAAAUAGUGAUAAGAUUUCACGGGGUAUUUUAUUAUUGUUGAUUAAGUUUUCCUUCAAACCGACAAUUCAUUAUGUUGUAUUAUAUAUUCUUUAUAAUAACGUUUCACUAUAAUAACAAAAAAAAAAAUAUCCAUAAAAUGAAACUGUACUAUUAUUAUAGAAAGAUUCGAGCAUAACAAAUAACCUGUUAUUUUUCCUAAGUUAAUUACUAUUUCCUCCGUUCAUUUUACGUGACACACUUAUAUUUUUAAUUCAUCCCCAAAAAAAACGUCACCUUACUCUAAUUAAAAAACAAAGUUUACUUUAUAUUAAGUAUGCAUGUUAAAAUAAUUAAUUAGACUAAUGAUUAUCCAUAAUUAGUAAUUAAUUCCUUACUAUAAAAAGUUCUCUAGACAACGUGGACAUAAAACUAGCCGUGGAAGAUUAAACUUUAUUAUAAAAAUUUUAUUCUUGAAGAAUGAAGAUGCAUUACAAUAAUUAUUUAUUUAUAUACAAUAUAAUGCAUGUGUAGUCAAUUUUUUGAGAUUCUUUUCCAAUAUUCUUGGAUUAUAUUCUUUGCUCGAAUAUUUAGCAAAGAAUUGAAAAGUUUUUUGGUGGCUUUUAUUCUUUUUCUUUGUGUCCAUUUCCAACUUUAAGUUAUAUUCUUCACACACUAAAUUUUAUCAAUGGUGGUACACUUGUACACAACGGAGAAGUCAGAAAUUUCGUUAAGAAUAUUUAAAAUUUAAUAUAUAUGUGAAGAAAAAGUUUAAAAUAUAUCUAAAUUUUAAUGAAAUUUAUUGUAACAUGUCCCAACUUUGCAGGGUCCUAUAACCCCCUAGAUUAUUUUUUAUCGUAUUUCUGUGACAUAUAUUUGUUAGUUGGACCACUGCAUGAAUACACGCAUACUAAGCGUGUUAGGGUCUCAAAUGAUUCAGUUAAUUAAAUAAAUGGCAGAGAAGUACAGAAAAAAACAAUUUAUGGGGGUCAUACGACUCCCGCAAAGUUGAGGAGUGUCACAACCAAUUUUGCCAAAGGUUAAAUAUAUUUCGGACUUUUUUUCCAUAUACAUGUAUGAAAAUAUACUUUAUUUAAUUUUCUAUAUGUGCGGUAUAAUAUUUUAACGAAAGUUGUUCCACUGACCACCCUUAAUUGUAUAUGGCCGUACACGUGUACACGACAGUGAAAUUAGAAAUUUUGUCAAAAGUACAAAAAUUAAUAUAUAUGUAUGAAAAUAUACUUGAUAUAAUUUUCUAUAUAUACAAUAUAUAUUUUUAACAAAUGUUGUUCAACUGAUCAUCCUUAAUUGUAUAUGGCUAAGCCAAUGCUUAUAAAUAUUCUAGUAGUGUAUGUGUGAGGCAAAUGCAAGUUUUAGCCUAAUUUGGGGGGUGUAAAAUAUGUAUUCCUAAUCUUUCAUGUGAGUUAAAGGGGUUAAUUGACUAAUUAAUUAAUAUAUUGUCUUGCCUCGCCAUAUUCAGGGAGGUGACUUGGUGUAUGUUAUUUACUGAUGAUGUAGAGGUUAUUGACGAAAUUCGAGGAUGAGUUAAUGAUAAGUUGGAGGUUUGGAGACAGACCAUAGAGUCUAAAGGGUUUUGGUUGAGUAAGACCAAGACGGAGUACUUGGAGUAUAAGUUCAGUGAUUUGACGAUUUUACCUGUAGUCUAAGUGUUAUGAAUGUGUCUUGACGUAGUUUCUUAUUCGUGGUAUUUUAGGGAUGUUUGUGAUUUUGGAUAAGUAGUUCAUAGUAUUGCUCAGCGGAUAAGUAGUUUAUAAUAUUACAUAUUACACACACACACACACAUAUAUAUAUAUUAUUUGAUGAUGUUGUAGUGCUUAUUGACGAGAUUCAGGGAUGAGUUAAUGAUAAGUUGGAGGUUUGGAGACAGACUAUAGAGUCUAAAGGGCUUAGGUUAAGCAAGACUAAGAUGGAGUACUUAAAGUGUAAGUGAAGUGAUUUAACGAUUUUACCUGUAGUCUAAGUGUUAUGAAUGUAUCUUGUAAUUUCUUAUUCGUAGUGUUUUGGAGAUGUUUGUGGUAUUGGAUAAGUAGUUCAUAGUAUUACAUAUAUGUGUGUGUGUAUAUAUAUAUAUAUAUAUAUUUCUAUAAUAUUUGAUCGAUAUACAUUAUAUAACUUUCCGGUGAAAAGGUAUUCAACUGACCAUCCUUCAGCAUACGCAACUACGCGCCAUGUGAUCUCUCCAUCUUAGGGUGAUCUAAAGAUAGCAAUCAAAAGAAAAAUUUUCAAGAAAAAAUUAGUAUGUGCUGCAUGAAUAUUUUUAUGGUCAACAACAACAUACUGAGUGAAUUCUCAUAAGUGGGGUCAAUCUGCGGAGGGUAGAGUGUACGCAGACCUUACCACUACCUCAUGGAGGCAAGAGAAGUUGUUUCCAAGAGACCUCGAUCCAAGUGAAUAUUUUUAUGGUCACUUUACUAAAGUGAGUUGAGGGAUCAAAUAUAUAUGUCAAAGUUUACGGAGAAUAGAGUGUACGCAGAUCUUACCACUAUCUCGUGGAGCCAAGAGAGAUUAUUUUUGAGAAACCCACGGCCAUGAAUAUUCCUAUGGUCACUUUACUAAAGUGAGUUGAGGGAUCGAAUAUAUAUGUUAAGUUUGCAGAGGAUAGAAUGUACGCUGAUCUUACCACUACCUCGUGGGGGCAAGAGAGGCUGUUUCCGAGAGACCCUCGAUCUAAGUGAAUAUUUUUAUGGUCACUUUACUAAAGUGAGUUGAGGGAUCGAAUAUAUAUGUCAAGUUUGUGGAGGGGAGAGUAUACGCAAAUCUUAUCACUGCCUCGUGAAGCCAAGAGAGAUUGUUUCUAAGAGACCCUCGGCUAUGAAUAUUUCUAUGGUCACUUUACUAAUUAAGUGAGUUGAGGGAUCGGAUAUAUAUGUCAAGUUUGCGGAGGGUAGAGUGUACGCAGAUCUUACCACUACCUCGUGGUGACAAGAGAGGCUGUUUCCGAGAGACCCUCGAUCCAAGUGAAUAUUUUUAUGGUCACUUUACUAAAGUGAGUUGAGGGAUCAAAUAUAUAUGUCAAGUUUGUGGAGGGUAGAGUCUACGCAGAUCUCAUCACUACCUCGUGAAGCCAAGAGAGAUUGUUUCUAAGAGACCCUCGUCCAUGAAUAUUUCUAUGGUCACUUUACUAAAUUGAGUUGAGGGAUCGAAUAUAUAUGUCAAGUUUACGGAGGAUAGAAUAUACGCUGAUCUUACCACUACCUCAUGGGGGCAAGAGAGGCUGUUUCCGAGAGACCCUCGAUCCAAGUGAAUAUUUUUAUGGUCACUUUACUAAAGUGAGUUGAGGGAUCGAAUAUAUAUGUCAAGUUUGUGGAGGGUAGAGUAUACGCAAAUCUUAUCACUGCCUUGUGAAGCCAAGAGAGAUUGUUUCUAAGAGACCCUCGGCCAUGAAUAUUUCUAUGGUCACUUUACUAAAUUGAGUUGAGGGAUCGAAUAUACAUGUCAAGUUUGCGGAGGAUAGAAUGUACACAGAUCUUACCACUACCUCGUGGGGGCAAGAGAGGAUGUUUCCGAGAGACCAUCGAUCCAAGUGAAUAUUUUUAUGGUCACUUUACUAAAGUGAGUUGAGGGAUCGGAAUAUAUAUGUCAAGUUUGUGGAGGAUAGAGUAUACGCAGAUCUUAUCACUGCCUCGUGAAGCCAAGAGAGAUUGUUUCUAAGAGACCUCGGCCAUGAAUAUUUCUAUGGUCACUUUACUAAAGUGAGUUGAGGGAUCGGAUAUAUAUGUCAAGUUUGUGGAGGGUAGAGUAUACGCAGAUCUUAUCACUGCCUCGGGAAGCCAAGAGAGAUAGUUUCUAAGAGACCCUCGGCCAUGAAUAUUUCUAUGGUCACCUUACUAAAGUGAGUUGAGGGAUCGAAUAUAUAUGUCAAGUUUGUGGAGGAUAGAAUGUACGCAGAUCUUACCACUACCUCGUGGUGGCAAGAGAGGUUGUUUCCGAGAGAUCCUCGAUCCAAGUGAAUAUUUUUAUGGUCACUUUACUAAAGUGAGUUGAGGGAUCGAAUAUAUAUAUAAAGUUUGUGGAGGAUAGAGUAUACGCAGAUCUUAUCACUGCCUCGUGAAGCCAAGAGAGUCAAGUUGAGGUGGUAGAAUCUCUAAGAAAAAUAUGAGAUUCACCUUGCAAGAAAUGACAUUUGUUUAACUUAUGGAUAAGUUCUUAUUCAUCUUUAGAGCUUUGAUUCCAUGAAGAUGAUAAGUUCUUUUUAGCUUCUCAUGUCUAUUUUCUUUAUAUAUUCUUUUCCUUACUAUGUGGAGGAAAAGAUAAGAUAUUCCUUUCAGUGACGAAUUCAGAAUUUAAAGUCAUUUGGCUGUAAGAAGAGGAGGUCAAGCCACUCUAGCUACUUCAAUCNNNNNNNNNNNNNNNNNNNGACAGAUCUGAUAGGUGGAGAAUACAUUUAGCCGAUAAAACCAUUAGUUUAUUUCUCUAUUUAUUGGAUAUGGGACAAUUGGCACAUAAAUCGCCCCCGCUUGAGAACCAACGACCUCAUUGGUCACGACUAGCAUCCCUCUUGGGUCAAGGCCACCACUUCGAGUCGCGCCCCCUGCAUGGAACGGAUGACCUUGUUUGUCACGGCUGAGCUCAUUUGGUCACGACUGACAUCCCUCUUGGGUCCAGGUCACCACUCAUGUCACACAAGCCACCACUUCGAGUCGCGACCCCACGCAUGGAACCAACAACCUUGUUGGUCGGGGCUAGCACCCCUCUUGGGUCCAGGUCACCACUCUGAGUCGCACCCCCACGCAUGGAACCAACGACCUUGUUGGUCACGGCUAACACCCCUCUAACCAGGACAUCCUUCCACCCCUCUUGGGUCCAGGCCACCACUCGUGACACACAAACCACCACUUCGAGUCACGGCCCCACGCAUGGAACCAACUACCUUGUUGGUCACGGCCGGAACCCCUCCUAGGUCCAGGUCACCACUCCUGACACACAGGUCACUAAUCCGAGUCGCGGCCCCACGCAUGGAACCAACGACCUUGUUGGUCACGGCUGGCACCCUUCUCACCAGGAAAUCCUUCCAUCCCUCAUCAUUCAAUGAGAUCAAUCUUAAAGUUUUGCUUUCAGUGCCUAGAAGACUCAAUAGCAACUUUUAAAAGUUAAAAUAUUCAUAUUAGUUCAUGUUGGAUCUUCAAUAUGAAAGUUGUGCUGAAUGUUGAUGAGUAAGUAGUGUUGAUGAGUAAGUACUUAUGCAUAUAUAGAAAACAUUGUCUCAGUUGGAACAAUCUGCAACUCGAGAACAUAAAGUUGGAGUCACUAGUAAUCACAUGUCAACAUGUUGAUGUGAAUAUAUCAAGCCUUGUAUGUAUCGAACCAAUGAUCAUCUAUGACUUUUUUGGCACUAUUCCAUGCAACUUAAUUUUUUAUUUUUUUUUGCGUUAUGUUAAGUAUGUGACAUUAUAAUCCAUAGGCAGAUUUAGAAUUUAUAAUUUUUGCGAGUUCUUUAACACAUGCAAUAAGUUCUUUCAAAUUUGUAUCGCGUAUACUCUACAUCUGCCUCUGUUCGAAUCCAAAUGUCACGACAAACGGGAAGAAUAAUAGAUUGCGAACAUCCAACAACAACAACAACAUCAGCUAUUAUGUUUCAGUCUCAAACAAGUUACAAUCGACGAAACAGAAAAUUUUACAAGCAUGAGAAAAGUUUUCCAUUAUUAGCCAUUUUGACAAAAUAUAUGGCUUCCUUUUCUCCCUCAAUCUCCAUUCCUUUUAAAGGAAAAGAGGACUACUUAGAAAGCAAAAAAAAAAAAAAGACAUUGGGUUGAAGUUGACACACAAAAAAGUUUGUGUACAAGCUAGGAACCUACAUGUUGUUUUUAUAAUACAAAAACUUACAAUAAACCUAAUUUGGUCAGAUCCUUCUGCGAAUCCAUGCAAGUAAAAACUUAGUCCAGUGGACUAUUCUUUUUUUCUUCACUACAAGAAAUCAGUCAAUUUUCGACGGACAGUCCGUCGUCCGUUGGAAACAUCUCAGACGAGUGCAUUUUUGACGUAUUUAUCGACAGAAUAAUGUUAUCGAAAAAUUGACUGAUUUCUAGUAGUAGUGUUUUUUACUUAUAAACUAAGUUGUUCAGACUCUUCACUUUCGAUGCCGCACCUGUAUCUGAUUCUCCAAAUAUACACUACUUAUGAAGAAUCUGACACGUAUACGCCGACAUUUCUGACGAUAUUUUUGAAGAGUCCGAGUGGCAUAGCUUAGAACCAAAUAGCUUUGGCAUCAAUAAGCAUUUGUUUAAGUGAUCCAUCAACUUGUAAAGAUAUAAUAUCCUUAGAUGAUCCAACAAAUUUCCCACCAAUAAAAACAGCAGGAACACUUGGAUUACAACCUAAACUUCUCAAUGCUUUCUCCAUUUCUUUCCCUUUUGGAUCUUGAUCAAGUUCAUGAAUUGCUGGACUUGCUCCAAUGUCAUAAAAUAAUGCUUUAAUACUAUGACACAUAAAACAUGAACUCUUUGUGAAUAUUACAGCUGCCUUCUUUGAUGCCAAGUCACCUAUUCUAUCCAUAUCGAUCGAUAUGUAUAGAUAUAGAUAUAGAUACAGAUAUGGAUAUAAAUAUAUACGACGGUGAAACGAAGAAAAUAUGAAGAGUUGAUCACUAAGUUUAGUAGUAGAUGUUGGUGAUGAUAUUUGAGGUUACAUAUCUUGGUUAUUUAUAGGGAUUUUUAGAUAGAUAUGGAUUACAUUAUUUAUCCAGAAAAGGAAAAAAUAAAUUAUACUAAUGCAUAAAUGAAAAGGCAAUGUUCCUUAAAGAUAUUUCUUUAGAUAAAGGAAAGCAAAAGUAAGAAGAAAUAAAAUGUCACAUACUUUGAGAAAUUGAGUUUAACUUCUAUGUACUGACAGUUAAUGUGGAUUUUUAAGCGUUCAGAUAGUACUAUAGUAGUCAUCGUAUUGUCACUGUAGUUUUUAGUCCUUCGAUUCUUGUUACUAUAUGAUAUUUCUAUGCACUUACGACGAUUUUUAAGAGUUCAGAUAGUGGUAGUACUGUGUUGUCUUGUUAUUUGUCCAUACUAUAGUAGUCAUCGAAUUGCCACCGUAGUUACUAGUCCUUCGAUUCCUGUUACUAUCUGAUGUUUCCUGUACUUUGAUUAUUGUAUUAUUUAGAUGUAGUCACUUUUCGGUGUGUUUUGUGAUGCUUUCACUUCCUUGUUCUCUUUCUAAACUUCUUUAAUUUGAACUGUUUUUUCUCGAGUCGAGGGUCUAGUAGACGCAGUCUCUCUACCUUUGAGAUAGGGUAAGUUCUGCGUACUUUCUACUAUCUGUGUUUAUUGCUAAUUCCUAUGUUCUUAAAGUAGUAUUUGUCGAAGAGAAAUCGGUUGACAUCUCUUCAUCGGAAAAUUACACUAUGAAGAUCAAUCAAUUUCUUUUUUUGAUGUAUAUAUACUAUAUAUUGAAUCCCGUUGGCAUAUUUCUGCGUAUACUUUUUUAUAUUUUGAAUCUUCAUAGUGAGAAUUCUUGGCUCAACCUCUUUGUUCAAAUUCAGUUCAUCUAAAAGAUAUUUACAUGUACAUAAAAUCCUCAUAAAAAGUGGAAGGAAUAUCACAAAAAUAAGGUAAAUUGCUAAUUACGAUAGAUUGAAUAUUAGAUGGUUCUUUUCAUUUGUUUUAAUCUUGAAGAACAGAAUUACGAUAGAUUUAAUUAAGGUGCACGAAAACUAGUCCAAACACCACAGUUAUUAAAAAAAAAUCACUCGUAGUGUAAAAAAAGUUAUAUUUUGAGUGUAUAUUAAACUAAAUUCUUCUAUUUUGACCCUUUAAUACUAUGAAAAGUUGACAGACCAUAAAGAUAAUACCAAACUUUUUGUAGAAUCCAUACAACUAUUUAAUAAUAGUUAUUAAUUAAUAAACAAAUUGAUGGGGUAAAAGGCAAAGAUAUUAUUCCUUGAUUUUUUUCAUGAAAAAUUCUUUCAUUAGUGGGUAAAGUAAUUCUAAUUUUGGAGAUCUAGAAACUAAUACAGUAAUAUAUAGAUUUUUUUUUUCAAACUUUAAUGAUGUGUAAAGACAAUGCUACUGGUACAAGAGAUGUAUAGGAAUAUGGAAUAAAGAAAAAAAAAUUGGAAUAAAGAAAAAAAAUUAUGUUCUAUAUUCAAUUCAUAUAUAUAUAUAUAUAUAAUAGUAUAUUUUUAUGUGUCAUCUAAAAGAUAAUUAAUAUAAUUUUACUUUUGUAUAAGGAUGGUGUAAAUUUUUUAUUUUUUUUUACACUAUUAGGUUCGUUUAAAAGGUAAUUUCGGUAACCGAAAAGUAUAAUCUUUUUUAACCGCUUAAACUUUAUCAUUUUAUCAUAGCAAGUAAAGGUUUUCCCGCCCGCAAUUGUCUAAAAGAAUUUACACGUAUUUGGUCCAAAACGUAGGCAAAGACCUAGAUGUGUGGAAAUGCAAGUUGGUUUCGCGUCUGUUAUAACAUGUUAAAUUAUACUGAUAAAGUAAAAGAGAUAAGCAUUCAAUACCUCCACCAUCCACCCACCCGAAUUAUGGCCGCCCAUCCGAAUUAUGAUCAAAGUUGCUACGACACACUCCAACUUCACAAGGGUCCUAUUAUCCCCUGAACUCAAUUUUAGCAUAUUUUUAUCAUUUUUUUGUGCUGUCGUAAUAUUUUUAUUACAUAAAAUGGACCCCACGUCAAAGAUGCCACAUCAGCUAAGAAGGUUGAUAAAAGAUGUCACGUCAGCUAAAAAGGAUGACAAAAAUAUGAUAAUAUUUAAUUCGGGUGGUAAUAGGACCUUCGUGAAGUUAGAGUAUGUCGUAGCAAAUUUGUUCAUAGUUUUAAUUAUGAUGUAAGUGCAUAUGUGUUAAAAGGAGAGAUAUUUACAUUAUUACAUGUGUGGUGGUCCAAUAUGAUGAUUAUUGGUAGAGAACUUGGAGGAUUUUUAGAUGAUGUGGAAUAGACAAGAGCUUCUAUUAUUUUGUUCUUAUAACCUUUCUUUACUAUCAUGAGAUUCAAUAUUAUUUGUUCAAUGGGAUGUGUCACAAUUGUAACCAAGUUGAGUACUCUUCUUUUACUUUGUUAAAAUGGAUGAUAGAUAUUAUUGUUUCAUGUAGUUGAAUCUAGAUUAAUGAAGAUAUUCGAGAUAAGAUGGGAAUAGUCUGUGUAGUGGACAAAUGAAGUAGGCAAGGUUGAGAUAGUAUAGGCGUGGAGAUAAGCAUUCAGUGCUCCCGAACUAUGAUAAAAGUUUCUACCGAACUAUGAUAAAAGUUUCUACGACACACUCUAACUUCACAAAGAUCCUAUUACCCUCUGAACUCAAUUUUAGGGUAUUUUUGUCACUCUUUUGUGAUGAUGUGGCACCUUUAAUACAUAAAAUGGGGCCCACACCAAAGGUGCCACAUCAGCUAAAAAGAUUGACAAAAGGUGUCACGUCAGCUAAAAAGAAUGACAAAAAUACGCUAAAAUUUAGUUCGGGGAUAAUAGAACCCUCGUGAAGUGGAGUGUGUCGUUGCAACUCAUAAUUCGGGGGUACUAGAUGUUUUACUCUAUAGGCGUGCGAAGAAGAAAUGUCAAAUGUCGUAGUGAGGAGGUGUGAAAGAUUCAUAUGGUGGGAACGAGGAGAGGUAGAAGUAAGUUAAAGAAGUAUUAGAGAAGGUGAUUAGACAGAACAUGACGUAGUGGCAAUUUACUGAGGACAUGACCUUAGAUUAGAGGCUAUGAAGGAAGCAGAUUGGGAUAGAAAGUUAGUAGGUAGUAGAGCGCUGUCUCGCUUUAUGACGUAGAGGUUAUGGAGGAAGCCGAAGGAGUAUUAGAGAGAGGUGAUUAGACAGAACAUGACAUAGAUGCAACUUACUAAGGACAUGACCUCUAGGAAACAGAUCGAGGUAGAAAGUUAGUAGGUAGUAAAGCAUUGUCUCGCUUCUUGGUGAUAUAGUUUGAAGCACCGUUUAUGUCGUAGUAUUAAACUUAUUCAUGAAUUUCUUGUUUUUUCGAUAUAUGCUACCAUAUAAAGUCGAUGUUAUUGUUCCUUUUCUGUAUGCUUUGCAUUGCUUUUCGUAUUAGUUACCAUGUUUUCCUUGUUGCCGUAUUCCCUCGUGCAUGACUAUUUUGACUUAAUGCACUUGACUCGAAGAUUGUUCAGAAACAACCUCUUUGCCUCCAUGAUGUAGGGAUAAAGUUUGCAUACACUCAGGAUGGACCAAUGACCAUCUUCUUGGUGCUCCGGCACCCGUUGAAUUCGAGGCAGACUUAUAAAAGCACCUAGUAAACCGAACCUCCUAAGCACCCACGACUCCUAAAUCCUGAGUCCGCCACUACUUACACUGAACCCUCCCCAGACCCCACCAGUUGAAUUACAUUGAGUAUGUUAUUGUUUUAUGUAGUUGAAUCUAUAUAAUCCGUCUAAGGGAAUGAAAGAAAAAACAAAGAGUAUCUUGUAGUGAUAGAGAUGCAUCUUAAUUUGCUUCAUCUCUUUUUCUAUUGUAUAUGAUGAUGUUUUCAAAUACUUAGGACAGGGAAACCCCAUGCCCAAAGCAUCCCACGUUUACGCAGGGUCCAGAGAAGGGCCGCAUGGCAAGGGGUCCAAUGAGACACGUUAACACAGGGUUAGGGGAAGCCGCAAGGGGUCCAAUGAGACGUUUACACAGGAGAAGGGGAAGGGCCGCACCACAAGGGGUCCAAUGAGACACGUUUGCGCAGGGUCAGGGGAAGGGCCGCACCGUAAGGGGUCCAAUGAGACAAAUUUACGCAGGGCAGGGUUAGGGGAAGGACCGCACCGUGCAAGGGAUCCAAUGAGACAAUGAGGAGAUUCUUCAAUUGAAAGAAGGUAACAUUGAGCCAUUUAUUCAUAAUGUACAGAAAUUACCAGGAAAAGCAUACAUAGGAGUUGUUGUUUACAUCAACUUUGCUGGCCAACUUCGCCGACUUGAGAGUUGCAUAUUCGGUAUUGAAGAAAUACCAGACGCUACGCUACACAAUGAGGAGGGGUCCGUAUUGGAUCCUGAAACAAUCCGGAUUGUUAUUCUGGCGAUGACAUGUAAGGGGCAUUCGGUAUAUCAGGAAGAGAAGAAGCUGAUGAACUAUCUCGUACUGUUCCCAUUGGAUGAUCGAAUUUACAAGUGCCACCGAAUUUGCAGAAUCCUCUUUGCAUAAAGAAGGAACAAGGCUGCACCCCCUACUUUCACAAGUGAAAUUAGUCGAGUCUCAAAACAGACUAACGAGUUACACACAUCAAUACUUUCAGACUCAACAAAGCUAAUAUAACAAGAUGAAAGUGUCGCAAUCGUUCAGGUAUCAUGAAGCUCACCAGAUAUCUGAACCAGAUAUGAAGGUUUUGAAACCGGAGAAAGGAGAUUUUACACUUCCUCCAACCAAGGCAAAGAAGUAUUCAUGUAUCAUGCAGAGACUCGAGAUGAUAACAAACAUACUUGGUUAUACUGGAACCAUCGAAGGAGGCUAACAUCUCUAGUGUAGCUAUAUGUUCUCGAGUCUAGAAGAUGUGCAGCCAUCAUUUUGGCAUUUGAAAGUUAGGCAAUCGUUAGAAUUCAACCGUUUGUAUUCUGUGUGAACAUAUCGUGACAUUUUCAAAUCGCAACAUAUUUUGUUUCAUUUCUUGUUAGGACUGAUAACUAACAGCAGCCUAAUAAGUCAUACGGACCAGCGGCCAGCGACUAAUGCAGAACAGGUAAGAGUAGUCAGACUGCCCUUUUGUAGUUUAUCUACAUGGCAUAGAGCAUGCAAGAGGCAAGUACCUCUGUAGCUCCAAGAAGAACCGUAAAUUUAGAUUCAACAAAAUAAUACUACUUGAAUUCUGUGACAACUAUGCAGCUGAGCAGGCUAAGAACGGUAAUGCAUGGCAGGAUCUCAGUUUCAGGCAAGACCAGAUAGACAACGAUGCUCAUCACAGAUUUAUCCAGAUUGGAUUCUAAAUUCGCGAUGCCAAGUCAAACAGAAGGAAGAAAGAAGGAUAUUAGUCAUACCGGGCGCAAAGGAAGGCCUAAGGAGUUGACAGCGCAAUCUGUCUUUGAUGGACUCCAGUCGGCAGGAUGAUGAAACUUACAUGAUGAUCCAAAUUUACAAUCCCCCGUUUGCAUGUAAUAUUGACAUACUCGUUGGCCUGGUCUUUCAGGAAAAUGCUUUUCCUGCAAUGCACUGCUUGACGGGCCAUCAGCUAAGUGUAACGAGGAGUAAGGUGCUGCAAUGGCAGGUGUCGAAGAUGCUAGUUGUGAUAGUGCAAGACUUCCCGGUGCCUGCAAAAAGCAAAUUAAUCACCCGAUAGGAUUGUUAUUUUCCGUCAUAUCAGAUAAUCGACUGAGAGAAUAUCUCCAUCAUACCGAAUAAGUGCUCCAGUUCUGAACGGUCGCUAAUCCUGGGUGAAGCAGAACUGGACCGUAAGUACCAGGUACAUAAGAACUAGGUAAGAGUUGAGGCCUCGUUUCUUCAAGAGGUGCAGGAAGAGACGGCACUGUCGGAUAAAAUGGCCGUGCAGUUACUGGCGCUGAUACCUCAGCAGGGUUAGGAUGAUGGAAUUUACAUGUUAAACCAAAUUUGCAUUGCCCCGUUUUCAAAUAAUAGGAGCAUACUCUUUCCUCCUGUCGUAAUUGAUAAAUUUUGAGAGCUCUUAACCAAACUUAUCGAUAGAGUACACAAAUGCAUACAUACAACGAAAUAGAUCAAUUACCGGGCGUAAUGGGUAUCCAUAUUCAUUUAGUGGUACAUUGCUCAAAGAUCCACCCAAGUUUCUUGGAUGGUGGAACUUGCACGAUGCACCAUAUUUACAGGUCGCUGUUCUUAGAUAGUACUGCAAAUAGAAAUUAUCCAUUCAUCACACACGAAAUCAAUAUUGCAUACACGCGUACUUGAUAAAACAACAUGAUCAAACACGAACAAACUCAGGAUGUUAAAUAGAGUUACCUGACAUAUAGGCUCUCCUAUUCGUUCUGGAUAUUCACUUCUUUCCAACGGCACAACACCAACCUUAAAUCCGAGCCACACCCAAGUAAGAGUCAAAGUAACUCAUGCUUACCAUUCCGAGAAACUAACAGAACAAAUAAAAAUCGUCCAUUUCUACUUCAUCUUGUUAAGUAUACAAAUAGAAAAACAUAAAAUGAUCGGCCAAAUAGUACCACUCUUUUGUUAUCGUUAUAAUAUUUCUUCAAACACUCUGCUUUUGAUUAGAUUGCCUUUGAUUUUCUUGCCGUGCCUACUCAGUGCAUUCUCUGUGCAGGACCUUUUCAUUCAAAUCCUCACUCUCAACUAGUCUUAGUUGAAAUGUAAAGUUAGCUACCGAGUUACUUACGGUGUAUAAUUGUCUUUUACAUCACCAAUAUGAGCGAAAACGACCUAAAUGAUCCCUUAUAGUUGUGCGUAGACACAUAACAUCAACCUUAUUCUUUAGUAUGGUGCAUGCACUAUUAGCGCAUCAAAAUCGGUAAACAAUAAGGAGUAAUAGUGCACCAGGUAAAAGAAUACAGAUAACUAUAUUACUCAGCUCGAAAUAAGGGACUAUUUUAGACUUUUUUUCCCAAUGAGACAUUAAGGUUUCAGCGUAUAACGUUAGUACCAAUUCAAUAAGCUUGUCGGUUCAUGAUUCUCUAUGAAACUAUAGGCUCCAUUAAACAAGUAAUGAUCAGUAUAGUCAUCAGGAGCGGAUCUAGCCUUCAACGUAAGGGUUCACGUGAAUCUAGUAGCUUUUCGUCAAACUCUAUGAAGCCCAUUGGUAAAAGUACAUCAAUUUGAGGUCGCGAUAGGAACUCAUAAACUUCAAAUCUUGAAUUCGUCUGAUGAUAGUAAGCUUAAUUAACACAAUAUAUAACUACAAGAUGAGAUCAAGAAACUUACAGAGGUUAAAUCAGGAGGAUGAUUAUACCGACAUUGAGCACCAUAUCCACAAGACCCCGUACGCAUAUAGAAGGAACAAUUAGGUGUCCCGGACCUUUCCGGGUACCCUUCAUUGCUCCAUAACCCCAACCUCCUCAUUGAUUCUACAUUGUCAAAACACACACACACACAAAGAAUGUGGACAGACCCCAAAAAGUCAAAUUCAUUAAAUCAAAAAAUACCAAAGGAAAAUUCUUCCUUUAUAGACAUGAACAUAAGAAGGAAAAAAUACUAUUUACACUAUAUUUCCACUCCAUUCUUUCAUUUUCUUGAAAAAAAAAGUCCGUCGCUUAUGUUUCCGAUGAUCUUUCGGAAACAGUCUCUCUACCUCCACGAGGUAGUUAUAAGGUCCGCAUACACUCUACCGUCCGCACAUCCCACUUGUGGAAAACCCCUUGGUCCCCGAGUGUCUUACGGAAACAACCUUUCUACCUCUACAAGUUAGUUAGUGGUAAUUAAGUUUUGCGUACACUCUACCCUACUGUCACCGAUUUGUCAUCAAAUUUGUGCAGUGAAAGAACUCACCUUCUAGACCGGUUUCCGGUCCAACAGGUACCCAUUCUGGCUGCUGAUCAGAUUGUGAUCCACCAUACAUCUCCAUAUUUUUUUACCUAAAAUUCACUAAAAAAAGUGAAAAAAAAAAUUAGGCAAAAAAUUUACUAUUCAAAAGAGCAAGAUCGUGCAUAUAACAGUCCGGUGCACUAAAGCUCCCGCCAUGCACGGAGUCUAGAGAAGGACCGGACUACCUGAGUCUAUUAUACACAACCUUACCUUCCAUUUCUGCCCGAGAUCGUGCAUGUAUGUAACACAAACAUUCAAUUUAUGUAUAGAUAUGUGUUAUGAGUAGGAAAAACACACACAGUGAGUGUGUGUUUUUGGUGUUUUUUUCUCUUUUUUUUGCAAGAAUCUAUUCUACGAAGCCUUACCUUGCAUUUCUGUUAGACAUCAUGCAUUUAUGUAACAAAAACAUUGAAUUUCUAUAUACAUAUGAGUUAUAAAUAUGAAAAAAAAACACAGUGAGUGUGUGUUUUUGGUGUUUUUUUCUCUUUUUCUGUACGAGUCUAUUAUACGCAACCUUACCUUGCAUUUCUGUCAAAAAUCAUGAAUAUAUAUAACACAAACAUUCAAUUUCUGUGUAGAUUAUGAGUUAUCAAUAUGAAAAAAACACAGAGUGAGUGUGCGUUUUUGGUGUUUUUUUCUCUUUCUUUAUGCACGAGUCUAUUAUACGCAGCCUUACUUUGCAUUUCUGUCAAAGAUCAUGCAUAUAUAUAACACAAACAUUGAAUUUCUAUAUAGAUAUGAGUUAUCAAUAUGAAAAAAACACACAGUGAGUGUGUGUUUUUGGUGUUUUUUCUCUUUUUCUGUACGAGUCUAUUAUACGCAGUCUUACCUUGCAUUUCUGUAAGAAAUCAUGCAUAUAUAUAACACAAACAUUGAAUUUCUAUAUAGACAUGAGUUAUCAGUAUGAAAAAAAAACACAGUGAGUGUGUGUUUUUGGUGUUUUUUUCCUCUAUUACUGCAAGAAUCUAUUAUAUACGCAGCCUUACCUUACAUUUCUGGCAGAGAUCACGCAUGUAUGUAACACAAACAUUCAAUUUCUGUGUAGAUUAUGAGUUAUCAGUAGGAAAAACAAACACAGUGAGUGUGUGUUUUUGGUGUUUUUUCUCUCUGUUUUUUUGCACAGUACAGUGAAGUUCAAGAAGUGAAGUAAACUACUUUUUCUUCUUAUUAUUUUGCUUUUAUAUUUUCUCAAACUGUAACCGUUCAUUUUUAUUUUUUAUUUUUGUUUCCUUUCAUUAAGCUACCCGCCAAAGUAUGUUUGAUGGGGGGUAUGCAUUAAUUAAAUUAAAGAAAAACAAUAAAUAAAAUAAUUAUGUCAUUUUAGUUAGUUUUUGUGUUUUUAAAUUUUAGAUGUGUGUAACUAGUAUUUAAAUUUGUAUAAAGUUGAAUAAAUAAAUACGUGCAUUGCCACGUAGAUGUCACGUGCAUCCUUGUACUUUUCAAAAAGAAAAAUAAUAUUUGCCCUUUAUUAUACUUUUUGGAUAUAUUUAUAUUUAUCAUCGAAUUUUGAGUACAUAUUUAUUCCUGAAUUGUUAAUUUCUCUUGUCUCGCCUUUACAUCCUACGUGGCAUGCUCACGUGAAUUUUUCAUCUUCUUUCUUUUUGUAACCAUUCUUUUCUCACCUUUACCUCCUAUGUAGCACGCCCGCAUGAAUUUUUCAUUUUUUCUUUUUGUAACCGUUCUUUUCUUUAUUUUCUUCCUUUCAGUACCUGCCAAAGUAUGGUAUAGGGCCAAGCAUGAUGAAGUAGGAGUAUUCGGUAGGCAAUCUUUUUGACUUGAUCAAAAAAUGAGUCAUUCAUUAAAGUAAAUAGAACCGAUAAAUGUAUAAUAUGUGUUUUGUACAUAAACUAUUUUAACAGUAUUAAAUUUACAUGACUUAGUAUAAACAUCGAGCACGGAUGAGAUAAUUAUUUGCCUUUAUCAUUGAACUUUGAGUACAUAUUUAUCCCUGAACUGUUAAUUCCUCUUCUGGAUCAUCUUUACUUUCUAUGUGGCAUGCUCACGUGAAUUUUUCAUCUUCUUUCUUUUUGUAAGCAUUUUUUCUUUCACUAUCCGCCAAAGUCUGGUAAAGGGCCCAACAUGAUGAAGCAAAAGCAUUCAGUUGGCAAUCUUUUUGACUUGACCAAGAAGUGGGUUAUGCAUUAUAGUAAAUAGAAUCGAUAAAUGUAUAAUAUGUGUUUGUAUAUAAAUUUUUUAACGGCAUUAUAUUUACAUGAUUUAGUAUAAACAUCGAGCAUAGAUAAGAUAAUUAUUUGCCUUUAUCAUCAAACUUUGAGUACAUAUUUAUCCCUGAAUUAUUAAUUCUCUUGUCUCACCUUUAUCUUCCACGUGGCACAUUCACGUGAAUUUUUUUAUUUUUUUUUUGUAACCAUUUUUUUCUCACCUUUACCUCCUACGUGGCACGUUCAUGUGAAUUUUUUUUAUCUUUUUUUCUUUUUGUAACCGUUCUUUUCUAUCUUUACCUUUUACGUGGCACGCUCACGUUAAUUUUUCAUAUUCUUUCUAUUUGUAACUGUUCUUUUCUUUGUUUUCUUCUUUUAGUAUCCGCCACAAUAUGGUAAAGGGUCAAACAUGAUGAAAUUGGAGCAUUCAGUCGGCAAUCUUUUGGACUUAAACCAAGAAAUGAGCUAUGCAUUAAAGUAAAUAGAAUCGAUAAAUGUAUAAGAUGUGUUUUGUUCAUAAAUUUUUUAACAGUAUUAAAUUUACAUGACUUAGUAAAACAUCGAGCACGAAUGAGAUAAGUAUUUGCCUUUAUCAUCGAACUUUGAGAACAUAUUAUCGUUCUUUUCUUUGUUUUCUUCCUUUCAAUACUCGUCAAAGUAUGAUAAAGGGCCAAACAUGAUGAAGUAGGAGCAUUCAGUCAGCAAUCUUUUUUACUUGAUCAAGAAAUAGGUUAUGUGUUAAAGUAAAUAAAACCGAUAAAUGUGUAAAAUAUAUGUUUUGUACAUAAUCUUUUUUAGCAUUAUUAAAUUUACAUGAUUUAGAGUUAGAGUUUGUGACCCAAAUUCUGUUGAUCUGACCCUGAAAAGUUCGCGGUACGACCCAUGUUUGUGAUUCUUUGUGGGGUCAGUGGUGGGCUCCGAGAUCGGGCCGAUACUUGUGUGUUUUUGGGCCUAGAAUUUAUUUGUACACACGUAUUAUAUAAGUGCAAUUUAAUGGGUUGUUUUGGACGGUUUGAAAUACGUCAUUGAGACUUCCGUCUCCUAUUGUACUCCUCUCCAUUAUAGUGAAAUUCCUCCUCCUCUGCCUGUGAUUUUUCCCGCAAAGAUUUUCACAUAAAUCUAUGUGUCUUCUUUUACUUUGUGAUAUUACUUAUUCUGCCCAAAUAUAACAUUUAAUAUAAACAUCGAGUAUGAAUAAAAUAAAUAUUGUACCCUAGUAAAUGAGGUUUCAACAAAGUGGUUUAAAAGAAUUUUUAAAGUCUCAACUAUUAACAAAAGAGUUUAAAAUAUUUUUUUAUGUCCAACUAUUCAUGUUAGAAGCACCUGAUUAAUCAUUUUGUGUUGAAAAACUGCACAAAAUUUGCACUUUUACUGAUAAAAAUUUGCACAAAUAAUUAUAUAUAAAAAAAAAAAGAUCUAGACAAAAUACAAAGUGAGCACUUAUAUUUCACACUUAUAUUUUCUUUCUUUUACACACAGAGUAUUGGAAAUGGGGGUUAUCCAUUAAUUAAAUAAAAAAGAGCCAAUAAAUGAUACUCCCUAUGUGUAUCAUGUGGUAUAAUAGAUUUAUAAUAUGAAUUGCUCCGUACGAUGUCAUAUAAGACACAUGUAUUAUUUAUUUAAGUAAAUAGAUUUAAAUGUCUAUUUGUGUACAUCUAAAACUGAAUAACGUAAAUGUCAGUUGAGGUUAAAUUAAAGGACACAUUUAUAUAUUAUAUCUCAUCUAUUCAUGAAAUCUGAGAAGAAUUUGAUUAAUCAUUUGUUUUUGAAGAAUUUCUUGAAAAUUCUUCAAGAUUAAAUUGUUUUUGUACUUUUCAAAAAAUAUUAGUAGAUUUGCUUUUCGUUUUCUUAUCGUUCAACUUUACACACAUAUUUAUCCUACGUGGUGCGUCCACAUGAAUUUUAUGUUUUCUUUCUUUCUAUAACAGUUCUUUUUUUGUUUUCUCCGUCUUAGUACCCACCAAAUUAGGGAAAGGGGGUUAUGCAUUAAAUUACAUAGAAUCGAUAAAUGUGUAAUAUGUGUUUUGUACAUAUUUUUUUAGCAAUUUACAUGAUUUAGUGUAGACAUCAUGUGAUACGUAUUUUAUCUUAGUAACAGUGAAUCUAGAAUUCAAAAUUUGAUUCUCAAAAUGGUUUUCUGGAUAUUCUUUUAUAGCUCUACUAUUCACGAAAUGUGAGAAGCACCUGAUUAAUUAUCUAUUUUUAAAAACAAAUCGAAAAAUUUCUUGAGAUUUUACAAGAUCAUUCGUUCUUUUUUUAGGAAACAAAUUUGUUUUUGUACUUCUCAAACAAAUUAUAUUUGCUCUUCAUUAUAUAUAUAUAUAUAUAUAUAUAUUUGUUCUUAUCAUCCAACUUUAAAAAUAUAUUUCUGAAUUAUUAAUUUUUCUUACAUGCCAUCACUUUAUUUCCUACGUAGCGCGCUCACGUGCAUAUAUUUUUAGUGUACUUUUUUUCUUUGGUUAACCAUUCUUUUUUCUUUGUUUUAUUCCUCCCAAUUUCAACAGUCCACCCAACUAGGGGUGGGCAUGGUAUGGUAUGGUACGGUAUUUUAAAUUUCAGUACGGUAACUUUGGUUUUCGGUAUCUAAAAGAACAAUACCAUUACCAUACCAAAUUAGUUUGGUAUGGUUCGAUAUUUUUGAAUUCGGUUUUGAUAUUUUAUGGUACGGUAAUUCAGUAACCAUACUUUAUUUGAUUUCGAUUUACAUAUAUUCAUAUAAAAAAACUAUAACUUAAAAACUUAAAAACGUCUCAAUCAUAUCAGACUAACAACUAUCUUUGUUAAUCAUCUACACAACUAUCUUUAUUAUCCAACUUUGCACACAUAUUUAUCCUUGAAUUGUUAAUUGCCCUUGUCAUCCCCAUAUUUUUUUCCUACGUGGUGCGUGCCCACGUGAAUUUUUUGUUUUCUUUUUUUCUAUAAUAAUUCUUUUAAUUUGUUUUCUCCAUCUAAAUACCCACCAAACCCGCCAAAGUAGGGAGAGAGGGUUAUGCAUUAAAUUAUAAAGAACCGAUAAAUGCAUAAUAUGUAUUUUGUACAUAAGCUUUUAGUCAUUUACAUGAUCUAGUGUAAAUUUAUCCUAGUAUCAGUGAAUCUAGAAUUUAAAAUUUGAUUCUCAAAUAUUUUUUCUAGAUAUUCUUUUAUAGCUCAACUAUUCGUGAAACGUGAGAAGCACUUGAUUAAUCAUCUGUUUUAAAACAAAUCGAAGUAUUUCUUGAAAAUUUUACAAGAUCAUUUGUUCUUUUUUUUAGAAAAGGGUCAAAUUUGUCGUUGUACUUCUUAAAAAAAUUAGAGAUAAUACCCAAUUACCUCCCUGAACUAUACCCAAAAAGGCUAUGACAUACCUCAACUUAAAGGGGGUCCUAUUACCCCCUGAACUAAUUAAAAAUGUAAUUUUGACACCCUUAGUGCCUAUGUGGCACAUACGUGGCACAACACACUGAAGUGUCCACGUAGGCACACGUGUGUGCCACGUAGGCACUAAGGGUGUCAAAAUUACACUUUUAAUUAGUUUAGGGGGUAAUAGGACCCCCUUUAAGUUGAGGUGUGUCACAAUCUUUUUGGGUAUAGUUCAGGGGGGUAAUUGAGUAUUUUCUCAAAAAAUUAUGUUUGCUCUUCAUUAUAUAUAUAUUUUAGAUAUAUUAGUCCUUAUCAUCCAACUUUAAGAAUAUAUUUCUGAAUUGUUAAUUCUUCUUACACGCCAUUACUUUAUUUUCUAUGUGGCGCGCUCACGUGCAUUUUCAAUGUACUUUUUUCUUUUUGUAACCGUUCUUUUCUCUUUGUUUUCUUCCUCUCAAUUUCGACAUCCCACCCAACUAUUCACGAAAUGUGAGAAGUAUUUGAGUAAUCAUCUUCUUUUACAAAAAAAUAAAAUAAAAAAAAAUUGAAGCAUUUCUUGAGAAUUUUAUCAAAUUCGUUCUUUUUUUUUUUUUUUUUUUUGAGAAAAGGUCAAAUUUGUUGUUGUACUUCUCAAAAAAAAUUAUAAUAUCUCUUCAUUAUACUUUUUUGUUAUAUUUGCCCUUAUCAUCUAAGUUGGAGCAUAUAUUUAACAUUGACUUGUCAAUUCCUCUUGCAUGUCCUCACUUUAUUUCCUAUGUGGCGCGCUCGCAUGCAUUUACAGUGUUCUUUCUUCGCGCUCGCAUGCAUUUACAGUGUUCUUUCUUUCUUUUUUCUUUGUUUUCUUCCUCUCGAUUUUAAUAGUCCACUCAACUAUUCACAAAAUGUGAGAAGGACCUGAUUAAUCAUUUUUAAAAAUAAAAAAAAGUCAAAGAAUUUCUUGAAAAUCUUAUUAGAUUUUCAUUCUUUUUUGGGGAAAGAAUGUUAAUUCCUCUUGUGACCUCCUACGUGGCACGCUUACGUAAAUUUUUCAUGUUCUUUUCAGCAUCCGUCAAAGUAUGGUAAAGAGCCACACAUGAUGAAGUAGGAACAUUCGGUAAGCAAUUUUUUUGCCUUGACCAAAAAUUUGAAGUAAAUAGAAUCAAUAAAUGUAUAAUAUGUGUUUUGUACAUAAAUUCUUUUGAUAGUAUUAAAUUUACAUGACUUGGUGUAAAUAUCGAGCGCGAAUAAGAUAUCUAUUUUAUCCUAGUAAAUGAUGUUUUAACAUCUGUGGCCGGUUUCCUACCGCUUAAUGCACUGACAGAGGAACGAAGGAUUAGUCUCAUGAUUGCCGGCUGUGGGGAUACCUUGGGAAACCAAAAAAAAAAAAUAAACAAAAAAAGUCUCAAUUAUUAACAAAAGAGUUUUGAAUAUUUUUCAGUAUCUAAUUAUUCACGAAAGGUAAGAAGCACCCGAUUAAUUAUUUUGUGUUAAAAACUCCAUAAAAUCUGCACUAUUACUUGAUAAAAAUCUAAAUAAAAUUAUAAAAGAAAAUCUAGAUAAAAUACAAAGUGAAAUGUGAGAGAAUUUGAUUAAUCAUUUAUUUUCUAAGAAUUUCUUGGAAAUUCUACAAGAUCCAUUCGUUUUUAUUAGAAACGAAUCAAAUUUUUUCUUGUACUUUUCAAAAAAUAUUAAUAGAUUUACUUUUCGUUAUAUUUUUUGUGAUAUAUUUGUCCUUAUCAUUCAACUUUACACACAUAUUUAUCCUUGAAUUGUUAAUAUUCCUAGUGUUAUCCCUAUAUUUUUUUUUCCUACGUGGCACGUGCCCACGUGAAUUUUCUUUUCUUUUCUUUUUUUUAUAACAAUUCUUUUUUAUUUGUUUUCUCCAUCUCAGUACCCGCCNNNNNNNNNNNNNNNNNNNNNNNNNNNNNNNNNNNNNNNNNNNNUAUGCAUUUUGUACAUAAAUUUUUAACAAUUUACAUGAUUUAUUAUAAACAUCAUGUGAUACACAUUUUUAUCCUAGUAUCAGUGAAUCAAGAAUCUAAAAUUUAAUUCUCAGAAAUAUUUUUCUAGAUAGUCUUUUAUAGCUCAACUAUCACGAAGCGUGAGAAACACCUGAUUAAUCAUCUAUUUUUAAAACAGAUCGAUGAAUUUCUUGAAAAUUUUAUAAGAUCAUUCGUUUUUUUUUUUUUAAGAAUAGAGUCAAAUUUGUCUUUGUACUUCUUAAAAAAAUUAUAUUUGCUCAUUAUAUAUAUAUUUUGGAUAUAUUUGUCCUUAUCAUUUAGCUUUAAGAAUAUAUUUCAGAACUGUUAAUUUUUCUGAUAUGCCAUCACUUUAUUUCCUAUGUGGUGUGCUCACGUGAAUUCUCAAUAACCGCUUGACAUAUUUUUUAGUGUUCAAUUAUUCAUAAAACGUUAGAAGCACCAGAUUAAUCAUAUUGUGUUAAAAACUGCACAAAAUUUGCACUUUUAUUUAAUAAAAAUCUGCACAAAAUUAUUUAAAAAAUCUAGAAAAAUACAAAGAAAAAUUAUAGAGCAUUUGAUUAAUCAUUUAUUUUCGAAGAAUUUUUUGAGAAUUCUACAAAAUUCAUUCGUUUUUGUUUAGAAAAGAAUCAUAUUUGAUCUUGUAGUUUUCAAAAGAUAUUAACAGAUUUGCUUUUCGUUAUAUUUUUUUGAUAUAUUUUCCCUCGUCAUUCAACUUUACACACAUAUUUAUCCUUGAAUUGAUAAUUGCUCUUGUCAUCCCCAUAUUUUUUUCCUAUGUGGCGCAUGCCCACGUGAUUUUUUUUUUUUUUUAUAACAGUUCUUUUACUUUAUUUUCUCCAUCUCAGUACCCGCCAAAGUAGAGAAAGGGGGUUAUGCAUUAAAUUACAUAGAACCGAUAAAUGUAUAUUAUGUGUUUUGUACAAAAUUUUUUAGCAAUUUGCAUUAUUUAAUAUAAACAUCAUUUGAUACGUUUUUUAUUCUAAUAACGGUGAAUCUAGAAUUUAAAAUUUGAUUCUCUAAAUGUUUUUCUGGAUAUUUUUGUUAUAGCUCAAUUAUUCACGAAACGUGGAAAGCACCUGAUUAGUCAUUUAUUUUUUAAAACAAAUCAAAGAAUUUCUUGAAAAUUUUACAAGAUUAUUCAUUCUUUUUUAAGGAAAAGGUCAAAUUUAUUUUUGUACUACUAAAAAAAUUAUAUUUGCUCUUCAUUAUAUAUUUUCUUUUUUGGAUAUUUCUUUCUUUAUCAUCCAAAAGAAUAUAUUUCUGAAUUGUUAAUUCUUCUUACAUGUCAUUACAUUAUUUUCUACAUGGUACGCUCACGUGCAUUUUCAGUGUACCUUUUUUUUUUUUGUAACCGUUCUUUUCUCUUUGUUUUCUUCCACCCAAUUUUUAGUGCAUUUUUAGUGACCUUCUACAUUGCACACUCACGUUAAUUUUUCAUAUUCUUUCUUUUUGUAACCGUUCUUUUCUUUGUUUUCUUCCUUUCAAUACCCGCCAAAGUAUGAUAAAGAGCCAAGUUUGAUGAAAUGGAAACAUUCAGUUGGAAAUCUUUUUGAUUUGACCAAGAAGUGAGUUAUGCAUUAAAGUAAAUAGAACAGAUAAAUGUAUAAUAUGUGUUUUGGACAUAAAUCGUUUUAACAGUAUUAAAUUUACAUGAUUUAGUGUAAGCAUCGAGUACGGAUGAGAUAAUUAUUUGUCUUUAUCAUCGAACUUUGAGUACAUAUUUAUCCUUGAAUUGUUAAUUCCUCUUCUCGAUCUCCUUUACUUCCUACGUGGCACGCUCACAUGAACUUUUCAUAUUCUUUCUUUCUGUAACCGUUCUUUUCUUUGUUUUCUUUCUCUCAGUACCUGUCAAAGUAUGAUAAAAAGUCACACAUGAUGAAGUGGGAGUAUUCAGUCGUCAAUCUUUUUUGACUUGACCAAGAAUUGAGUUAUGCAUUAAAGUAAAGUAAAUAGAACCAAUAAAUAUAUAAUAUGUGUUUUGUACAUAAGUUCUUUUAACAAUAUUAAAUUUAUAUGAUUUAGUGUAAACAUCAAGAACGGAUAAGAUAAGUAUUUUAUCCUCGUAAAUGAGGUUUCAACAAAGUGAUUUAAAAGAAUCUUUAAAGUCUCAACUAUUAACAAAAGAGUUCUGAAUAUUUUUUUUAAUUUUCAACUAUUCACUAAACCUGAUUAAUUAUUUUGUGGUAAAAAUUGCACAAAAUCUGCACUUUUACUUGAUAAAAAAUCUUCACAAAAUCAUUUAUUUUCGAAGAAUUUUUUGAGAAUUCUACAACUUUUUUAGAAAAGAAUCAAAUUUGUUCUUGUACUUUUCAAAAAAUAUUAAUAGAUUUGCUUUUCGUUAUAUUUUUUUAAUAUAUUUACUUUUAUUAUCCAACUUUACGCACAUAUUUAUCCUUGAAUUGUUAAUUGCUCUUGUCAUCCCCAUAUUUUUUUCCUACAUGGCGCGUGCCCCCGUGAAUCUUUUGUUUUUUUCUAUAACAGUUCUUUUUUCUUCAUUUUCUCCGUCUCAGNNNNNNNNNNNNNNNNNNNNNNNNNNNNNNNNNNNNNNNNNNNNNNNNNNNNNNNNNUGUUUUGUACAUAAAUUUUUCGCAAUUUACAUGACUUAGUGUAAAUAUCAUGUGCUACGUAUUUUAUCCUAGUAUCAGUGAAUCUAAAAUUUAAAAUUUGAUUCUCAAAAUAUUUUUUUUGGAUAUUCUUUUAUAGCUCAACGAUUUAGAAACAUGAGAAACACCUGAUAAAUCAUUUAUUUUUUAAACAAAUAGAAGAUUUUUUUCAAAAUUUUACAAAAAUAUUCGUUCUUUUUUUAGGAAAGGGUCAAAUUUGUUUUUGUACUUCUCAAAAAUAUUAUAUUUGCUCUUUAUUUUAUAUUUUUUGGAAUAUAUUUAUCUUUAUCAUCCAACUUUAAGAAUAUAUUUCUGAAUUGUUAAUUCUUCUUACAUAUCAUCAUUUUCUUUUCUAUGUGGCGUGUAUUUUCAGUGUACUUUCUUUCUUUUGGUAACCGUUCUUUUCUCUUUGUUUUCUUCAUCUCAAUUUCAACAGUCUACCCAAUUAUUCACGAAAUGUGAGAAGUAUGUGAUUAAUCACCUUUAAAAAAAAAAAGAAAUUGAAGAAUUUCUUGAGAAUUUUACCUGAUUCGUUCAUUUUUUUUUUAAAGAAAAGAAUCAAUUUAUUGUUGUACUUCUCAAAAAGAUUAUAUUUUCUCUUCAUUAUAUUUUUUUUCGGUAUAUUUACCCUUAUCAUCUAAUUUUGAGCUUAUAUUUAAUACUGAAUUGUUAAUUUCUCUUGCACGUCCUCACAUUAUUUCCUACGUGGUGUGCUCACGUGCAUUUACUAUGUUUUCUCUUUCUUUUUGUAAUCGUUAUUUUUUUUUGUUUUCUUCCUCUCAGUUUUAAUAGCUCACCCAACUAUUCACGAAACGUGAGAAGUACUUGAUAAAUUAUCUUUUUAAAAAAAUGUCAAACAAUUUCUUAGAAAUUUUAUCAGAUUUAUUCAUUCUUUUUUGGUGAAAGGGUUAAAUUUGUUGAGAAAAUUGAAGGAAAGGUGUCUUUUAAGUCUUGAAUGAAGGAUUGUUGACAUUGACCAACUUAAAAGGUCAAACAUAAUUAGGAAACUUGAUUAAGUUAAUUGUGGACUUGAUUAAUAUUUUUAAAACUUUCUAAUCUUUUUAAAAAUAUAAAUCAACUCAACCCACAUCCCUCUUCAAUCCAAACCAUCGACUGUCUCUCUCCUCUCUCUCGACAGCUUCUCUCAACCAGCAGUUUUGCAAAUUUCUCCUUUCAACCCCGGCGACUUCAACCUCCGAUGACAAAUAGUUGGGCUUCAAGUUUCUUUUCGACUUCAACCGUCAAUCGACGUGACAGCCUUGCUCUCCGGCCACAACAGCUUCGAAUUCUUCAUCGUUCCUUUUCUUCUUUCACAGGUAAAAAAUUAUGGCCUUUUUAGUUUUGAAUAAAACGAGGAACUUAAGCCAAUUUCUCUUAUAGUAUUGGUUAACAAUUUCAAUAUUUGUUGCUUUAAUUUGAAAUGCGGUCUAAAUAAAAUCCUAAUUUCUGGUAUUUUUUCUCUUCUCUUCUCUUCUUUUUUGUUUUAUGAUUUCGAAGUUUAAUUUGUUGCGCCGUUGCUGGGUUGAUUUGUUCUUAUUCUUGGUAAAAAUGGUGAUAUUGUUGUUGUUCUAUUGAACAAAAUUGUGCUACUAUUUUUUUCCAAUAGAUUAUCCAUUUGGUGCAACAUAUUAACCAUCAGUUGCAACAGAUUUAGCAUAUGAUGCAAUAGAUCAACCAUCUGAUUCAACAGAGGAACCAUCAGAUUAAAAUUUUGAUGCAACAGAUUAACUAUCUGAUCCAAUAGAUUAAUCAUCUGAUGCAACAGAGGAACCCUCGGAUAAAAAAUUUGAUGCAACAGAUUUAGCAUAUGAUGCAACAGUUUAACCAUCUGAUGCAAUAGAUUAAGCAUAUGUUGCAAUAGAUUAAUCAUCUGAUGCAACAUAAUUACUAUCGAAUGCAACAGAGGAACCAUCGAAUUAAAAAUAUGACGCAACAGAUUAACCAUCUGAUGCAAUGAAGGAAACAUUGGAUUAAAGAUCUGAUGCAACAGAUGAACCUUCUGUUGGAUAAAGUCUUAUCAACUCUUCCAACAGAACAUGUCCAAGACUUGAUUUUUUCAACUAAUCAUUCAUCUAUCUCGACAAACGACUCUUCUGUUUGAAGAAAUCUAAACAAUAUUGACUGUUGAUAAUUAUUUCAACAGAUCACUCAGAUGUUGCAACAGAUGUGUCUUCUGUUGCACAAACCAUUCAUCUUUCUCAAUAGAUAAGUGAUAUAUUUUGUAUUGUGGCAACAAAUUACUUAGUUGUUGCUACAGGUUAGUUAACUGUUCCAACAGAUCACUCAUAUGUUGCAAUAGUUGAUUUGUCAUGUAGAAAUUUAUCCCAACAGUUGAUUCAUCUGUUGCAACAGAAAUAUAAUCUGUUUGGGACAAUUUAAAAUAGGAGGAAGACUUGUUUGAUUUGCUAGAACAAAUGAGUUAUCCUUUUCUGUUUUGUUGUAUCUCCGUGAUUAGCAUUGACCAAUUCUGGCUUUCCAGGUGGAUGUAGAAGUUGCUGCUGAAUAGCAUUGAUAAUAUGCUACUCUUUUUAUGGAAAUACGGAGAACAGAAAGCGCAGAAAUCAUACGUAAGCGACAAUAAAGAUCCACGACGACCAAAACCAAAUUCCAUAGCACCGGAUGAAGAACAACUUGUCCAUAUUGAGUAGAUCUUUAUAGCUUGAGUCUGUCAAAGUAAUAACUUCACCCCUCCUUAGGAAUUCUUGGCAUCAAUACUUAGAUUAUUGAAGUAUUUGUUGAGAUCUGUACCCAUAACAAUUUUUUUUACAUUUCAUUUAUUCAUUGAUUUAUUUCAGUUAAUUUCUGAAGACUUCAAUUUAUUUUAUUUUGUCUAUGAAUUUUAUUUUUUCUUAGAUUUGAACUUAUUAAUAAAAUAAAAUACUAAAUUUAAAUAUUGCAACAAAUAAAAAUAUCAAAUAGAUUUAGACAUAUGUUGCAAUAGGUAGGUAAUCUGUUGGAAAUUAUCAAACAGGUCUUCCUACUGUUGCAACAGAUAGAUUUAGAUAGAAACAUCAACAUAAUGCAACAGAUGACCAACCUAUUGCAACAGAUAAACUAUAUGUCAUAAUAGGUAAAAUAUCUAUUACAACAGAUGGACAAUCUGUUGCAUUAUAAAAGUUCAACUUUUCUAAGACAUAAAAAAUUGCCACUACAUGUAAAAAGUUAAAAUGACUUGAAAUAAAAAAGGUGGAACCCAUCUACAAUGUUCAGUUUAAACACCUAAAAUAAAAUAGGCAUCAAGUAGACAGUGUUCAUUUUAAAUAUGUAAAAUAAAAUAGGCAUCAAAUGUGUCAGUUGUCACUUUUUGCCCUGUUGACUGCUCACAUGUAAUUCACGCAGCCAAGGUUCGUUGAACCUCUAUUUUUGCUGAUUUGGCCCCCAACGGUUACUUUUCUUCCAUUGUCUUAUAUAUUCAUCUUCUUCCUAAAAUUUAACCCUAAAUUCCUAAAGCUUCUUUUUCUUCUUCAUCUUUUUUCUCUAUCCAAUUCAUCUCAAUUAUUUGUAUUUUUUUUGCGCAUUUUUUUUUUCCAACUGAGCUUGACAAUGUCGAGUUCAUCUUCCACUGUUUUUUGUGAGAAAGAUUUUUGAUAUUGUAAGUGCAGUCAUAAAGCUCUAUUUAAGAAUUCUUGGACUCAACAAAAUCCAAGUCGUAGGUUUUUUACUUGUAAGAUUUCAAAGGUAAUAUUUUUUUAUUUAAUUAGUUGAUUAAUUAUUGACUUGUAAUUAUUUUGUAAUUGUGUUUUUGUUUUUAUAGAAAUUGGGUGGAUGCGAUUACUUUGAUUGGUAUGAAGAAAGACACCCUUCACAAGCAAAUCGUGGAAUAUAGGGUUUGUUGAAGAAAGUCAAGGCUUCUGAAAAGAAACAAAAUCGAGCAAGAAGAUACUACAUUGUUGUCAUUAUUUGUACUGGUUUGGUGGUGUUGGGUACAUAGAUAUUCAAGCCUAAUUGCUGAAAUUUUCAUGGUGGUGUAUUUGCUACUGGUUUGGUAUUGUCGAGCACAUAGAUAUUCAAGUGUAAUUGUUGGAAAAUAUCAAACAGAUUUAGGCAUAUAUUGCAAAAUUUAGGUUAUCUAUUGGAAAUUAUCAAACAGGUCUUCCUACUGUUGCAACAGAUUUGACUUAGAUUUGAUAGAAAUAACAUUGGCAUAACGCAACAGAUGACCAACCUAUUGCAACAUAUAAACUAUCUACCAGAACAGAUAGAAUAUAUUUUACAACAGAUUGAUAAUCUAUUGUAUUAUAAAAAACUCAAAUUUCAUCAGAAAAAAAUUAUUGCCACUACAUGGACAUGUAAUUUAAAGUGAAGUGUGACUUGAAAUAAAAAUUAUUAUUUCACAGGCUCUUCUUUAUACACAGGCUCCAAGCAUCCAGUUAGUACCACAUAAAUCCAAACCUCUUGCAAUUUUGUCAUAGCAUUGUCGCACAGAAAGAUCGCUGGCUUGAUCAUUUCUAUGCAGGUCAGCAAACAUUCGAUGUAUGAAAGUGCGUGUGAGCUGCACGAGAAAUUGAUAUCAUUUUUUGAAAGGUUCAUGCCCUUGUUUCGCCUUUCAAAACCCCAUGACUUCUUCAUCAACACUUUCUCUGGCAAAUGUUACAUCAGUUUACUCUGCCUCAACAAGAUGGGGAAUAGGUCCAUCAGUGGCUGCACGUUGAUAAAAAAAUGACCUCAUCGAUGGCAGGUUCGUUGCAGUCAUAAUCAUUGAUCUUUCCCUCCUCAAGUAGUAUCUCAACAGCCCGAUAAUGUAUGUCGUCCACGUUCAUGACUACAAUAAUCCUCUUUUCCUCGAUUCAGCUCUUGUCAUGUGGAUUUGGCCUCUCCCCUCUAACAUAUUUUAUCAUUUCUUAUUCAUCCCAGUCUAAUGUAGAAACUAACGACUCAAAUCCUGCGCCACAGGAUGACGCUAGACAAUUGAGUUUAUCGUACUUAUCCUUGAGCUUCUUGUAGAAGUCGAGGUCCAUUAUCCUAUCAGCAGCGUCAUAAGCUUUCGGGUACGCUAAUUGUCUUUUCUCAUAAGGCAGAGAAUUUCGUCAACAUACUGUGAUAUAAGAAGUCAAUUUUUAAAUAGGUUAGUAUUUGUAAAUAUGCAAUGGAUGGUCCAUCUGUUGCAUAGGGUUCUCUGAAUCAAUAAUCCAAUGCAACUUAUGCAACAAAUGAAUAAUAAGUUGCAACAAAACCACUAUCAGUUGCACCAGAAUACCCAGUUGUUGCAACAGAUUUUACAUCUGUUGCGUAUUUGCUUCUUCAUGGAGUAGAUUAGAAGGCUAGGUUAGGAAAAGUAAACUUACCUUGUCCUCGUAUCAUAUACGCAUAUCUGCUAUAAUCUGGAAGUCUUAGGGGUAAAAAGGAGGCCUGGGGUAAUUUGGUGUGCCUCGCUUGGCAUUCUUGGCUCGUCGCAGAUCCUUCUUCUCUUUGGUACCAAGUUCCACGUAUAUGUUGACCUUUUUAAUGGCCUUUAAUCUUUAAUAUUUUUUUAUUUUCGACUGGAGAGUACGUCGCUAAUUGAUCUUUUUUUCCUCUUAACCGCCAUUGUAUGAGUGUAUGGCUCCCUCACCUUCUUGGAUGGUAUGACACCUCUUUUGGAUUUGAACUCCUCGACAGCUUUAGCGAUAGCCUCUACCAUUUCAAAGAGUUUAUCCUAGUUUUCCUUGCACUCUUUAUAUUUGCAACAUGAAUACAAGGGUGAAGAGGGGUGAGAGGGACCGGUGUAAGGGUGAGAGGGACCUGUGUAAGGGUGAGGGAGACCUGUGAAAGGGGUGUUUUAAACAUAUUUAUUUUUUCUUGAGCACCAACAUGCUCAUCAUUACGAGUGGUAUCAUCAUCAGCAUACCUGCCACCAACACCAACAACUCCACCAGAAGAAGCACCCAGAUCUGCCUCAGUAGGUUGGUCAUGAAGAGCCUCAACAUUAGGCUGACCUUGCCUAACUACUCUUCUUAUGGCUAUUUCUCCAGCCAAUUUCUUCUUUAUUAACUCCAUAAUUGGGUCUGCUAUAGUAUCAACAUGACCUAGAGUAAUAAAAGAAGUCAUCCCCAACUCCUGCUCAGUAAGCACGAUCCAUGGAUGAAACCUAUAAAAAAAAUAGAUACAUUUAAAUCAUAUGAUAUAAUAAUUUUCAUAGCUAAGUUACAUGUUAACAUAGAUAACUUAUGCAACAGAUGAUCUGUAUGUUGUAACAGAUUAACAAUAUAUUACAUCAGAUUACACAUCUGUUACAUAUUUUGCAUUAGAUGAUUAAAAUCCAUUUGAGUCGGGUUCAGAGCAACAGAUGGAUAAUCUGAUGCAAAAUAUCAAUCAUCUAUCUCAAUAGAUUACCAAUCUGUUACGCCAGUUGGCACAAGACGAGUAAUCUAUUGGGUUACAUGUUAUACAAUAGAUGAUCUGUAUAUCACAACAGAUUAACAAUAUGUUACAUCAGAUUACCUAUUUGUUGCAUAAUUUACAAUAGAUGCUUAAUAUAUUAAGAGUCGGGUUUGGAGAACCAAAGCAACAGAUGGGUAAUCUGAUGCAAUAUAUCAAUCGUCUGUUGCAACAGACUACCCAUCUGUUGCACCAGUUGGCAUAGGACGGUGUUGCAACAGAUGUCCCAUCUGGUGUAUCAGAUAUAAUAUUCGUUGCUCCAGAUAUAAUAUCUGUUCAAUAUCUUUCAUUGAAUCAAAUUAUUUUACUUGAAGAAGACGUACUGCAUUAUCCAGAGGGUUAAAGAAAUCAACUUCCUUAAUUCUUGUGUUGUUCUUUGUAGCUAACCACCUAAACAUUCUUGGAUGAGAAACCUCAUCUGGGUAAUCCAUUACCCACUUUCGGAGGGGAGGAAUGACUUCAAAUUCUCAAGCCUAAAAAAUGUAAACAGGAAGCAAGAAACUUUUUUUAUAAUAACUAUAUUCAAUAUAAAUUAAUGGAUGAGUAAAAAUAAUGAUUAAUUUUACAAUAAAAGCCCAAGAAAAUACGUAUAAUGUGGUCAUCCCUAGGGAUAGCUUUGUUAGUAAAUAUUGGAUAGUCAAGUAGAAGCCGUCAUAUCCCCAGGGAUAAUUGUUGAAUUUAUCAAAAUCCUCAGCACACGCCAACAAAUCAUCUUUUAUGACCUUGUUGACAUCUCUUGCCAAUAUAACCAAAUGGGAAAACCAAACUAAGCACAAUUUCUCCCUGUACUGCUUUGGUAUGGUUUUAUCCUUGAUAUUUAUCAUCAAAUCCGAUGCUUUGUAGCCACGUCCAGCAAUGUCCAACAACCCAUCUAUGUUUUUCUUCCAUUUGUUAGUUUUACUGGGUGGUGGCUAGGACAAUGCCUUCCCUCUAUUUGCUUGUGGUGAUUUGUCUAUCCUGCUUGCCUUGGACCUUUUGCGGGGUAUUUCCUUGGAGAUAGGUUCUUCUGUACGAUCGCAUCUCAAGCCCGUCACUAUGGCAAACUCUUGCAAGCCAAAACAAACCAGCAUGCCACAAUACUUGAUCAAGAUUUCAUCCAUCUUUUUGCCCACUCCUUCGAAUCUUUAUCAUCCCCCACGUACUUGAUCCUGCACUUGAGAAGACCAUAUACCAUCCUUAUUUGGAAACAAGCAGGGGGUCCUCGGGCAGCUCGAGAAAGCGUCCAAAGCAGCUCCUAUAAAAAAGUCCAUCUAUGUUUUCCUUCUUCAUAAUAUUCCUAGAAUAAUUAAAAAAUUUCCCCAACUGACAUUUAAGUACAAGUUCACCAGUUAGUUCUUUUGGGUCAUCUAUCGACAUCGCAACUUGAAACCUAUCAAUACUAAUAAUUUUGACAGAAUCAUGCUGGGAUGUCGAUAUUAAUUCACGCCCCAUUGGUGAUCCAUUGUUAUCAUGUUGAUGAUGAUCUUCUUUAUCACUUUCUAAUUCCUCCUCUUUCUCACUGUCAUUUUCUUCAUCACCAUUUAAUGACCCUUAUCCAUCUCCUUCAACGUUGUUUUCAUAUCUCUCCUCAGCUUCACUUUUUCCUGACUGAGAUUGUUCAGGAAGCUCCUUUGAAUCCUUUUGUACUGUAGCCUUUGUUGUUGGGUGGUCAGAAGUUGAUCCACUUUCACUUUUUUUUCUUUUGGGAGACAUGUUUUACCUACAAACAACAGAAAAACAAAAAUUAUAUUACAAUUGAUGUAUGCAUAAAUUUUAAAAAAUACAUUACAAACACCACCAAUAUCGACACACCAACAACCACCACCACAAACACAACCAACCAAUGCCACAAACACCACGGAUACCGAUACAACCAACAGCCACCACAAACACCACCAAACAAUUCUACUAACAGACACUACAAACACCACUAGUGCCACCACGACGACUACCAACACUAACACCAUGACCACCAACACUACAAAUAACAUCAAACAAUACCACGAAAGUCAACGGAACACUGCGACAAAAAUUAGGGUUUUCUCGAGUUCUUCCUCUGAUUGUACCAUCAAAACUCAAAAUUAUAAAUCCAUUCUUGAAGAUAAUACAACUAAAAGUCUUUUUUUCAUCAUUAACUUAAAAACCCUUAUUUUUUAGAAAAAAUAACAAAUAUAGAACUCUUCUCAAACUCUGUUACCUACGAAGACAGAUAAAAUGACUGAUACAAGCAAGAAUGAAGUCGAAAAUACACCUACAUAGUCGAAAAUGAGAAGAAAAAUAAUUUGUUAUGAAGGGUUGAGCAAUUUGUUGAGUAGCUGUUGUAUUGUUGAGAGAGAGAAAUAAGCGAGAACUCAAGAUUUGAAAUGAUGAAACGUCUUUCUCACAAAUGGAUGAUUUGUAUGGGUUGAUUUGUAUUUUGAAAAAGAAUGAAAAGUUUUAAAAAUGUUAAUUUGGUCCGAAUUGAUCUUUAUUAUUUUUAAAAAUUAUAAAAGAUAUGCAUAGUUUUUAAACCUCUCAUCAUGUGAUUGCUAAAAGACUCAAUUGAAGUUAUAGUUGACACUAUGAGAACUCACCCCUAGUCCUAGAUUAAUCAAUUAAGGCAUUAGUUGAACAUAUGAACUCAUUUGAAUUUGUAUAAAACAAAUGUUCAACCUGUUGCAACAGAUUACCCAUCUGUUGUAAAUUAUCAGAUAGGCGCUGCCAUCUGUUGUAGUUUACCCUAUGAUUAAUUAAGGUAAUCGUUGAACAUAUUAGGUAGUAAGAAUCGCUUCACCUCAAAGUGAUCGAUCGACGACUCUGGUCGGGAGAAACGCAAUACCAUCUCAUCAUGUAUUUGCCAAAAGACUUAAUUGAAGUUGUAGUUGACCAUAUGAGAACUCACCCCUAGUCCUAGAUUAAUCAAUUAAGGUAUUAGUUGAACAUAUAAGGUAAUAAGAAUCGAUUCAGCUCAGAGUGUUCGAUCGACGACUCUAGUCGAGAGAAACAAAAUACCGUCUCAUCAUGCGAUUACCAAUAGACUCAAUUAAAGUUAUAGUUGACCCUAUGAGAACUCACCCCUAGUCCUAGAUUAAUCAAUUAAGGCAUUAGUUGAACAUAUGAACUCAAUUGAAAUUAUAUAAAAAUAAAUGUUCAACCUAUUAAAAAAGAUGACCCAUCGGGUGGAAUUAAUCAAAUAGAUUAAGUUAUCUGUUGCAACAGAUUACACAUCUGAUGGAAUUAAUCAAACAGAUUAAGUCAUCUGUUACAACAGAUUACCCAUCUAUUGUAAACUAUCAAAUAGAUGUCGCCAUCUAUUGUAGUUGACCCUAUGAUCAAUUAAGGUAUUAGUUGAAUAUAUUAGGUAAUAAGAAUCGCUUCACCUCAGAGUGAUCGAUCGAUGGCUCUAGUGGGGAGGAAUGCAAUACUGUCUCAUCAUGCAUUUCCUAAAAUACUCAAUUGAAGUUGUAGUUGACCUUAUGAGAACUCACCCCUAGUCCUAAAUUGAUCAAUUAAGGUAUUAUUUGAACAUAUAAGGUAAUAAGAAUCGAUUCAGCUCAUAGUGAUCGAUCGACGACUCUGGUCAGGAGGAACGCAAUACUGUCUCAUCAUGCGAUUGCCAAAAGAAUAAAUUGAAGUUGUAGUUGACCCUAUGAGAACUUACCCCUAGUCCUAGAUUAAUCUACUAAGGCAUUAGUUGAACAAAUAAACUCAAUUGAAAUUAUAUAAAAACAAAUGUUCAACCUAUUACAAUAAAUGACCCAUCUAUUAGAAUUAAUCAAAUAGAUUAAGUUAUCUGUUGCAACAGAUUACCCAUCUGUUGGAAUUAAUCAAACAUAUCAAGUCAUCUAUUGGCAUAAAUUACCCAUCUCUUAUAAAUUAUCAAAUAGGAAAUGCCAUUUGUUGUAGUUGACCCUAUGAUCAAUUAAGGUAUUAGUUGAACAUAUUAGGUAAUAAGAAUCGCUUCACCUCAGAGUGAUUGAUCGACGACUCUGGUCGGAAGGAACGCAAUUUCGUCAAAUUAUGUAUUUGCCAAAAGACUCUAUUAAAGUUGUAGUUAACCCUAUGAAAACUCACCCCUAGUCCUAGAUUAAUCAAUUAAGGUAUUAGUUGAACAUAUAAGGUAAUAAGAAUCAAUUCAGCUCAUAGUGAUCGAUCGACGACUCUGGCCUGGAGGAGCGCAAUACCGUUUUAUCAUGAGAUUGUCAAAAGACUCAAUUAAAGUUAUAGUUGACCCUAUGACAACUCACCCCUAGUCCUAGAUUAAUCAAUUAAGGCAUUAGUUUAACAUAUGAACUCAAUUAAAAUUGUAUAAAAAUAAAUGUUCAAUCGGUUGCAACAGAUUACCCAUCCAUUUGAAUUAAUCAAAUAGAUUAAGUUAUUUGUUGCAACAAAUUAUCCAUCAGUUGGAAUUAAUCAAACAACUUAAGUCAUCUACUAUAAAUUAUCAAAUAGGUGCUGCCAUAUGUUGUAGUUGACCCUAUGAUCAAUUAAGGUAUUAGUUGAACAUAUUAGGUAAUAAGAAUCGCUUCACCUCAGAGUGAUCAAUUAACAACUCUGGUCGGGAGGAACGCAAUAUCGUCUCAUCAUGCAUUUGCCAAAAGACUCAAUUAAAGUUGUAGUUGACCCUAUGAGAACUCACCCCUAGUCCUAGAUUAAUCAAUUAAGGUAUUAUUUGAAUAUAUAAGGUAAUAAGAAUCUAUUCAACUCAAAGUGAUCGAUCGACGAUCUGGUCGGGAGGAAUGCAAUACCAUCUCAUCAUGCAAUGGCCAAAAGACUCAAUUAAAGUUGUAGUUGACCCUAUGAGAACUCACCCCUAGUCCUACAUUAAUCAAUUAAGGCAUUAGUUGAACAUAUGAACUCAAUUAAAAUUAUAUAAAAAUAAAUAUUUAACUUGUUGCUACAGAUGACGGAUCUGUUGGAAUUAAUCAAAUAGAUUAAGUUAUUUGUUGCAACAGAUUAUCCAUAUGUUGGAAUUAAUCAAACAAAUUAAGUCAUCCGUUACAACAGAUUGUCCAUCUGUUGUAAAUUAUCAAAUAGUCACUGUCAUUUGUUGUAGUUGACCCUAUGAUCAAUUAAGGUAUUAGUUGAACAUAUUAGGUAAUAAGAAUCGCUUCACUUCAGAGUGAUCGGUCGAUGACUCUGGUCGGGAGAAAUGCAAUACCGUCUCAUCAUGUAUUUUCCAAAAGAAUUAAUUGAAGUUGUAGUUGACCCUAUGAGAACUCACCCCUAGUCCUAGAUUAAUGAAUUAAGGUAUUAGUUGAACAUAUAAAGUAAUAAGAAUUGAUUCAGCUCAUAGUGAUCAAUCGAUGACUCUGGUCGGGAGAAACGCAAUACUGUCUCAUCAUGCGGUUUCCAAAAGACUCAAUUGAAGUUGUAGUUGAACUAUGAGAACUCACCCAUAGUCCUAUAUUAAUCAAUUAAGGCAUUAGUUGAAUGUAUGAACUCAAUUAAAAUUGUAUAAAAACAAAUGUUCAACCCAUUACAGUAGAUGACCCAUCUGUUGGAAUUAAUCAAACAGAUUAAGUCAUCUGUUGCAAUACAUGACCCAUCUGUUGUAUUUAAUCAAACAAAUUAAGUCAUCUGUUGGAAUUAAUCAAACAGAUUAAGUUAUCUAUUGUAACAGAUUAUCCAUCUGUUGUAAAUUAUUAAAUAGGAGCUGCCAUCUAUUGUAGUUGACCCUAUAAUCAAUUAAGGUACUAGUUAAACAUAUUAGGUAAUAAGAAUUGCUUCACCUCAGAGUGAUCGAUCGACGACUCUGGUCGGGAGGAACGCAAUACCAUUUCAUCAUACAUUUACCAAAAGACUCAAUUGAAGUUGUAGUUGACCCUAUAAGAACUCACCCCUAGUCUUAUAUUAAUCAAUUAAGGUAUUAGUUAAACAUAUAAGGUAAUAAGAAUCGAUUUAGCUCAUAGUGAUCAAUCUAAGACUCUGGUCGGGAUGAACGCAAUACCGUCUCAUCAUGCGAUUGCCAAAAGACUCAAUUGAAGUUAUAGUUGACCCUAUGAGAACUCACCCCUAGUCCUAUAUUAAUUAAUUAAGGCAUUAGUUGAACAUAAUGUUUAACCUGUUGCAACAGAUGACUCAUCUGUUGAAAUUGAUCAAACAGAUUAAGUCAUCUAUUGCAACAGAUUACCCAUCUGUUGGAAUUAAUUGAACAGAUUAAGUCAUCUGUUGCAACAGAUUACCCAUCUAUUGUAAAUUAUCAAAUAAACACUGCCAUCUAUUGUAGUUGACCCUAUGGUCAAUUAAGGUACUAGUUGAACAUAUUAGGUAAUAAGAAUUGCUUCACCUUAGAGUGAUCAAUCGACAACUCUGGUCAGAAGAAAUGCAAUAACGCCUCAUUAUGUAUUUUCCAAAAGACUCAAUUGAAGUUGUAGUUGACCCUAUGAGAACUCACCCCUAGUCCUAGUUUAAUGAAUUAAGGUAUUCAUUGAACAUAUAAGGUAAUAAGAAUCAAUUUAGCUCAGAGUGAUCGAUCAACGACUCUGGUCGAGAGGAACGCAAUACUGUCUCAUUAUGAAAUUGUCAAAAGACUCAAUUAAAGUUGUAGUUGACCCUAUGAUAACUCACCCCUAGUCCAAGAUUAAUUAAUUAAGGUAUUAGUUGAAUAUAUAAGGUAAUAAGAAUCGAUUCAGCUCAGAGUGAUCAAUCGAUGACUCUGGUUAGGAGAAAUACAAUACCGUCUCAUCAUGUGAUUGCCAAAAGACUUAAUUGAAGUUGUAGUUGACUCUAUAAGAACUCACCCCUAAUCCUAGAUUAACCAAUUAAGGCAUUAGUUGAAUAUAUAAACUCAAAUGAGAUUGUAUAAAAACAAAUGUUAAACCUGUUGCAAUAGAUAACCCAUCUGUUGGAAUUAAUCAAACGGAUUAAGUCAUCUGUUGCAACAGAUUACCCAUCUGUUGUAAAUCAUCUGUUGCGAUAGAUGACCGAUCUUUGAAAAUUUUUAAACAAAAAUUGUCAUCUAUUGCAAAGUAUGACUUUGAUAUUUCAAGAUUCUUUUUUUAAAAGUAAUUUAGAUAUUUUUUAUCCGAGAUAAAAAAACAUAAAAUACUUAGGCGGUAAAAAAUAUUACUUGGAUAACUCAAAAAUCUCCCUAGUGAGUAGUCUUAUCUGGUCUUUUUAAUAUCACCGUCUCCUCGUGCCCCUCAAAAGUUAUUAAUGAAUAUUUAAAACUCGUAUCUACUCCUUCCAUUUCAUUUUAGUUGACCCUCUUUCUAAAAGUAUUUGUUCAAUUUAGUUGUCCCAAUGAUGAAAUCAAGAGGAUUUUAAUAUGUUCUUCCAAUAAUACCCUUAUCAUUAAAUGACUAAACAAGUUGUAUAUAUUCAAAUUUAUAUUUUUAAAGCAUAAUUAAUAAGGCUAAUUUGGUAAAAUAGACCCCUAAUAAAAAAAAUUCUUAAUGGAUGUGCCAAGUCUAUAGGGGCCAACACAACUAAUAUGAAAUGGAGGGAGUAGAAUACUCUCUCCUUCAGCCAUAAACUCGAGACGAGAAACUCAACUCAUAUCUCUCUCUUCUUUAUUCUCAAUUCUUUUUUUUUCUUCCUCUCUUUUCUCUCUUCUUUCAGAUGAUGAUCCUUUAGGAUCUCAACCUAUCAAUAUCUUUUCUCGACUGAACUAGAUGUUCUGAUCCCUUUGCUUUUUUGACAUUGCAGGUAUGGUUUACUAUUGCUCUGUCCUUCUCGUCUUCUUCUUUAUAUGUUAUUUAAAUUAGAUAUUUAUAUCUAUUGCUAUUAAUGAUUUACCCAUUACCAGUUUCCUAUUUAUUGAGAAAAUUGAAGGAAAGGUGACUUUUAAGUCUUGAAUAAAUGCAUUGUUAUUUUUAUUAAAAUAUGCAAAAAAAGUCAUUUUUUGUGAGAACUUAAGCCUUGUUGUCAGUGUAGUUUUUUUUAUGUGUUGGGGGUGGUGGUGGUGUUGGAACAUGUGGUGUUGGUGUUGUUAAUGGUGUUGGAACAUAUGGUGCUAUUUUUUUUGUUGUUGGUGGUGUUGCAACAGUUUUCUCAACUGUUGCAAUCGAUGAAUCGGCUGUUGGAACAGACGGAGCAACUGUUUGAAAAAAUCAAACUAGUAGAAAGGCUGGUUUGAUUUAUUCCAACAGAUAACCCAUCUGCUGUAACAUAUCAUUCAUCUGUUACAACAUAUGCCUCAUCGGUUGAACAGAUGGGAAUCUGUUGCAUCAGAUUGGUCUUCUAUUGAUUCAUUCAAUUUUGUGUUACCCUUUUGUAAUGUUCUUUUUAUUCUUCUCUUGUUUGACAUCAAAUGUAUUUCUCUUAUUUGCAGAUAAAAACAAGUAAAACUAGAACAACUUUUGCCCGACCAGCAUUAAAGGUUAGACUAAAGAUCGGUACGGAGGAAUAAGCUACUUGUAGAUGGAACCACUUCAUAUGUGGGAGGUAUGUAUUACUAAUCAAUCUAUCAUAAAAACACACAUCCAGUACAAUAAUUUUGUGAAUGUUGGUUCUUUACCUAUUAGGCAUUAAUCCUUUAAACAAGAUAUGGUAUUUUAUAGUUAAGAUUGUUAAGUUCGAACUAGUAAGACUGAGGGACCAAGUAGGUGGUGUCGAUACCCUGUUACAAUUUAAUAAAGAUUUUACCAAUGUUUAUGUGUUAAGUUUGGAGAAGGGUUAGGGUUUUUGGUGGUAGUGCAAAAUUUAAAUAGUGAUUGCACUGACUUUAAGGGUUCAAUAGACUGUUGAAAGGCCUCCGAAGCCUCGUACUGCUGCGAACAAGAAUGGAAAUGAAUAUAGUUAUUGCUCUGGUCCAAAUUUAUAUGGAUGGGUAGUUCGAGAAGACUAUUAUACAACAAAAGGUUGUUGUAAGAAUACCUUUGUAGAAAGAGGGAGGUGAAGAAGACCAUUUAUAAAAUUAGACCUUAUUAAAUAAGAAACACAAGGUAGGAAGGAAAGUGUAGCAAAACUGGCUGAUGAAAUUGACAUGAAAAAUUAAAAAACUAAAUGAGUUACGAAUGUGAAAGUGUAUCCAAAAAGUGAAAAUCCAUCAGUUUUCUUGAAAACGAAAAAUGCUCAAGUGGAAUGGAGCAGUGCACUUUGUUAUGGGGCAACAACUAGCUAACGUGGACUGAAUAAAGACUCACAAAAUGUAGGAACAGAACUCUAAGGAAGCAGCUUUACGAGCACGGGAGGUGGUAAGAUUGUCGGUCAGAAUUGAAACCUGAACCGACUACUCCUGAAUUAAAAAUAAGGGAUCAAGCCAAGGUGGUAAUUUUUCAAGUUAAACUUGCAUCACAUGUCUCCUGUUUAUGGCUCUGGUCAGGUUAAAGGCAGUGGAAACAACAAGGCAUGGGAUUUUUGCCUAAAUUCAGAUCUUUUUGUUUCUACUGCCAUUGACCUGAUCACAUCCACAAACAUAAGGCAUGGCAUGCAAGUUAGACUUCAAAAAUUGACGCCUUGGCUUCCCUUAUUUUUACUUCUGGAGUUGUUAGUUCAGGUUUUAUUCUUAACUAAAAAUCUUACCAAUUUCCUGCGAUCGCGAAGCUUCUUCCUUAGAGUUCUAGUCCUGUACUUUGUGAGUCUUCAUUGAGGCCACGCUCACUAGUUACAGUCUCUAGCAAAGUGACCAGCUCCAGUCCUCUUGACAUUCUUCUUUUUCUUCAAUGACUGGCAGAUUUUUAUAUUUGAAUACACUUCCACAUUUGAAGCACAUUCAGUUUUUUCAUUUCUCAUGUCAAUUUCAUUGGCCAGAUUCGCUAGAAGUUCCUUACUUUCUUUCCUGUGUUUCCUCUUAAACAAGGUCUGAGAUGAUAUAUGGUCUUCUCUACCUCUUCCUUCCCACACAGGUAUCCUCCUAAGCACUUUUUGUUGUAUAAUAGUCUCCUCGAGCAACCCAUUCAUAUAAAUUUGGACCAGGAAAAUUUCUAUUAGUUCCAUCGUUGUUUGAUACAGUGCGAGGCUUUGGAGGCCUUUUAAGAAGUCCAUUGCGCCAUUAAAAUCGGUCCAAUCACUAUUGGAUAUUUACACUGCCGCCAAAAACUUGAACCCUUCACCGAAAUUGACACAAAAACAUGAGCAUAGACUAUCAUUAAAUUAUAACAGGGUAUCGACACCACCAUCUUGGAACCCUUCGGCCUUAUCAGUUCACACCGAUCAAACUAAACUGUACAAUGCAGGAUCUUGUUUGAAGGAUCAAUGUCUAAUCAGUAAAAAACUCCAUUUACAAAAUCGUUAUACUUUGUGUGUCUGGUACAGUAGCCUGAUCAAUAAUACAUAACUCUCGCGCAUGAAAGUGGAUCCAUUCAUCUGCACGCACCUUAUUUUUCCUACCCCAUCAAUACAUGUCAGAUAGUGUUUAUUUUUCAGCACGCAUGUGAUGACUAUUAAAAAAGAGGUGAAGAGUCAUGACUUUUUAUCUAACACAUUCAAAACAGCUGAUGAACCAAAUUCUCCAUCUGUUGCAACUGAUGAAUUAGCUCUUAGAAGAAAUCAAAACAUCUCCUCCAAUAUAUGGUCCAUCUGUCAUAACAUAUAAUCCAUAUAUUGUGACAGAUGGUAAAUCUGUUACGAAAGAACAGACAAUAUUUAUUCAUCUGCACGCAUGUGAUGACUAUUAAAAAAGAGGCGAGGAGUCGUGACUUUUUAUCAAACACACUCAAAAUAGCUAACAUAUCAAAUUCUCCAUCUGUUGUAACUGAUGAAUCGGCUGUUAGAAGAAAUCAAAAUAUCUCCUCCAAUAGAUGGUCCAUCUGUCGUAACAGAUAAUACAUAUGUUGCACCAGAUGUUGCAACGGAUGAUAAAUCUAUUGUAACAGACCAGACAGUGUUUAUUCAUUUGCACGCAUGUGAUGACUAUUGAAAAAGAGGAGAAGAGUCAUAACUUUUUAUCUAACACAUUCAAAACAGCUGAUAAAUCAAAUCUCCAUCUGUUGCAAUAGAUGAAUCAGCUGUUAGAAGAAAUCAAAACAUCUCCUCCAAUAAAUGGUCCAUCUGUCGCAACAGAUAAUACAUAUAUUGCAACAGAUGUCUCAUCUGUUGCACAUAUAAACCAUAUAUUUCAACAAAUGAUAAAUCUAUUUUGACAGACCAUCUGUUGCACAUAUAGACCAUCUAUUGCAAUAGAUGAUAAAUCUGUUAUGAAAGAUAGACGAACUGUUACAACAGCUCAAUAAUAACGGUUGUUAUCAAGUGUCAAACCAUUUUGAAAAGGUGAGAAAUAUUAAUGUAAAAGAAAAAGUCGCGACUUUUCACAGGAAACAAAAUGCCACUAGUUUGAAUGUAAUUAAUACAAUGGAGCUGAACAGUCAUGCCUUUUUUCCUAACACAUCCAGAUUCAAUCCUCCAUAAAUAGGUCCCUCCUUAAUCUUCAUUCUAGUCAACUUUAUUUAUUUAUUGUAUUUUUCUUUUUGUGUGACAUCUUCAACCACUUCUCUUCAAAGAGCAUAUUCCUUUCUCAUUGAGAUAAGUUUUUUUUUGUGUAAAUCUACCAGUUGGUAGUAUAUGUUAUAUUACAUUUGGAUUAUUUUCUUUACAUUUGUCAAUUCAUGCGUGUUCUAGAUAUGGCUGAUCCUGUUUGGGAUAUUGCUAUUCUGCGUGACACAGUGUGGGAACUUCAGAGGCAAUUUAAUGACCUUCAUAGGGAGUUGGUCGCCGUGAGAGCGACGAUGUUCAGAGAAAUGCAGAGGCUGAUGAGGGCCCUAUUGCUGGGAGUUGAUUGGUUGGCUGUCAUUAAUGAUGAUGAUGAUGAUAAUAAUAAUAAUAAUAAUUAGAAUGUGUUUUUUCUUUUAGCGUAUGUAUUUUAAUUUUUCUAUAGCGGAUCUAUACCUAAUGUAUUUUAUUUUUCAUUUAAUGAAAAAUUUAUUUUUAGUCGAUUGUAGCUUUUUAAUUCUUAUUCAAUUUUCAUUCUGUCUAUUUCUUCUAAACAUAACAUACAUGUUAACAUGUCGACGGUUGGAGGCAAGGAGUAAUUUUGAAUCUAGUAGCAAUAGAAAUUUUGGCUUUUGAGUUCUUUCAAUAGAUGGACCAUGUGUUGGAACAGAUUGAUCAUCGAUUGGGUUUCUGUCAACAGAUUAUUGAUCUGUUGUGACAGAUUUGUCAUCUGUUGGAGAAAAAUAUUUCAGUUUGAUGGAACUGUAUUUUGUUCUUCCAGCUAAUGUCCAUCUUUUCCAUAGAUGGGUAAUCUAUUAAAAAUAAUUAUGGUCUGUUGUAUUAUUUAGUUCAUAUUUUGCCUCUUUUUAUUGAUGCACAAGUUAUUAAAAAAGAUAUUUUAUAUAUAAUAAAUAAUAACAUUACGUUCACAACAAUGAGUUAAAUAUAUAAAAGUCUACAAUAAACAACAACACAAGUUUUUGCAAUUACAACGAUCACGGUGGAUUAUGAUCCGGGCAUGUAGUUCUUUUGUGGCCAGCGCGCUUACAUACAAAGCACUUGUUUCUUCUUGAUGAAAAUGAUUCUCUGACUCCACGCCUCCUCUUAUAUGGAUUUCUUCCCGAUUUGAUAGUGCUUGGAUCAAUAUAUGGAGGAGGUAUUAAUCUCCCUAAAAGCUCUGCAGGAACAACUCAAGAUUCUUCGGGAGACACCAAAGUAAUAUGCCCACUAUAUGCCAUUGUAUAUUUUUCCACCGAAUAAUAUUGAGAGGAGUGCUUGUAAAUUUCAGGUCCAUAUUUUAUAUCGUAUUAAGCUUGAAGCACUGUCAUAGCAUGUGGACAGGGUAUUUUGUCCAAGUAAAAAACUUUGCACGUACAAGAUCUUGUUUGAAGAUCGAUUGUGGCAACAUCACCAUGACCGGUGAUACUAAACUUGUAAUCUUCUAUUUGAUGGGAUAAUAAACUAUUCCUCAGACUGAUGUUCGUUGAUAUUAUUUUUUUCAUUUCUAGAACAAAUGGGGUUCCUGCGUCCUUGAACUGCACACGCCUUUCGUUAAAAAAUUGGCCACACUUUUUGUUUAUUUUUUCAACAAAGCCUUGAUAGGAAAUUCUCUUUCAUCGUCAAACAAUGAAUUCACCGAUUCAGCUAUGUUUGAUGUCAUAAUAUUGUACCUAUACAAAAGAAUCACUUAGUACGACAUCAUACUAAACUUGUAACUCAAACAAGACAUUAAAUUCAUAAGAAUGUACCUAUCUACCGGACAAAAUGUUCGACUCCAUCUCUCGAAAUUGACACAUAUGAGAAGUUUUGCUACCUUGAGAUUCAUAUCCGUUAUUUGAUUGAAAUGGUCUAAAAACUCCUCUCUACUAUAUGCUUUAACUGCUUUAUUAAAAAGGGUCACAACCCAUUCGUCGUGAUAGUUGGUCCGAAUGUUCUUUCUAAGAUGCCUGAUGCAACAACCAAAGUAAGCUGAAGUGAUGAAAAUUGAACCCAUCUUUGGAAUACUUGGAUGCCUAUCCGAAACAAAACACAACUCUUCGGUAUCUUCAAUGCAACUUUGCAGUUGUUCAAAAAAACCCAUAAGAGGCAUCACAUUCCUUGUUCUCUACACAAAAAGCAACAGGAAAGAUGUGAUUCUCCACAUCCUGUGCCACCGCCGCUAGCAAAACUCCAUUAUAACUGCUCCCCAAGAAGGUACCAUCGACGGCUAUGCCUUUUCUCAAAUGUCAAAAACCUUGAAUCCAAGCACCAUAGGAUACAAAAAAGUACUUGAACCUGUCACACCCCUUUUUAAAAGCCAAAAAGAUUCGUUUUAAAUUCGAAAGGGUUUUUAUUAUUCAGUGGCAAAAGAAAAUAAUUUGUUUCGAAGAAGGAUUGUAUUUCCAUUCGAAAUCAGAGUCGCCACUUGGCAUAGAUCGGGUGUGUCAGGUCACCUUUGGAAAUCCUUUUUUCAAAAUAGUUUGACUCUGAAUACUGAUCCACGAACAGAGAUUCCGGCUAAAGAAUUUUGUUGACCGAGGGGAAGGUGUUAGGCACCCUUUGAUCCCGUUGUUCGACCACGGUCGCUUGGUGAGGCGUAUCGGCUAGUUUGGCAUUACAAAUGUAUAAACCACACAAAAUACAUAAAACAAUCAAUCGAAGACACAAAAUAAAACAAAUCCAGAAGUGUAGUGUCCAGUCCGAAUUAUACAGUUCCAAAAUAAAAAUACAGAAAUAUAAACCCUAUUCUAUUCUAAACUAAACUCCACCCGACGUUCCGGGCCUUGACCGUGAACCAUAUUUCGAUACAACUUUCUCGGGGCAUUCCCCGGAUAAGGCAAUACAGAUACCUCGGGGCGUUCCCCGUCCAAAUGAGUAUAAUUGAGUCAAAGGCGAUAAAAUAAAGCUAUUCAACAUAUAUUUCAAGCAUUCCAUAAUCCACAAGUUCUCAAUUUGCCUACUCGAGCCUACUGUUGCCUACACCGUUCGACCUAUCAUGAUACUUUCGCGAAGUUGAUAAUUAGAUGCAAAAUUAACAAUGACAAUGAAUCAAAGCAGCAAAUUUAUCCAUCUUUUAUCAUCCGAUCCCCCAAUCCAUCAACCAAAUUAUCACAUGCUUCGAUUAUCAAUUCAAGUGUUCAAAGUUUGAAACCAACGUCAACUAACACACAACAAAGAUUCAAAUAUACCAAAAAACAAAUCAUUCAUAUUCAUGACAUCAAUGCAUCACGUGAGGGUAAAAUAGGAGAAGAAUAGAGUUGAAGAAUUAGACCUCAAAUGACGACUUUAUUUCGAUCAAAUCGGGUUACUUGAUUAGAGAGCCACCGAACCUUAAACCGGGCCCAAACUCACAAAACUUGAUCCCGAACUUGGUUUAAUCGCCAAAUCAGACCCAAAAUAUUAAAAUAUCAAGAAUGCAUAAAAGAUUUCGCCGAAACCAAAUCCAAGAUUGGUUGACUUGUUUUGUUGCGGGACUUAGACUGCUACGGGUUGAUCGGAGCUCCGGCGACCCCCAAUAGCGACAGGAAGAUGACGGGAUGAUGGUUGGAUUUACUUUUCAUAUCGUCGGAGCUCCGGCGAGCCCCAACAAUGGAUGAAACGGAUAAGAAAGGAUGGUAGCAGCGUUUUUCCGAUGAGAACUUGUCGGAAAAAGUCCUCUCCCGCGUAUCUCUCUCACUCUUUAGUAGCUCUCUCCCUCUUUCUAUUCUCAAUUCCGAUCUCUCUCUAAUUACUGUGCAUGAGUGUGUGUGGAAUUCUAUAUUUUCUAGUGUGACCCGUGUGUGUGUGGUAUAUUGUGAAGGUGAUGAUGAGUGUCUGUUGAUGGUGAGGUCUUUUUGUGAGGGUCAGUAAUGGAUAAGAGGCGUAUGUGUGUGUGAAUUGUAUAUAUGGCUUGUAUUGUUGUUCCCCUUUUUGCUCCCCUAUCACUGUAUUCGUAGGUGGGUAUGUAUAUUGUAAGGAAAAAAUGUGAGUAGGGUGAGGUUAGGUAGGGUAGGGGUAUAGGGUGAGGUAGGAUAGUGAUGUGUUGUCCACUUUUAAUGGGGAAGGUUGUUAAUUUGUUAUCAAUUGGGAUUAUGUGGGAAUUUUUAGGAUAAGAUUUGUUUAGAGCUAGUUUUGAUUUUUUGUCAUUUGUGAAGGGAUAAUUACAUGGUUGAGGGUACACGGUAGGAUAAGGUAAAAUGAGUAAAAGUGAUUGGGGAGGGACAAAAUUAGGUGUCUACAUCAUGCCCCCUUUGAAUGUAAACACGAAGUGUUUUCAGACAAAUAAGUAGAUAACGAGACAAAAUUUUGUCCCGGCCAUUAUUCAGAGAAACAGAUGGAAAAAAAAAAGCAAUUGGGUCUUGACUUAGGACAUCCUACCUACCCAAGUUACGAGGUAAUCAAGUCACAGGUAUCUUAAAGGAUUGGAAGGAGAAGGACUAUACCGAGUUGGAGAGUUGAGUGAGGUCCCGUCGAGGUUCCAGUCCGCGGCUCUGUCAUUACAUCAAAAAUAAAAAUUACAAGUUAGAACAUAAAUGAAAUUACAAAAUCCUAUCUAUGCUGCUUCUUUUGGACUCUUAACUUGAGUUUCAUCACCGUGUUUUUCAGGAGGGUUCCUGACUUGCAAUUUCUUCAACUUGUUGCUUGAUUUUCAAUUUCUUCACCUUGUUCUCCAGACGGGAUCCUAACUUGCUAUUUUUCGAUCUAUUGACUUUCAUUUUCUUCACCUUGUUGCUUGACUUUCAGCUUCUUCACUUUGUUGCUUGACUUUCAGCUUCUUCACUUUGUUGCUUGACUUUCAGCUUCUUCACUUUGUUGCUUGAUUUCCUAUUUAUUCGCCUUGUUCUUCAGGCGGACUCCUACUUGCAUGUUGCAAUGAUGAACUAAGACUCUGACCAAGAAAUGCAUCUCUUGAGAGUAAAAUUGAAUGACCAAGACUAGGAAGUGCAUCUCCUAAGAAUUAAAGUGAGGGAUUCCGACUAGAAAGUGUCUCCUUAUAAAUACCGCUUGAAUUACCAAACAAGGAAGUGCAUCUCCUUACCAAUGCCGCCUUAAUUACCAAACAAGGAAGUGCGUCUCCUUACAAAUGUUUCUUGAAUUACCAAACAAGGAAGUGCAUCUCCUUACCAAUAUCGCUUGAAUUACCAAACGAGAAAGUAUGUCUCCUUAUAGAUGCUGCUUGAAUUACCAAACAAGGAAGUGCAUCUCCUUACCAAUGCCGCUUGAAUUACCAAAAAAAGAAAGUGCAUCUCCUUACCAAUGCCGCCUUAAUUGCCAAACAAGAAAGUGUGUCUCUUUACCAAUGCUGCUUGAAUUACCAAACAAGAAAGUGUAUCUCCUUACCAAUAUCGCUUGAAUUACCAAACACGGAAGUGCAUCUCCCUACCAAUGCUACUUGAAUUACCAAACAAGGAAGUACAUCUCCUUACCAAUGCCUCUUGAAUUACCAAAACAAGGAAGUGCAUACUCUUACCAAUGCAACUUGAAUUACCAAAAUAAGGAAGUGUGUUUCCUUACCAAUGAUGCUUGAAUUGCCCAAACAAGGAAGUGUGUCCCCUCACAAAUGUUGCUUGAAUUUCCCAAAUAAGGAAAUGCGUCUCCUCACAAAUGUUGCUUGAAUUACCAAAACAAGGAAGCGUGUAUCCUUACAAAUGUUACUUGAAUUACCCAAACAAAGAAGUGCGUUUCCUUACAAAUGUUGAUUGAAUUACCCAAAAAAAAGUGUCUCCUUACCCAUGUCGCCUAAAUUACCAAACCAAGGAAGUGUGUCUCCUUACCAAUGUUGCUUGAAUUAUCCAAACAAGGACUAUGAUCAAGAAAGACUUCAUUUUUCUGAAAAUAAUGUCCCAUUUUUCAGGAGAGUCCUGAACAUAAAGUAAAUUCCCAUUUUUCAGGAGGGUCCUGAACAUAAAAUAAAUUCUCAUUUUCUAGGAGGGUCCUAAAAAGAAAGUAAAUUCCUAUUUUUCAGGAGGGUCCUGAACAGAAAGUAAAUUUCCAUUUUCCAGGAGAAUCCUGAACAGAAAGUAAAUUCCCAUUUUCCAGGAGGGUCCUGAACAGAAGCAAAUUCCCAUUUUCCAGGAGGGUCCUGAACAGAAAGUAAAUUUCCACGGAUGUGCUUUUCCAAGGGUAGCUGAAUUAAGUAAAGCAAAUUUGCCCCUGUUUCAACAAAAAAAAAAUUGUCAGUAAAAACUUAGUGGUGGUUUGCAGCACUUGGUUGUCCCAACACCUGCUCCAAUGUUCAUUCCCUUCAUUUUGUUUUUGAUUGCUGGCACUUGCCCCUGCUUUAUCGCGUCAUUGACCCAAACUCAGAUUAUUAAGAGUGACUCUGAAAUAAACACAGUAUCUCUGCUUUACCAUGCUUCCCAGAUAAAUCCAUUAAACCUUGGUAUUUUCAUGAGUUCCCAGAUUUGCCUAUUGACAAAGCUUUCUGCGUGCCUUUUUUCGGCUUACAAUCAUGUCUCUUUCAUGCGCUGGCCUUUUGUCUUGCUUAGUGCAAUUGAAGAAGCUGGUAGCUAGUUUUGGAAUCUUUUCUCACUUGUUUUGACAUGGACUUUUGACUCAAAGACAAGAGAAAAAUGACAAUAAUUUUUAUUUUAUUUGGAUAAUUGACUUAAGAAGAUAAAAAUAUAACUAUAGAGAAGAAACAAACGACAAUGAAUAUCCCUAUUGAAAAAUAUAAAAUAAAAGUUUAUCUGAAAAUGACAGUCAACUCUAAUGAUUAUGACAUGCAUAUCGGAUUAAACUGCAUGAUCUUUCCAUCCAAAACUCUCACAAAUUGUUAUUGAGUUAAUGACCCUGAACUAGAGUUGCUUCCUUGGGCCAAUUGCAUUCGGAGACCUCAUUCGGCUAGUGGCGGCCUGGAGAGUUUUCGCCAGCAAGCCUCUCUCAUUCUCUUUCUCUCAGCUCAACAUCGCCUGAUGGUGCCCGUGAGGAUUUUCAUCGAUAAGACUCUCUCAUUUUUAUUUCUCUCAACUCACAGUCAUCUUACAGUGCCCAUGAGGGUUUUCACAGAUAAGACUCUCUCAUUUUUAUUUCUCUCCUGAUUCCUUAUGCUGAUGAAGACAGGUAGUUCCCAAAAUGUGUCAUUAUAUCCAUUGCAUGCUUAGCCUUAAUAUUCUCAAAGAUUGAUCUGAAGGUCUAUCUUUGGUUGUAACUUGACUUUUGGAUAAGGAUAGAAAAAAAGGAUGAUAUGAGGCCCAAACGACACUUGAAGUUGGGUGGGACUUACAACUUUUAGAAUCGACUCAAACAAUGAGGAUUAACUCAUGCCCCAGUUUCUUUUGGCUGGUUGACUUUAAAUUAUUUAUCUGGUUGGACCGAGCCCUUAGUAGGGCAGCCUAUGUAUCUCAUCCCGAGAGAGGAGAAUCAGGUCAUGCGUAGUUCUGGCAGCUUGUUUUGCAUGAUUUAGACUUUUGAUUCUUUUUCUUUGAUUGACACUCUUUUCUCUUUGAAUUUUUUUGACUCUAUUUGUCUUGGCACUUUUUUUUUGGACAUAUAUAUUUUUUUGACUCUAUUUUGAUUCCAAAAGAGGGGUAUGAAAGAAAAUAUGAGUAAAGCUCAAAUGGGGUAAACAAAGGAGACACGAUGUUUGGAUAGCAGAAUGAAAUGCCUUCAUCAUAUCAAUUCUUGAAAAUGCAAGCACAUAUCAUGCAAUAUAAAAGUGCACGAUCAAUAUCACUUAUGACAUGUUUUACAAUACUAACUUGCCCCGAACAUAUGUACCACCUCUUCUUCUACACUUGCCGAACAUACAACUCCAUCUUUGUUGUACAUCCCUCACAUUGAAUGACUCACGCUUUCGUGGAGUUGAUUUUCGUUCUAUUCCUCGGGAUCACAUAUCUUCUACUUGACCUAAUUGAGCUAUGUUUUUCAAUUGAUAACCAAGUUAUUCUUGUGAUUCUCUAAAUAAUUGCCUUAAUUUUCAAAGAAGGCUUGAACUUGUCACCAAAUGUCUCAGCACUCUACCUGUUUUCUCAGAUGCUUUCUUUUUCUAACUUUAACCCUCUGAUUCAAUGUUCAUGCUUAAAUUAGAUUUUAAGAUCUGGCUGAAAAUUCCGCUAGCAUGUCAUAUUACUAGAAUCAACAUAAAAUGUACUAUGUAAAGAAAACAAACAAACAACACAUAUUUAAAACACAAAAAAAAAAUAGGACACUUCAUUUAGUGGAAACAAAAUAUAGAAGGGUUUGAACAUAAACAACAAAAGGACAAAACAAGAAAGAUCCCGAAGUACAACCCUGAAAUAAUUCGGACAACAGAAAAUAAAACAAAACAAGCUACCAGACCCCUUCCUAGUAAGGAGAGAAGUGACUUCUUAAUUGCUCAGCCUGACAUCUUAGCCACUGGUUUGCAUAUCAGCAUGACUAGAGCUUUCCUCACUGUCAAUGUUCUAUACCAUGAUUGAUUUAUCUUGAAUUAUUUUUUCAAUUUCUCUUUUCAAAGCAUGAUAAUCUUUAAUAUUGUAACCCUGAACAUCAGAAUGAUAUGCACAUCGUACAUUAGGAUCAAAACUUCUUGAAUGUGGGUCAGGAGUAUACCCAAGGAGAGGAGUGAUUAUGCCCUGUUGUACCAAUAUAUGGAAUAAAAUUGCAUACGACUCUCCAAUUGGUGUGAAGUUAUCCCUCGACUUCUACCUCAUUUCAUUAUUUAACUUGGACCGAACAUCUGGCCUAGAAGGGGUUUGGUAUGUUUGUGGAGUUUGAGGAAGACUCUGAAGAGUUGGUACACGCCAUUAUGGGUAAGAAGGGAAUUGAUCAUAGGGUUGUGCAUUGUAUAUUAGAUAUGGAGGUGGAGGAAUAGAGUAUAAUGGAUUUCGGGAAAGAUUCUGUGGAGCUUGGGCAUAAACUUGGGUUUGAGCCUGUGGAUAACGAUGGUGGGGUCCUCUUUCCCGUGCCUGUUGUCCAACUACAAUGGUAGAUGUAUAUUCCUCAUACUUCUUCCCUCCGACACUUUCCAAACCUUUUUGAAUUGCUUGAGUAGUCGCUUUCAAUAUUGCAAAACUCACAAUGUGACCGGUCUUAAUUCCAUCCUCUACCAUCUCCCCCAUUUUGAGGACCUCAAUAAAUGGCUUGCCUAAUGAAGGUAACAAGUGUUAAUAAUAAGAUUCAUCCUGCGCUUGAAUAAAUACCUCCACUAUCUUACUUUCUUUCAUUGGCGGUUUCACCCAAGCAGCUUGUUCACGCCAUCUAACCGCAUACUCUCUGAAAGUUUUAGUACUCUUUUUCUUCAUAUUAGUUAGGGAUUUCUCUUCAGGAAUCAACUCCAUAUUGUAUUAAAAUUGUUGCACGAAUUCAUUAUCUAGGUCAUCCCAACUAAUCCAUUUGUCAAUGUCUUGGUCAACAAACCAUUCCGAAGCAAGGCCUGAAAGACUCUCCCCGAAAUAAGCCAUGAGUAGUUCUUCCUUCCCUCCAGCGCCUCUUAAUUGGUUACAAUAGCAUCUCAAAUGUGACACUAGGUCCCCAUGUCCGUCAUAUUUCUCAAACUUUGGCAUUUUAAAGCCAGGAGGAAGGUUGACCCCUGAAAACAUGCAUAAGUCCUUAUAUGAGACACUUUUGUAACCCCCAAGUCCUUGCAAGUUCUUCAUAGCCAGUUCCAAACUUCUCAAUAUUCUGGUCAUUUUCUCUUGUUUCUCUGUCAUAACAGGCUUCUCAGUGUUAGGAGGAAAUUCAGGCGGGUGAGUGUCACCAUAAAGACCAGUCAACAUAAAUGUAGGCUCGAAAGUGUAAUACUGAUCACCAGUAAUAUUCAAUACAGGCUCUCUUAUAGAGUAGGGAAGCACAACUUGUGAAUGAACAUCAAAAGUAGGAGCUUCAGGUGGGGGUGGCACUGAAAAAUCAUGAACAGCAAGUGGAGUCGAGUAUGUGGUAGUCUUGGAUUGGGGAGUGAGAAAAUGAACAUUGAAAGUGGUUGGAUAUUGUUGCCCCGGAGUCGAUCCUGAUGCAUGUUGUGGCAUAUUAACAAAAAUGGAAAAUUAUGCAUAUGACACGGGAGGCAAUCUAGAAAGAUAUUCCAGAUUAUCAGUGGGAACUGGAGGAGGCGACAAUCCAUUAGCCCAAGCUCGAUGUAUUUCUAUCACUUGUUGCCUUAAUUUCCGAAUCUCUUCAUUAUCUCCUAAAUUCUCAUUUCCCAAACUCCCUGUCUGAUUAGUGACAACAAACUCGAUAUCCUUGUUGGCCAUAACCUUCUCUGUGACUUGGUGCAAUAUGGAGGACCAACCAAAAUGCCACAAACCAACCACCUCAAACUAACUGAACAAGAGAUAGCAAAUGUGUUAGAGUUCAACACUUUCUCAAAAUCUCUCCUUUUAAAAAAAAAGAUCACCAAACCCAAGAAGGGUGCCUACGUAUCUCACUCCCGAAAGAGGAGAAUCAGGUGUGCAUAGUUCGUGAAGUCUUGCCAAAAUGACCAAUUAAACUCUUUUUCUUUUUCUUUUUAUUGAAAUUUUAAGAAGAAAAGAAAAAUGACAAAUUUUCAAAAGAAUAGACGAAAAUAUUUUUUUUUGAAUUUUCUAGAUUUAAUAACCUAUAAAAAAAUGAAACUUAUGAUUACCAAAGAAACUCCUUUUGGGUUUUCGAUUUUGAAUUUCAUAAGAAAAUGAAACUUGAACCUAUUAAAGAAAAAUAUUUUUUUUAGUUUUAUUUUUAAGGAAAAUCUUUUUUUGUAUUUUUGUUUUCAAGGCAUAUAUGAAACACCUACUCUAAAUGACGAGAAGAAAAUCUUUUUUUGAUUUUUUAAAUAAGAUCCCCGAACCAACAAUAAGCUUCCUACGUAUCUCACUCCCGAGAGAGGAGAAUUAGGGGUGUGUAGUUCGUCCAGAUAGGACAAUUAAGGAUUAAAUAACAGACUGAACCCUGACUUGAGAGACGCGACCACAAACAGAAGAUGAAAAACAAUAAAAUAUUUUUGAGUUUUUAGUUUGACACUGGGUUUGUUGUUGUUGUUGUUGUUGUAGUUUGACACUUCACAGAAGACUGACACCAACAACUAUGAAAGAGAAAAUCUUUUUGGUAUUUUCGUUAUAAGAGAUGCACAAAACUUUUACCAUCUUUUGACUUUCUUUUAUAAAACGCUCCUAUUAAGGAAAAAAAAAUUUGAAAUUUUUGAAUUAUGAAUGCUUACUAAAGAAACAAAAGAAAAUCUUUUCAACAUUUUUGAUGUUUUGGGAAAUGAGUGCAAAAAGUAAAAAAAAAAUAUUUUUUUUUUGAAUUUUUGAAUUGUGAAAAAACAAAAGCCAUAAAGAACCCUAAAAACUACCAAAUCUCUUUUUUUUCACUCUUUUUUUUUCUUCCUUUUUUCAACAAUUUUCUUCCUACACACGUUGCUUCUAACUCAUGCUUUUGCCCAAAUCAGUCUGUCAAAUGACCUUGUUACUCUCAAAGAUGCAAUAUUUAGCACGUAGGGAUGCUUUAGAGGUGAGUUUCCUACAAAGGAUCAAGUGGGCCCAGCUAGGUUGUCACGCCCCAAAAUCCCAUCGGGCCGGACUGGCACCCNNNNNNNNNNNNNNNNNNNNNNNNNNNNNNNNNNNNNNNNNNNNNNNNNNNNNNNNNNNNNNNNNNNNNNNNNNNNNNNNNNNNNNNNNNNNNNNNNNNNNNNNNNNNNNNNNNNNNNNNNNNNNNNNNNNNNNNNNNNNNNNNNNNNNNNNNNNNNNNNNNNNNNNNNNNNNNNNNNNNNNNNNNNNNNNNNNNNNNNNNNNNNNNNNNNNNNNNNNNNNNNNNNNNNNNNNNNNNNNNNNNNNNNNNNNNNNNNNNNNNNNNNNNNNNNNNNNNNNNNNNNNNNNNNNNNNNNNNNNNNNNNNNNNNNNNNNNNNNNNNNNNNNNNNNNNNNNNNNNNNNNNNNNNNNNNNNNNNNNNNNNNNNNNNNNNNNNNNNNNNNNNNNNNNNNNNNNNNNNNNNNNNNNNNNNNNNNNNNNNNNNNNNNNNNNNNNNNNNNNNNNNNNNNNNNNNNNNNNNNNNNNNNNNNNNNNNNNNNNNNNNNNNNNNNNNNNNNNNNNNNNNNNNNNNNNNNNNNNNNNNNNNNNNNNNNNNNNNNNNNNNNNNNNNNNNNNNNNNNNNNNNNNNNNNNNNNNNNNNNNNNNNNNNNNNNNNNNNNNNNNNNNNNNNNNNNNNNNNNNNNNNNNNNNNNNNNNNNNNNNNNNNNNNNNNNNNNNNNNNNNNNNNNNNNNNNNNNNNNNNNNNNNNNNNNNNNNNNNNNNNNNNNNNNNNNNNNNNNNNNNNNNNNNNNNNNNNNNNNNNNNNNNNNNNNNNNNNNNNNNNNNNNNNNNNNNNNNNNNNNNNNNNNNNNNNNNNNNNNNNNNNNNNNNNNNNNNNNNNNNNNNNNNNNNNNNNNNNNNNNNNNNNNNNNNNNNNNNNNNNNNNNNNNNNNNNNNNNNNNNNNNNNNNNNNNNNNNNNNNNNNNNNNNNNNNNNNNNNNNNNNNNNNNNNNNNNNNNNNNNNNNNNNNNNNNNNNNNNNNNNNNNNNNNNNNNNNNNNNNNNNNNNNNNNNNNNNNNNNNAGCUCACAAUCAGAAUGUAGCAGUAUAUCAAAACUUCUGAUUCUUUGAACACACUCAACGGUUGAAGAUCACAAAGAGCUUUUUGAAAUUAGAAAAGUGUUUUCAAUACUGAAAAUUUUCGUUACCACCUGAGGAAAAAGUGCAGUAUUUAUAGCCAUAAAGUGCCCCUUCAGAAAGGAAGCAAUGGCUCAUCAGAAAGGUGCAUCGCUUCGGCACAGUCAUGUCUGUUUAUUUUGAAAUAAUGUCUUUUCAGAAUAGCCACAUCCGACGAACAACCACCGUUUUUCCAAUACAGUAUGUCAUUUCCUUGAAGGGUUGUAUCCCUUUUGAGUUACAUUUCAGUGUUUAUGCAUGCAUGUUCAUGAAGAAAAUAUUUUUUUUCCGUUGGUUUUUUAGAUUUAAAAAUUUCACUUGGUUUUUCCAAGUUCCAAAACAACUUUGUCUAAAAAAUUAAUCUUAUCUUUGACCGAACCCGAAGCCGAGUGAAUGAUGACGGCGAUGAUGACGGCGUGAGGAACCUCUUGGUUCUUGCCCCACUAUCCACUUGAAGGAGUGUUUCUUAAUAAGAACACAAUAAAGUUGCUUUCUUCCACCUGGGAGGAGUUGUCACAACUCGAGUCGAGGCCCUAGCCGUGACGAGCAUCCUGAACAGCAAAGGCCCGAGAGACCCCUUAGCCCACCCAGUAGUGAUAUUGUACGCUCAGAGCCCAGGCCCGCAUGGCUUUAAAAUACGUGUAAGGCUUGCUUACUUAUAUACCCAAAAUCCCUCCUAUGUUUUACCGAUGUGGGACUUCUUAUCUUAAGUUGGUGUGUUACAUACACCCUCUUCCCUUAUGGACACAGCGUCCUCGCUGAGGUUUGCCUCACCUAAUUAGAUUUGCAUAGACUCAGGACUCUGGCCCACAUCGACAAGGCUGACACAGGAGCGACUCUGAUACCAUUUUGGUCACGACCCGAGUCGAGGCCUUGGCCGUGAUGGGCAUGCCGAACCACGAAGGCCUAAGAGACCCCCCUUAGCCCUCCCACUAGUGAUAUUAUUUGCUCUGAGACUAGGCCCGCACUACUUUAAAAUGCUUCACUAGGGAGUAAGGCUUUCUUACUUAUAUAUCCAAUAUCCUUCUUGUAUUUUGCCAAUGUGGGUGUUACAUACACCCCCUUAUGGACUCAGGGUCCUCGCUGAGGUUUGCCCCACCAAAUGGAAUUUGCCUAGAUUCAGGACUAAAGUUUGCCCCACCCUAUCGGAAUUUACAUAAACUCAGUUUGGACUCUAGCCCACAUCGACAAGUCUAACACAGGAGCGACUUUGAUACCAUUCUUGUCAUCACUCAAGCCAGGGUCCUGGCCACGACGGGCAUCCCAAACAAUUAAGGCUCGAGAGACCCCUUAGUCCAUCUACUAGUGAUAUUGUCCGCUCUGGGCUCUGGCCCACACGAUUUAAAAUGCAUUACUAGGAAGUAAGGCUUUCUUACUUAUAUACCCAAUAUCUCUCCUGUGUAUUACCGAUGUGGGACUCUUUAUCCUAAAUUGGGGUAUUACAUGCACCCCCUCUUAUGGACUCAAGGUCCUCGCUGAGAUUUGCCCCACCAAAUAGGAUUUUCCUAGACUCAAGACAUAGGUUUGCCCCGCCUUACUGGGAUUUGUCUAAACUCAGUUUGAACUCUGGCCCACAUCGACAGAGCUGAACACAAGAGCCGCUCUGAUACCAUUCUUAUCACGACCCGAGACAAGGCCCUGGCCGUGAUGGGCAUCCCGAACAAUGAAGGCCUAAGAGACCCUCCUUAGCCCGCCCACUAGUGAUAUUAUCUUCUCUGGGCUCAGGCCCGCAUAGCUUUAAAAUGCAUCACUAGGUAGUAAGACUUGCUAACUUAUAUACCCAACAUCCCUCCUGUAUUUUGCCGAUGUGGGACUCCUUAUCCUAAGUUGGGGUGUUACAGAAGUAUACUUUCCUUUAGUGAGUACACUUUCCUUUCAAGUGUGUGAUCACUUUCCUUCUAAAAAUUUCCUCAAUUUUCCAUCUACAUCCUAUUGAACCCAACAAUGUCUUUCUAUACAAAAAGAAAUCUUUCAUAAUAUUAGAAAAAAAUUAUCAAAACACACCUUCAUUGUCUAUUGUUCCCUUUUCCUACAUGAAAUAUCACCAUCAUUCAAGUAGGAAACGAGAACAACUGAUAGUUAGGGUAUGUUCCAAUAAAUAUUGUGAUAGUUUAGGUAGAAAACUUGCUCACCGAAUAAUUCAGGUAUAAAACUCAAAAAACCAGCUAAGGGCAAGUUGAAGUACACGUUUAUGUCUUAUGUUUAAAAGAAAACCAGAAACCAAAGAAAAUUAGUGAUUUUCAACAUGAAAAUAUCUCUGCUUGCUUUGUUGUUAUUGAACUACAUUCAUCAUCACCAUCAAAUAAGUAAAUUCCACAAAAAUAUAUGUACAAAUAAGCACUAAUAAGUGUUAGAAUAGUGGGAGGAUGUAAGAGAAGUUUUGUAUAACAGUGGUUUUAUACCAGGGAUCUUUACCUAGAGUUGAGGGACUAUAGCAAAUAGUCUUUCUACCCUACGCUUUAAUGAUGGUAUUUCUUGAAAGAAUUACAAAAGGCAAAAUUCAUAAAUAUGCGCUUUAACUUGGCCUCAGAUCACAUCUAUAACUUCCAAAUUUGGGUGUGCACAAGUAGGCACUUAAAUGAAGGAUUCUUUGUUAAAUGGCAUUUUCAAGUCUUCUUUUUAAUUAAAGAAACUACACAUUUUUUUUAGGCAAAUGACACAUUUUUUAGAUAGAUCUAUUAUCUAUCCGAUUGAUAUAUAGACAGAUCGAUUAUCGAUCUGACCUAUAUAUUGACAGAUCGAUUAUCAAUCUGACCUAUGUAUAGAUGGAUCGAUUAUCAAUCCGACAAAUGAGAAAAUAUAAGUAUGCCAUUUUGCUAAUUGGAAACUUGAAGAGGCUUAAUAACCAAAUUUACUCAGUAGGCCAUUUUUCUAAUUGGAAACAUGAAGAGGCUAAUAGCAAAAUUUUCUUCUUAAGCUUGUAUAAAGUUGAACAAGUAGACACAUAUGUCCUAUAUGGCAUCCUAUGUGGCCAAUUCUUGUCCUACAUGGCGUCCUACGUGUAUUAUGCCACAUAGGACGUGUGUGUCUAUUUGUUCAUCUUUAUAAAAGUUUAAGUGCCUACUUAUACACACCCAAAGUUGAAGAUCACAGAUGUGAUUUUUAGUCAAGUUAAGGGAAUGUUUAUAUAUUAUGCCUUUACAAAAACAUAAAAAACACUGAGAUAUAUGUAACACAUCGAUAUUUUUGAGCUAAAAUUCAAACCGUCAUUUCUAUGUGUAUAAUCAUGGAUUCUAUUAUUUAUAUAAAAAAAUAUGUAUAAUUUUCAUUAACCUAGCAUGAAAAGUGCCUUUUAGGGGAAGAAUGUUAGUAGUAAACACUUAGCAUGAACUGGAGUUAAGAACUUUCACUAUCGACCAAAUUUUAAAAUUUGCUUCUACAUGGGUCAACUUUGAAUGUGUAUAACUUGCGAAAUAUGUGUAAUUUUGGAGUUAAAUACCUACCAAUUUGUACAUAAUUGAAUUAGAUUUCCAACUCCUCCAAUUUCGCCUUAAUCCGAUACCCGAGCCAAAAGUUAUGAACAUUUUUGUACAAACCAGUGAGCGUCCGUGAUAGCAGCGCGACACGGAGCUCAUCAUGGAUAUUAGACUCUACGACGCACCGAUGUUUUAAAUUCAUCAAUUUUUGGAUUUUUUGAUUUGGAAAGAAGGGUAUUGAAGUCCUUUCACUUUUAAAUGACCCCUAAACGCUAUAUUAUUCUAUUUCUAUUCGUUUCACGAUAUAACAUUGUUAUAUCACCUCUCCAAAAUCCCUAAUCAUUUCUCCAUAAGAAAGAAAGUAGAAACUACCCAGGGUUUGAGAAAUUCAGGCUUCGGGGGUCCAAUUUCUCUAUGUUCUCUUGGAUUUCUCUCCGUCAAAAGGUAUGUGGGACUAUCCUAAAUCUCAUGGGCAUGAUUUUAUCGUUUUACAAGCUUUACGAAUAUAUAAUUACGUAUAUGCAAUGGGUUUUGAAAUUAUUGAAGAGCAUGCAUUGGGGACCCCGUUUUAUGAUGAAAUCUUGUUAAAACUAUGGGGGGUUUCCUAAACUUGAAUUAUAUUUUUGUGUAUGAAUGUUAUGAGUUUUGAGAAUUCAUAUGAGAGCACAAUUUACGAGAUUCCCUCUCUUGUUAUGAAAGUCAUUGUCUUAAUGUGUUGUGGGUUGUUCAAAUGCAUGAAUUACAAGCUCGAGAUUCAAAUCUUUACAGUCAUGAUGGGUUAACAUUGUUUAUGAUAUGAUGAGAGGGUAUUUCUCUUGUUUAUAAUUGUUUAUCCUGUGAAAGAAUUGCAUGUAUUUUAUGAAAGGAUUGGCCACCACAUUAUAAAGUAUUGAAAAGGGAGUAUUCAGCAAAUGUUUUCAUAUGUUUUGAAAUAAUAACUCUCUUGUGUGAUGUUUAAAUCUUUUGGGUGACCAUCAACAUGAUUUUUGAAUGAAAGGGGCUAUGAUUAUGACAUGACAUGAUAUGACUUGCAAGUCUAGGUAUGAUGAUACCUAUCACGAGAUGCCCUUGACUUGAAAGAGAUAAAUGUUUUAAAAGCAUGAAGCAUGAUUUUAAUGGACUAAAAUUGAGCUUAAAGAGAGGUAGUUGGUUAUCCGAAGAAGUCUUGAGUUAGAUAACUCAUAGCCCGAAAUUGUGUUUUGUCGAUACGGGUUUUAUAUGUUAUUCGGCAAGUGGAAUAACAUGGUAUGUCGGCAAGUUGGGCAUACCUUUUCAUGAUACUGCAAUCCUUGAGGCAAACUCGGAUUGGGGGGUUUGGCCAACGAGUUAAUGGCGGACCUAUAUAGCCCAUGGGUAUUAAUGUUUUGUAGGGUGUACAUCUAACUCAGAAGUAAUACGAAGAGUUGAGUCAGUGUUCUACAAGAAUGGUUGAAGCUCAUCAAAUUAUGCCCAUGUGUUUUCAUUUACAUUAUCCUAAAUUGAUUUAUGAAAUGCUCUCACCUAUGUUGUAUAAAAAUAUAUGUUAUAUUUUUGGAUUGUUCUGCAUGCCAGUACUUUCAAGUAUUGACCCCCCUCCUCCCCCCAUAUUACAGGUUCUGUUGUAUAGUCUCACGGUCCAUCACAUCAAUAGAACACUUGAGGUAUGACAGAAUUGGUGAGCCAUCUAUCUUUUGGAAGGCAUUUACUCAUAUGUUGAGUAUUUUAGUAUAUGGUCUAGCCGGGGGCUUUAUCCCGACCUAUACAGUUUAGUUUUCAUUAGAAGCUUCGUCAAUGGAAUUCGAGUACUGUAUUGUCAUACUUUGUUGACACAGUUUGUAUUAUAAGUUUUUGUUGAACUUCAUUAUAUAUUCCGCACUUUGAUUUAUGUAGGUAUUAUGCUUAUGAUAAAAUGCAAAGGGGUCUCUCGAGCCUUCUAUGGUUUGGGAUGCCCGUCGUGACAAUAUAGAACAAAUUUCAUGUAGUACAGAGUUUUCCAACCUUUUAUUUAACUUCAUUCUUUUCCAUUACAGCGGAGAUUCAGUGAUCCCAAGUAGAUUUCUUGAUUUGCCAACAAUUCAGUCCGUACCAAAGAAGAGAUAAGAGUAUACGAGAAGAAGAAUUUGAAAGAACAAAUAUUGGAAUAUUACUAGACAACUUGUUUUUAACUAUAGGCAAACAAAAUGAAGAAAAAGGGAUAAAAUUGAAAAAAAAAACCUGUCAUAACAAUAGCAAUACAACUUCAUCACUUAUUCACCACAAUAAAAUAAAAGAAAAAAGGGGAAAAUAGCUCGGAGAAUGCAAUCGAUGUCUGACAAUUUAUCUUUAGCCUCUGACGUCUUGGCGAAGGAAUUGUAACCAUCUUCUUAACAUAUGCUCUGCAAAUAAAAAUUACACUGGUCAAAGUAAUUGGAAAAAAUAUAAAGAAGAGACGUUACUCAAUUUUAUGUGGCACUCUUUUUCUUUUUGCUAUGUCCAAAAAGAAUGUAGCUACACCUAUGUUGCUCGGACUCUUAAAAAAUGUGGGUGCAUGUCGGAUUCUCCAAAAGUAGUGUAUUUUUGGAGAAUCCAACAUGAAUACGGCAUCAAAAGUGAUGAGUCCGCGCAACUUAGAGCUACACUGUUAAAGAAUAGAAGUUUCAAAAGUUAUUAUUGACUUUCUCAAACUCCACCGCAUAUCGACAACACAUUAAUAAAGUUAUGCUAGUUUUAACAUGAAUAACUCUUCUCUAACCCGGAAGUCAGAAGUUGUAAUGUUUUGAGUUAGAAUCUGUUGUUGCCCAUUUAGUCUUUGCUACUUUAUUGACAAUUUGAAACAAAAAAGAAAUUGUACAUCUGCAUAUGCAUCAGACUUCUGAAGGAAACAGGUUACCACUGCUUUGUACAUUCCCAUUACUCGUUCCAUACUUGCCUCGGCUUCUUCCUUUCCGUGUUUCUCUGCCAAGGACAGUGAAAAGUGUAAUCAACAAGUUGAUGAUUAGCUAGAGGAAGUUAGUGUGUGUGAUGUAUGUGCGACUGAGUUAGUUAGUUAAGUGUGACAGCUGUCAUUAUACAACUGUCACAAGGUGCAAACCAACUCUAUAAAUGUGACUUGUAGUGCCAUAAAAAGCUAAGAGAAAAUCAAUCAAUGAAAACUACUCUUCUUCUAGAAUCUUCUACUCCUCUUCUUCAAGAUCUUAGCUCAAUACUAUAGAAAGCUAAUAUGGUAUCAAAUCCACUACUGAUCGCUAGCUGUAAUCGGUACUAGAGACUAUCGAUUUCACUUGAUCAGUGAGAAUAACAGCUACUAUUCUAUUGGUUACAGUGAACUUUAAUGGCGGUUACUCGAAACUCAGUUGCAUAUCCUUCAACUACAACUGCAGUACCUGGAAAUACACCUACUUCAACUGGUACAAUUGAAAUUGACCACAAUUAUCCUCUGUAUUGGCGUCCAAAUGACACUCCAGGUAGCUCUCUUAUUUCUAUCCAGCUUACUGGCACUGAAAAUUAUGCCCUGUGGAGUAGAUCUAUUGCGUUGAGUCCCAUAGGUAAGAACAAAAUAGGCUUUGUUGAUGGGAGAUAUCCUAAAAAUCACAUUGAUGAAUCAGUACAUGAUCAGUGGGAGAGUGUUAAUGCUGUUGUUUUGUCAUGGAUUAUGAAUUCAGUACGAAAGGAUCUGUUGAGUAGUAUUAUGUAUGCCUCUAAUGCUCAUAAUGUGUGGAUAGAUUUAAAGAAAAGGUUUGAUAUGGUGAGUGGCUGUAGAGUAUUCUACUUGCAUAGAGAAAUUAUGACCUUCUCUCGGGGAACUCUGUCAGUUGCUGAUUAUUUUUCUCGAAUGCGAACUCUUUGGGAUGAAUUUGAUGCUAUUAUGCCUUCUCCUAGAUGUAGAUACCCUGAAUCUAGAAGUUAUGCUCAACACUUUGAUUAUCAAAGAGUAUUACAGUUCCUAAUGGGUCUAAAUGAAACAUACUCUCCGUGUAGAAGCCAACUCCUAUUAAUGACCCCUGUACCAUCCAUUAGCAAAGUGUACUUCAUGAUUGUAGGUCAUGAAAGCCAUAGAUCCAUAGCUUCUAGUUCCUCUGUGGAUCAUCUUAGUGAUACACUGGAUGUAGCAGCUCUCUUUACCCAUAAACCAGGUUACAAAGGCAAAGGUGGAUAUCUAGGUCCUGGUGGUUCAGUUGGUACAAGUAUAGUUAAGACUACAGGUAUCGAUGAAGGAAGACCACUAGCUUCUACUUAUAGAGGUGCUCCACAAAAAAAACCAUCAGUGGUUUGUGAGUUUUGUGGUUAUAAUGGUCAUACUAAGGAUCAAUGUUUCAAGCUGAUUGGUUACCCAUCAGAUUAGCCCAAGUCCAAUAAGAAAGGAUCAGGACAGUAUGCACAUAUGGUAGACUCUGCAUUCCCUGUGGACACAUACCCUACUAGUAAUAAGUUGUCUCAAGCCAGUUCAUCCCCAACUACUUCAAGUCCUACUCCUCAUUUUACACCAAGAUUAUAUCAACAACUUGUCAUGCUGCUCAACAAAGGGAAGGAAAAGGAUUCCAUUUCACCUGCAUCAAAUGCAGGCAUCACGAUAGCUCCAACUAGUCCUACUUUAAGUGAUAGGUGGAUUAUUGAAUCUGGUGCUACUAAUCAUAUGGUCUCCAACCCUGAUAUGCUUCAUAGUUAUCAUAAAAUGCAUCAGUCUUUAUAAAGUCAGGUCUAUCUUCCAACAGGUAACUAGGUUUCAGUCUUUCACAAAGGCACCUCUGGUGUACUCAACAAUUCCCUCAUUACUGAUGUCUUAUAUCUGCCUGAGUUCAAAAUAUAAUCUUCUAUCUAUUUCAAAACUUACCAAGGAGUUGCAAUGUUCAGUGAAGUUUUUUCCUGACUUCUGCAUCUUCUAGGAUCUCUAUACUAGCAUGGUGAUGGGGAUUGGUAAAGAAUAUCAAGGACUUUACAUUCUCCCAAAUGCUUCCUCUAAACCUACAAGUGUAAAUAAGUGUGCCAAUAAUGUGAAGUUGUUGUCGGAUUCUAGUGUUCUUUGGCACAAAAGACUGGGUCAUGCACCUAUUGAGGUGCUUAAAAGGCAUGCUGAACUAAGUCAUUUGAAGUUUGAAGAUCACAUAUGCACUGUGUAUCCCCUUGCUAAGCUGAUUAAACUUUCUUUUCAGCAUAGUAUCUCUGUGUCUAAGGCUCCCUUUCAUCUGCUUCAUUAUGAUAUAUGGGACCUUAUAGAGUGCCUACCUAUGAUAAAAAGAGAUUCUUUGUUACAAUUUUUGAUGAUCAUUCUAGAUUAACUUGGUUGUUUCUUAUCCAGUUUAAGUCUGAAGUGAUAGUUGUACUCAAAGAUUUUCUGACUAGAAUGCAAAACUUGCUCUCUACUUCUGUAAAAAUUCUUAGAACUGAUAAUGCCUGUGAGUUCUUUAGUCAUGAAUUUAAAUCUCUUAUGUCUAAUCUUGGUAUUUGCAUCAAACUUCAUGUGUCUAUACCCCUCAACAGAAUGGGGUGGUGGAAAGAAAACACAGAACUAUUUUGGGAGUUGCAAGAUCCCUCAAAUUUCAAGCAGGUGUACAUCUCAAGUUUUAGGGUGAAUGUGUUGAGACUGUUGUGUACUUGCUGAACAGAAUUCCCUAAGAAAUACUUCACUAUAAAUCUCCCUUUGAAAUCCUCCAUCAACAGGUGCCUUCACUUUUUCAUUUAAAAGUCUUUGGCUGUUUAGGCUAUACCUCUAGUCCUUUGUUCAGAUAAGUUUGCUGCUAGAGCAAUUCUUUGUGUCUCUAUGGGCUACUCAUCCACCCAGAAAGGGUACAAACUAUAUGAUUUUCAUACCAGACUAUUCUUUACUAGUAGAAAUGUCAGCUUUCAAGAGUCCACCUUUCCUUUCCUUCACCAAGCUACCAUUGACUCUUAAUUAUUUCCUGACCUGCUGACCACUCUUGUUGAUCAUUCUGUUCCUUUUUUCUCUUUCCCCUCCAUUCCUUUAUCUACUUCUUUUCCAGUCUCUCCUGAGCUGGAGCAUGGUCGGGCCUAUACCUUCAUCCUCAGCUCCUACUCAUCCCUCUGUAUCUCAUUCUGACCCCCCCUCUUCUCAAAAAAUCCACCAGACAUAAGAAACCUCCUAGUUGGAUCCAUGACUUUGUCACUACCAAGCUUGUCUCAGCUCACCAAUGUUUGUAUCCAUUAUCUUCCUAUGUCACAUACUUUCAGUUCUCUUCAUAUUUUAAUCAAGCUCUCUCUGUCUAUUUUUCUAUUCCUGAACCCUCUACUUUUCUUGAAGCCUUCAAAGAUCCAUCUUGGGUUGAGGCUAUGAAGCUAGAGAUUGCAGCUCUUGAGGAGAAUCAUACUUGGUCUAUUGUUGACUUUCCACCUGGUAAAGCUCCUAUUGGUUAUAGGUGGGUGUACAAAGAAAAGUACAAGACAAAUGGAGAUGUAGAAAGUUAUAAAGCCAGACUAGUAGCUAAGGGCUAUAGUCAACAGGCUGGGGUUGAUUACUCAGAUACUUUCUCUCCUAUGGCAAAGAUGGUGACAGUAAGAUCCCUUAUUGCUCUUGCUGCUUCUCGACAAUAAUUGUUUUUUCAAAUGGAUGUGACAAUGCUUUUCUUAAUGGUGAUCUGUCAGAAGAGGUCUACAUGCAUAUUCCUGAUGGUUUUUGCAGACAGGGAGAGACUCAGAAAGUCUACAAAUUACACAAGUCUUUGUAUGGUCUAAAGCAGGCCCAUAGACAAUGGAAUAUGAAGCUGACCGAUGCUCUCUUACAAGUGGGGUUCAGUCAAAGUUAUUAUGACUACUCCUUGUUUACCAAAAAAUCAGAAAAUGAAAUAGUGAUUAUUCUUGUCUAUGUGGAUGAUUUAUUAAUAACAGGAAACAAUGUCCCCUUGAUUAAUCAAGCUAGAUCAGAUUUAUAACAAAAGUUUAAAGUGAAGGAUCUUGAUGAUCUGAAGUUCUUCUUGGGCAUAGAGGUAGCCAGGUCCAAGGAAGGGAUAGUGCUGAAUCAAAGAAAGUAUGCUCUUGAACUUAUAUCUGAGGCUAGACAAAGUGGAUCAAAAUGUGCUAGUACUCUACUGGAAAUGAAUCAGAAACUAACAUUUGUGGAAUAUGACAAUCAUAUGUCCAAUGGAACAGGAGAUGAUAAUGCAACGCUGAAGGAUCCAACAACAUAUCAAAGACUAGUAGGAAGGCUAUUGUAUNNNNNNNNNNNNNNNNNNNNNNNNNNNNNNNNNNNNNNNNNNUGGGGUGCUUGCUUACAAACUAGAAGAUCAGUGGCUGGGUAUGUAAUAAAGUUUAGAGGUGCUUUAGUCUCUUGGAAAUCAAAGAAACAAGAGACUGUGUCCAGGAGCUCUGCAGAAGCAGAGUUUAUCCCUCCCGAAGUCAUUUUUUUUACUCAUUUACCACUUUACCAUACACCUCCUUUUAGUUGAUAAUUUUUCCACAAAAGAACAAAAAAUAAUAAUCAGCCCUUAACAAAAUCCCUAACAAAUUUUAUCUUGUUUUAAUCAUCCUAACAACUUACCCCUACCCUACCCUUAUCCUACCACGUGGUCCCCACCUCCCUAACAAGACCACGAAUUAUACGCACAUAAGAAUACAGGAUAAACACAAAAAAUUGGAAGCAUAUAUAGAGAAUUCCAGUAAGAGGAGGGUGGGACCCACAUGUAUUAUUCCCUCAACAUAUACAACACACAACCUCCAUUAAAGGACCAUCAAUACACUCUCCAUUUUUGGAUUUCAGGGGAGAAACACUACAUACACCAAAAAUACUCUCCAUAUCCUCAUGAACACACACACAGACGCAUACACACAUAUUACACAUCGGAGAAAAGGGGAAUUCUCAAAGAUAAAAAAAAAUAUGCACAAAGUAGAGAGAGACAUCAACAAAUAUCAUCAUCCUCCAUUUUCUUUCAUCUUCCAAAAAUAUACACACACUAAAAUCGUGACUACACAAAGAGAAUAGCACUCCAUCUUUGAACACUUCAUUUUUCUUUCCUUUUCUUCUUCUUGGAACACACAAUUUCCAUGGAGAGAGUUAGAAAUUGAGAGAGAUAGAAAUUGAGAGAGAAUGACAGAUUGAGUAAGACAGAGAAAAGAGAGCUUGAGGGAGAGAAACAACGAAAGGAGCUCUAUUCCGGUGGUUGAAAAUUUGGGGAGCUUGAGGGAGAGAAACAGCGAAAGGAGCUCUAUUCCGGUGGUUGAAAAUUUGGGGGGUGGGAUUGUUUUUUUUUUGGUUUAAUUUUACUUUUUAUUAAAAAUAAUCACAUGAUGGACCAACCCAUCUUACAAAAAAUUCAUCCCUCCCAUUAUUCCCAUACCCGGCCCAACCCAAAAACCAAAAUAAAACAUUUAACAUGAGUAGGGUUUCUAAAAUCAAAAGUUUCCUAAACCAUAUUUCAGCUCCACCGCCUCUUGCACUACUGUUUCGCUUCCUCCCGUUGAAGAUGAUAAUCGAUCUUGUAAAUCCUUCUUCAUGGUAUCGUGUUUCUUUCAGCUUACAGAGAUGACUGAAAUCUCUUUGAAAUUUUACUCUUUUGUUUCCGAUUCCCUCUAACUAUUGAUACUCUCCUCUUCUUAGCUUCAUUCUUCAAUCUUUGCAAAAAUUGAAUAUUGUUUUGCAUCUAAGAAGACCUGAUCUGCAGAGUAUACCAGCUAAGUAUGUUAUCUUCUUAUUUUGUCCCCUCACCUUUUCUGGAUCUGCUUUGACCGCAUCUUUAUUUGCUUGUACGAUUUGAAGAUCAAUGGAGAAUUGAUGUCGCAUAUAUUCAACUAUCCGACUCCAUCUCAGGUAUUUGCAGCUCUAUCUGGGUCAUCUACACUUUCUUGAUACUGUGCACUAGUUACUGCUCACACUUAGUAAUCUAACCCCUUCUUUUUUUGUUUGUAUUCCAAAACAAAAAACCUGAUAGAUUUGAAGAGCAAGUAAUUAUUGAUGUCAGAUAUAAUCAGCUAUCCGCCUCCAUCUCAGGUCUUUUCAGAACCCUAUGGUCCAUCUACACUUUUUUGAUGCUGUGAACUAAUUUCUGUACAAGCUUAGUAAAACAUGCACUUUCAUUGAUGAUACAUACUUCUGUAUAUAAAUUACAUGUAAACUAUGAAUCUUGAAUGUUUUCCUGUUCCUUAUUAUCUUACUGGUAUGAUCCUCAAGCAUGGCCUUUGCCAUUUGUCACUAUUUAAGAUUGCUUUACCUUUUUCCCCUAAUUGCUGAUAGCUUGUGAUGAUGAAAGCACCCGUGUCUAUUGCUAAAUUAGCUAAAUAAUCAGCUAAUUGAUUUCUCUCUCUAUAUAUAUAUAUGUUGAUACCGCACUUGCUUGUUUUGCAUGAAACUGUGUAUCUGCUUGACUGUGUUUGCUAUGCUCCAUGGACACAACCAAACAUUUGUCAAUACCUUCUGCAUUAAUAGGGAGUCCGUCUGAAUGAUAAUCUUAUUGUGCUACAAUUGUGAACAAUGCUUAACUGCCUGUAGAAUUGCAUUACCCUCUGCCUGCAUACUAUCUGCAUAAUGUUGUGGUUCUCCCUUAGCAAAUAAGACAUCUCCAUCUUUAUUCCUCAAACGAAAAGCAUAGGAAUUUCCUCCAUUCUCUCCUCUUACAUCUCCAUCAGUAUUAUAUUUUACCCAGCCCUCCUAAGGUGUCUUCUACAGUACUAUUAUAGCCUUCACUCUUAUUUGCAUUUGCUCAAUUCUGCAAUUAUAUGUGGCCAUUCUGUUGGGAAUUCCAUUUGUGGUUUCCCGACCUUCAACAGCUUUCUAAAAUUCCUUAUAACAUUAUAUAUGAUCCUCAAUCCUGUAGUUUCCUUAUCUUCAUGUUUCUUCCUGUUCCUUCUUCUCCACAAUUCCCACAGAAUCAUGCUAGGAAUUGCAAAGUAGUAAGGCUUUUCUCUUCCUUUUACUUCAGCAUUCCACCAUCUUAGAAUUGUUCCCCUUAGAGUCAAACUGUGAACAUGAAUACCUUCAUAAGAAGAAAAAUAGGACCAAGUCCUAUUAGCUUGGUAAGAAUUCUUGAAUACAUGAGAAAAUGUCUCCACUUCUGGGGCAUUACAACACCAGCACUUAGAUGGCCCCUACAUCCCCAUCUCAUAAUAGUAUCAUCUACAGGAAUUCUUCUUUUCCACAGUCUCCACAUGAAAAACUAAUCUUAAAAGGUACUCCUUUCACCCAUAUCUUCUUGAAAAUGUUUUCUAUCCCCUCCCUAUUCCUUAUAUACUGCCAGGUUGAUUUAACUGUAAAUAAUCCUUUAGAAUCAAUACUCCAUAUAGGCCAGUCCUCCUCUAUUCCUAUUGGAGGGAUGAUUUUGGUAAGAACAUGAUCUGCUACUUCAUCAGUGAAUAACUCUCUAAUCAAUUGUUCAUCCCAUGUAUCAUUUCUCAGGUAAAAAAUAGGGCACCCUAGGUUAAUGAAAGGGAAUUAUCUUAUCAAAAUAACAGUAGCCACUUCUGCUAACACCCUUACUGCAUGAGAUACUCCUUUGUGCAUAUAAAUUGCACUCUUCUCCUUGUUUAUUUUUUGUCCUGAUAUUUCCUCAUAUUUAUCCAAAACUGUAAUGACCAACUGUAAAUUUUUCACUUCAGCUUUGCACAAGAUGAUCAUAUCAUCUGCAAAUGCAAGGUGAUUUAAUUUUGGACUUUCUCUCGGCAUCCCAAACAUCCUGAAAUCCUUCUUCUUCUUCAGUUUCUUCAGUGCUCUUGAUAAAACCUCUGCUGCUAUUAUAAACAAAGUUGGUGACAAAGAAUUCCCCUGCUUCAACCCUCUUGUAGAUCGAAAAAUUCUUUAGGCUGACCAUUCAAAAGUAUUGAAUACCAAUUAUUUUCCAAUAGUCUAAAGACCAUGUCUAUCAGUACCUCUGAAAAACAAAAUGAUCUCAAUAUCUUUGUUAAAAACAACCAUUCUACUCUAUCAUAGGCUUUCAUCAUGUCAAGCUUCAACACCAUGUUAGGUGACUUCCCUCUCUUUCUAAUUUUAGACACAACUUCCUACACUACCAAAACAUUUUCAGUAAUACUCCUACCUUUAACAAAACCUUCCUGUUCCAUGGAUCAAAUGGGGUAAAAUUCCUUUUAUCCUUUCAUGAACUAUUCUUGAGAAAAUCUUAUUGAAAAAAUUACUAAGUGAAAUAGGCCUCAUGUCUGAGAAAUUAUUCACUACUAACUUCUUUGGUAACAAUACCAAAUUAGUAUGAGUAAUAAAUCUAGGAAGUUGAAAUCCACAAAAGAAAGAUUUUACCAUUUUAUGGAUGUCCUGCUUAAUGAUUUCCUAAGCAUCUUUGUAGAAUGCCGUUGUCAUCCCAUCUGGUCCACCUGCACUAUCUCUAUUCAGCCCCAUCACAACAUUUUUGACCUCAUCCUCAUUAGGAAUUCUCAUUAUUUCUACAUUUUGUUCAUCAUUCACCAAUUCUGGUAUUUUCUUCGGCAUGCUAAAAUCAUCUGCAUCAUUUUGUUUUGUAAACUAUUUCUGGAAAAAAUUAACUGUAGCUUCUGCAAUAUCUGGUACUUCUUCCAACCGUUGUCCAUCUUCAUUUUGUAUCUUACUGAUCCUGAGCCUGCUUCUCCUUCCUUUCACAAUAGUGUGAAAAAAUUUGGUGUUUCUCUCUCCAUCUUUGAACCAUUCAUACCCAGCCUUUUGUCUCCAGUAAUCUUCUUCCCUUUUUAAUUGCAUAUUCAGUUCAGCAUGAGCUUUAAAAAAAUUAGCUCUGUUCAAUCCACUAGGAUCCUCCUCCAAUUGUUUUUCUCUUACCUUGAUAAUAUCCUCCUUUCCUGGAAAAUAUCUCUUUACUCCAUUUAGUUAAAGCUGACUUAGUGUUUUUCAACUUUUGUUUAAACACUAUAAAUGGAUUUCCUUCAAUCUAAGAAUUCUAAUUUUGUUUAAUCACCUCCAAACAUGCUUCCUCUUUUAACCAAAAAUUCAGAAAUUGGAAAGAUUUAACAAUCUGCUCAUUGUUUGUUUUGCACUGAAUUAGCAUAGGAGAAUGAUCUGAUCCACUCCUAACUAGAUGUUCCACUUCCAUCUGCUGAAACAUAUGUUGCAUUCUAUCAUUGCACAAAACCCCAUCUAACCUCUUGAAAAUGCAAUCCUCAUCUGUUCUCCCAUUCCACUAAGUGAAUUUACUCCCUUUAAAAUGGAUUUCUUCCAUAUUACAUUAGCUGAUCGACUGAUUAAAGUCAUGAGUUUCAUUAAAAGUAACAGGUAAACCCCCUAGCUUUUCUUCUUCACUUCUAAUCACAUUAAAAUCCCCUCUAAUCCAAGUACUUGAUAGAAAUCUGACAAAUCUGUUAAUGGAUCCCAAAGUACCACCCUUUCAUUUGCAUUACAUUUAGCAUAGACUAAAGUAACCAACAAUGAGAUACCUGCAUUUUGAUUGGAUACUUUCAGAGUUAGCUGCUUCUAUUCAUCUUUCACAAUGCUAAAUUCCACAUUGUCUUCCAUAAAUGCCCAAAUUUUUCCAGAUACAUUUAGCACAGCAUGCUUCAUCCCCAGCCUCCUCCUAUACUCUUCAAUAUAUUGACCAUCUUGGAAAGGUUCCAUUAAUCCAAUGAAGUAAAACUGGUACCUUUUUUGCAUUUUUAUAAGUCUAGUAAAAGCCUGUUGGGUGUUAACAGACCUUAUGUUCCAAAUCAAUGCAUUCACUUGGAUUUUGAUUUAGCAGUGUGACUCCUUGUAUGCAUUGUUUGUGAUUUAGCCUCUGCUCCGCUACCACUCUUUUUCUUUUUCCUUAUCCCUACUUGUUUCUCCUUCAUAGCUUCUAUUUGUUUAGGGGAUAGAUCUGCUGCUUUAGCCACCUGAUUGAUGUUUUCUUCAAUAUCAUUCUCAUCAAUAUCUUCCUUUGUCUGAUUACUAUUUUCUAUCAUGUUCUAUGCUUGUAUUGCUAAGGGUGUAAUCCCCUCUAAUACCAUCAACUCCUCCAGCUCUUCAUCAUAGGCCUGCAGUUGCAUUUUUUCAGUCCCUUCUUCCUGAUCAUACUGAUCCAUAUCAUAAUGUGAAAUCCUCUCCUUGUUACUAUCUUCAGUUGGCUCCACAAUUUUACUUGAGUCAGUCUGUUCCUCAAUGCUGUUGUGAUCUGCUGCACUGUAAUUCUUUGCAUUCCUAUCAAUUACCUCCUGAUUUAUUUGCUUUUCGUCAGCUGACUUAUCCCCUUGAUUAGCUACUUUGCCUUUGCCAAAACUUGUAUUGACCUAAUCUUUAGUGCUGAUCUUUUCUCCCCCCUUCUGAUUAUUAGAUUCACCUUGUCCUUCCUUGUCAUUAUUGGUGUUUUCCAUGUUAUCUGCAUCUUUAAGAGCUACAAGAGUAUUUGACAUCUGUAGCUCCUUUCCUUCUUCUUCGUUCAACUCUCCCAGAAUGUGACCAAAUCUAUCCUUUUUAUAUUUGUUUUUCCUUGUAAGCCACUGAUUAGUAGUGAUACCUCUCUUUGUACUAUUCUGAUUAUGUGAUUGAUUCAUCUGUAUAUUAUUCUCUUUGUCUGUCACCUUUGUUUCUGCCUCCUUACUCUCCUCCUUCUGUUUGUCAUAUAACUCUGGGUGUUUAUUCCAACAACUUGCCUCAUCAUGUCCUUGCAAAAAACAUUUUGUACAGUACUUUGGCAUGUAAUCAUACUGAAUUUGGACCCACUUGGAUUUGAUUUCCUAUGUAACUUCAUUCUCUUCAUUAAUUCGAAUCAUUUGGGGUAAUUUUGCUACUAGAUCCAUCUCCACUUUCACUCUUGCACAACUAGGUCUUGUGUAAUUUUUUGUGGCCAUAUCAACAGUAAGAGGUUUGCCAACUGCUGAAGCAAUAGAAAAAAUUGCAUCUUUUGCGAAAAAAUUCGGAGGUAAAUCUGGCAUGGAGAUCCAGGCUACUGCAAUUGUGGUCUCAAUAUCUGGUUCAAAUCAUGGAUCCCAUUUCAAUGUCCUCAUCUGCCAAUAUUUUUCCAUUGAACCAAUGUAAUAAGCUGCAGUUGACAAUAAUUGAACGUAGCCCUCAAACAUCUCCAGCCUUAAUAAUAGUACAUGCCUUUCAUCCAAUACUCCAAUGGUGCAUGCCACUUUAUACGCAUUGAUUUGGGAUGAUUUUACGUAAAACUUCAAUAUGUGGCUUACCAUAUGAGAAUUUACCUAUGAUAGCAUAUUGUAAGUUCUCUUGCAUGAUAAUAUUUUGCACUUCUGAUGAUUUCCACGUAAUAGAAGGCUCUCCAUGCAACAUAAUAAUGGGUUUAGGCGGAACCCUAAUAUUAGUCAUAUCCACCACUAUUGGCUUCAAUAAAUUUGCAUAUUUCUUAAUUUCAUCUCCUUUUUGAAUGUUCUAAUUACUGUCUUCAUCAUUACUAUUAUCCGGUGGGAUGGUCCCACCGGCUAUGCUGGCCAUAAUGGCCGGAACAAAAACAAUUUUGGUAUUACUCGUCCAUAGGGUUUAGGGUUUUUCCGUCCUUGUUGGUUGAAAAAUAUCAUUAAAAGUGUGUUUACCCAUGGGGAAUUGAGAAAUUGAUAAAAAGGGUGAAUUUAGAUUUCUUUUGGUUUAUUGUUGUUCCGGUUAAAUAAGCAUGAAUGUCGUUGGAAUAUGAUAGAAUUAUGACAUGUUGAAAUGGAUAGGCAAAUAGUAGGGUCAGGUAGGCAAAUGCAGAACUCAUGGAAUGUUGAAUGUUGAAAAUGUGUGUUGAAUGUCUUGGUUUUUAUGGUUUUUUUGGAAAAAAAAAUGUACUCAUUUAGCCGAGGAAUGCCCUGAAGUCAUUUGUAUUUGUUCACCAAGGAAUGCCCCGACGUAUUAUGUUGGCGGAAGAUGUUCAUGAUGAAGGCUCGAUGCAUCGGGUAAAGCAUUGAAGCUUAGUCUACGAUUAGUUUAGAAUAUGAUUUAUAUUUCCGUAUUUUUCUAUUUUUUGGACUGUAUAACUCGGACUGAACACUAAAUUUUGAAUUGUUUUGUUUUGAUUGGCUUGAUUGAUUGUUUUACGUACUUUGCGUGGCGUAUACAUUCAUAGUGUUAAAAUUAGUCGAUAUGCUCCACCAAGCGACCGUGGUCAAACCACAGGAUCGAGGGGUGACUAACACCUUCCCCUUGGUCAACAGAAUUCCUUAGCCGGAAUCUCUGUCCACGGAUCAGUUUAAAAGAGUCAAAACUGUUUUGAAAAGGAUUUUCCAAAGGUGACUUGGCACACCGAAUUAUGCCAAGUGGAGACUCUGAAUUUGAAUGUAAAAAUCAUCUUUUUUCGAAAUAAACCUUCAUUUUGUCACUUAGUAAUAAAAACCCUUUCGAACCUUAAAAUUUAAUAUUUCUUUUGGUUGAAAAAGGGGUGUGACAGUAGUGUCAUAACAAGCUAAGAGAAAAUCAAUCAAUGAAAACUACUCUUCUUCUAGAAUCUUCUACUCCUCUUCUUCAAGCUCUUCACUCAAUACUAUAGAAAUCUAGCAAAGGCAUCACCUUCAAUCAAAGAGUAUUUAUCAAUCAUAUGUCUAUUUGUGUAUCUCACCAAUCCUAUAUUUAAAGUUCUCACCUGCAGUAAAGAAGACACAGUUAGAAGAUACUAGCGAAAAGAAAUAACUAGGAUGAUUUAACCUACAGUAGAGCUGAUAUUCUCGAUGAUAGUAUCUCCAUUACCCUGGACAAAUUCGGCAUGGCUAAUAGCUUGUGGCAUCAACUUUGAUAUCAAAUUGAGAGAGUCAAUAAUGGAGGCCGAUAGCCAUGUUCAAUAUGCAGAAGAUAAUCAAAGUGUAAUCUAUCAAUGAAGGAUGUGAUAGCUAUUUAUCUAGUGGCACUUGCACAUUUGAAUUAAUUUCUUUAGUAGCGGUAGUAGUCAAAUCGAACUUCUUUUUCUUAUAAAUAGGAGGGAAAUAGGCACCAAUUUUUUCUUGAGUUUGAGAUGGCAUAUCCGACUCUUACAGUUGCACAUGAGGCCAAAUGUUGUACAGCAGCAUCAAUUUGAACAGCUUGAUCAUAAGAAACAGCAGGCCCUCAACAUGAAAUGCCUAUCGGUGGCUGAUUCUCGGUGCAAGUGAAUUCCACCACCCUGCAUCACAAUUCAAACUCUUUGCACUACAAAUAUCCCACUUCUUAUUGAAUUGGAGUUUCUCGGUAACUUUAUUACCUGCAGAGGUUUCACAUUGUUUGUGAUGAUGGUAUUUCUUGAAAGAUCUACAAAAACUGAGAUAUAGCAUAACUUGCAUAUGGUAUAGAGGUUGCCGAUUACCUUAUGUUUGAUUUCCAUCUUGUCCAUCAUAUUAGAGUCAGCAAUCCCAUGUUCAGUUGAAGUCGCCAGCGUUCGGUAGCAGCAAACUCACAGUGCUAGGCAUAGCAGCAGACGCCAACUAGGAGGUGUGAACUGAGCAUGGCGGCAGAGCUCGGGGAAGAAGGGAAGGGUUCUGCUUUUUGACAGGUACAGAAUGAAAGAAACUUUUAUUAUUUAUGCUUCAGAUUAUGAACUUUUGAAUAACAAUUCUUUAAACAUUUACUAUGGAUUACUAUUGUAUGACGUACCGAUGAGUUGUUUGUUUCCCCCUCCUUUAUUUCUCCUUCAUUUUCUUCAUUCUACCAAAGUAACUUCUCCUUCCCUUCCUUUCAAGUUCUCGAUGUAUAAAACGUGCAUAAAAUGUCAUCUUUGAGCUAUUGAUCACGGUCAAACAUCAAAUGGUAUUUACAAAACAUUAUCCCAAAAUGUUAUACACAUUAUCGUCAUAAGUCGUCUGAAAAAAUUGUGAAAAUUAUCUGCACACUUGAGCAGACAUCACAACAAAAGCAAGCCAUUUUAAUUUGUUUUUUCCCUAUUACCAAAAGCUUAUAGCGAUGAAACAGAAUCACAUCAUCGACACAUUUUUACUUGAAGUUCACAAAAAGUUCAAUUGAGAAUUCAUCAAACACAUUGUAAGCAACACGCGUAAAUUUGGUUUCGAAGCAGCAAAAUAAUAGAGAAGAACCUGUCUUAAAUAAUGGGAUAUUAUUUGGGCCAAGGAUCUGAAGCUUGUCUUCUCCCAUCAUAUAUUCAACAUAUUGUUUAAUCUCCAGAGCUGAAUCUUCAAGCUGAGGGCUCGUCAAGUUCGAUAAUUUUCAAUGAACCAAUAUCCCCAAAAUUAGGCGGAAUCUCUGUAAGCUUACGACAAUCUCACAGUGCUAAUUUCUCAAGCACGGGAAAUGAUUCCUCUCCAAACUCCCACUUAGCAAGAGUCAAUCCUCUCAAAUCCAAAUAUUUGAGAUUCUCAAAGGUGUCUUCCUCCCCCAUGUUCCAUUCUUCCUCCAGGAUGAUUGUUCUCCUAAGGCACAACUCUUCAAGGUUGGGCAGUUUCGCUAUUGUUGAUAGUGAAUUGGAUGUCAGAGGAAAGUUCCACAACGACAAUAUUUUCAAAUUGGAAGGAAAAUGAAAAUUCCACGACCAAUUUUUCACUAAAAAGGGCCUACUGUCAUUUGCGUAUGAACUUUCAAAAUCUACUCUGAGUAAAUCUAGUUCGGUUAGGAAAUCCAAUCUCGGGAACCAAUAUCGCUCUGUUGAAUAAUCCCAUGAUUCCUUGAGAAUAAGUGUGAUCUCUUGAAGAUUGGGAAACCUUUUGAAAAUAUCCUCUGUAUUUUUCGUACAAGAAAGCACGACACUAAUAUUCUCAAGUUCUCUAACUUUGAGUCCUCUGCUAUCAGUAUUGGUGCAUUUGUAUCCAAGUCAAAGAAUGAACAAGGAUCAAUGGACAGCACUCGCAACUUUACAAGAUCCCAAAUACUCGGUAAUAGUACCAAGGUUGAUCCUUUGUUUUCAACUAAAAGGGUUUCGAGAUUCCGGAGGUUUGACAAAGAUGAAGGCAGAGAUUUAACUUUUGUCCCAAUGAAUAACAACCUCAAAUGAUUCAACAUGCCUAUUUCAUUCAGCAAAGAAUCUUUCACCGUGAUAAAAGAGGGAUACAGGACCAACACUCUAAGAAGCCUCAAGUCUCUUAGGUGACAUGCAUUAGAAAGGCGAUAGUUCAGCUUGUGUCCAGUUAUUUCCAAAGAACAGAGGUGUUUACCAGAAUGCCUUUUCAUUUUUGAACUAAACAGGAUGAAAUUGUUAGGCUCAAAGUGCUCCUUAUCAUUAUCAAUUCUUACCAUACGUGGCAUCAAAUGUGAAGAAGAAGAUGGAUCACUUGAACUUAUCUGCUCAAACAACUUUUCCUCUUUUGCUUUAAUCAAGCAAUAUUCAUGCACUAGAUCAUGUAUGUGGCAAGUCGGUAGAUCCCCUAUCUCAUUGAUAGCAAUUACCAAGCUACUGAGGUGACAUGCAUUAGAAAGGCGAUAGUUCAGCUUGUGUCCAGUUAUUUCCAAAGAACAGAGGUGUUUACCAGAAUGCCUUUUCAUUUUUGAACUAAACAGGAUGAAAUUGUUAGGCUCAAAGUGCUCCUUAUCAUUAUCAAUUCUUACCAUACGUGGCAUCAAAUGUGAAGAAGAAGAUGGAUCACUUGAACUUAUCUGCUCAAACAACUUUUCCUCUUUUGCUUUAAUCAAGCAAAAUUCAUGCACUAGAUCAUGUAGGUGGCAAGUCGGUUGAUCACCUAUCUCAUUGAAAGCAAUUACCAAGCUACUGGAAAUUAAAUUAUCCAAAUAAAUUUCCAUCACUUCUUCCAAACUCUUCAUCUCUGUCCGUUCCACAAGUCCUUUGGCACGCCAAAACGUUUUCAACCCAUCUCUGUUGAUUUCUUUGUCCUUCGGAUAACUUGCAAGGUAGAGAAAACAUGGCUUCAUAUGAUGAGGUAAAUGGUCAUAACUUAAUUCGAUAACCUUUAUCACAUCCACUUCACUGUUCAAAAUAAAGGAAUUCAAAUUAUUUCGAACUACAAGCCACACAGACUUUGUCUUUUCCAAACCUGCAAUGACUCCAGUAAUCAGAUCAACAACCAAAGGAAGUCCCUUACAAUUUUGGACUAUAUCUUUUCCAACAUCCAAUAGUUCAUCAGGGCAACUCUCUUUUCCAAAUGCCCCUUUCUCUAAUAACUCCCAACUUUCCUCUGAACUUAGCAAUCGAAGAUUAAGAGGAUCAGUGUUGCCCUUUCCAUGAAAAGCCACUUCCUUUUGUCGAGUCGUCAAAAUAAUUCUGCUUCCUUUCACAACUUCAGGGAAAGGUCUUGUUAGCUCAUCCCAUGUGUCAGUAUCCCACACAUCAUCUAACACAAUUAGGUACCUCUUUCCAUACAGUUGUUUUCGUAGGAGCCAGUAACUUGAUUGAAAAGUUUCAUCAGCAACUUCUUCUCGUCAUAUUCUUGGUCGAUUGUGCACCAUGCACGAAUGUCGAAAUGACUACAAACUUAUUCAUCAUUGUAUACUUUGUAUGCCAAAGUAGUUUUGCCCUAACCCGGCAUACCAGUGAUUGAGAUGACAUCUAGGUCUUUCGGUCCACUGGUGAGCUUACUAAUUAACCAGUUUGUCUCCUCCUUAAAACCUACAAUUAUUUUACCAGUUGUCAAUGAUUUUCUUUCAACUGGAUUCUUAGGAGUGUUUACAACAAUGAGGCUCUUGUUCUUCAGAAUCUCCUCAGGUAAAUUGGAGACUUCUUCUCUUAUAAGCUUGAUCUUUCUUAUGGUAAUGGGAAGUGAGAAAAUAAGAUGCAAGAGACUAUUAUCUCGAACAAUAAUUGAAUCAAUGACAUCUUUUGCCNNNNNNNNNNNNNNNNNNNNNNNNNNNNNNUUUCUUCCUUUAUCAAAGAAAUUGAAUAAGCAUCGGAAUCUAGCAAAUCAGUUAAGUGUCUGUGUAGCAGAUGCAUAAAGAGCGGUCCAUCACUCAUGGGGAAGCUCCAUUGACAUGGGUCCGGGACUUUCAGAUAAACAUAUUUGACAUCUUCCUUGAGGAGUUCAAUAAUUUUCAGCAAGUAUUGAGUUGCACGACUUGCUUCAUCGGUACUCUCUUUAUUCUUUGAUUUUUCUUCUAAGUCGUGAACGAGAGUUGAUACCUCCCUGAUAAGUGCUCCAACACGUGACAAAAGAUCAAACAAUUUAUCAUGAUGAAUAAAGUCCUUGGGCUCAUCAGUAAGAAUAAUUAAUAGGAACUCUAUCAUGACAUGAAUGUUUCGAGCCCCUGAAGUGUUUGCGGUAAUAACAGUUACCACUUGCUCUUGUAGAUGAAUAAGAUAUUCUCUCAGAACUUGCGGAGAGGUUUCAAGGAGUUGCUUAGUAAAGCGUCCAACUUCUACUGAUGGUUAAGCGUUCAAAUUUGUAUAACAUAUGUGCAUCACCUCCAGUUCAAUUGGAAUAAUCUUCAAGAGUAGAUGUGCUAGCUUGAAGAGUCAAUAGUCUCCAUCAGUCAAUCAUCCCAAAGGAAGAGUGCAACUCUCUCAGCCAUGAGUUUAAACUGAGGUAAGACAAAUUGAAUAAUUUCAUGCUCAACGCAACCAUUCACUUUCAACCCAUCGAAAUCUCUUACAUUUCCACAUACAUUCUGAAGAAUCUCAUACUGAGUCUCUAAUGGAAAUAUCUUUUCAGCACGAUACUUGGACAUAUGAUGGAGAUUCAGGAGGAGGAAGUUCAACUGCUCGUCAGUCAUGGUGGCACUUGAUGUAGAAUGAUGACAUGAACUGAUACAUUCAUCGAUAUUAUCCAUGAGGCUAGGAAGGACAUGAUCCACGUUGUAUUUACACCUGACGGUGUUGUCAACAUCAUCCAAAAUUGGUCUAAGCAGAUUAUCGACCUCUUGUCGUUUGCCAGUCAUUAUAUCUUCAAACUUUUUCAAAUCAGAAUAAGAAAGCUGGACGUACGUACAAAAAAAUGCCCGCAGCAAUUUUAGCUUUUCAAUUUGAUCAGCUAUAUCGACUGCAUUUUAACCUUUUUCAUUCUUUAACCUCUCCAUGAAAUCCAGAACGUUAACAACGUCCUUGCGUAGAGCAGAAAAUGACACCUGCCAAACGACCAAAUAUUAUAUCAAAAUUUUCAUAGCGAACAUAUAUACCAUGCAAAAUUUACUCUAUACAGGCAACCAACACGUUGCACAUGUAUUUUAUAUAUAUAUAUGCUUUAUCUUCUACGAAGAUAAUUCAAAUAACACAAAUCAAAAUAAUGGGAAAAGGUCUAAAUAUACUGCAAGACUUGAACCAAAUAUGCCCCCCGCCCCCCCCAAAGAAAAAGGGCAAUUUAUACCCGUGGCGUAACACCAAUGACUCCAAUAUGCCGUUUUUAACCAAAGGAAGUGAGAUAGUCGAUGUUAAAAAAAAAUUUCUAUUUUUUUUUUAAAACAAAAGCCACAUGGAAAAAUGGUCAAAAUUAACCCCCUCUACUUUCAAAACAUGUAUACAUUUAAGAGAUAAGCAUCCAAUACCUCCCCGAACUAUGACCAAAAUUGCUACAACACACUCCAACUUCACAGGGGUCCUAUUGCACCCUUUGUGCUGACGUGACACCUUAAUUACAUAAAAAGGGGUUUACGUCAAACGUGUUGUUGAGUUCAAAAUCGAGAGGGCGUCAUGCGGAAGCUUAAAGUUUGCAAAUCAAGAUGACGAUAAUUCAGAUGAUACAAUAUAAACUAAAAACAUAAUAUUAUUGGUAUAAUUUGGCCAACUGCCCUACACAUGAAAAACAAUAUUAAAGAAAACAUAAAACUAUUGGGAGAAAAUCUCCCCCUAAACAAGACUCGUAAAUGACUACAUUUUGGACUGUGUCAUGGUAUGAGAAGAGGGGUCUUCUAUUUAUAGAUGUCCAAAACCUUUUUUCCAAGAAAGAGUUUGCCAAAUAUGGAAAAGUUUUAUAUUUUUCUUUUAGGAAAAGUAAAAGUAAUUAUGGUAUUACUUUUUUUUUUUCAAGAAAAGUAAAACUUAAACUUGGUGAUAAAUUAGCUAACAGAUGUCAUGUUAGCUAAUAAGAUUGACAAAAGGUAUCACGUUAGCUAAACAGGUUGACAAAAAUAUGCUAAAAUUUAGUUAGGGGGUAAAGUUGAAGUGUUCGUCGCAAAUUUGAUUAUAGUUUAGGGGUACUAGAUGCUUUACAUUUAAUCUCCAUUUUACAAUCUGACCUUUCGGUAAAUUGUAUUUUCAGGAAAAUUAGCACAUAGUUCAAUGACUCAAAUGGGACAAAGGUUUUAUUUUGUGACUAUACUGAUACAACAAGUAAAGUUCAGUGAUUUUAGUGAGUCAAAAUUAGUUUAUAUACGUAGCUAAUGAACAGACACAUACAUAAGUAAAGUUCAGUGAUCAUAACUUACCGCAAAAUUGUUUGCUUUCCCUUUCUCUAUUUCUCCUUGUUUUUCCAUGACUGUAAGUGUCUUUCAAGUUUUACUAGCCAAAUUCUCCGGAUCUAAUGUAAAAAAGAAAGAAGCAUAAAAUUAAUUUCAUAGACGUUUUUGCACAUAUAAAUAGGUCAAUAUAAUCUAGCACCUGCAGUCACAUUCAAAAGUAAAGAAAAAAACUUUUUUCGCCAGUAAGGACGGAAGUACUCAGAAAAGGGUAAUCUAAGAAGACAAAUAUACUCCCUCAUUUUCUAGUUAUGUUUCUUUCUUUUAUCCUGUUUGGAAAAGAAUGCAUCAUUUUAAUUUCAACAUUCCCAUUGGACCAUUAAUGACGCUCUUUUGUGGGAAUGGCACAGCAGGUUUAAGACCACAAAACGAGACAUCAAUUCCACCUUGAGUUGCACAUGGUCAUCGUCACAAUCUGUUGGAUCUUGUGGGAGUUGCAGCUUUGGCAACUAGCCUCGCAGAAAUGGCUGUUGGAGCAAUAUCAAAUCUCUUAAGCGUCAAUACAACAGCACAUGCUAUAACUGUUAUACUGGGAGUUUGCUUUACAUAAAACAGACAAUGGAUUCCUCUUGGAUGACUUAGGCAGAUAAUGGACAGCAUCCAUGGACAGCAUUCGCAACUUUACUGAGAGUAUGGACUAUGGAGGAAUAAUAAAUUGUUAUUUUCGUUUGUACCUCGGGUACACAGAAUCAGUAUAUGUAGAACAAUAACUUCAACUAGAGUUCAAGUAUAAACAAGAACACAAUAAAGUAUAUCAAAUACCCUCAACACAAGAUCAAAAUGACCUUUCCAAGAGGUGUAUUUUAUUCUUUCAGAAAUUAAGAUGAAACAGAAAAUAGCCAAGUCGUCCGAAUUCACGGAGUUUCCUUAAGGAAAUAAUUCCCCUCACUAUACCCGAGGUUGUGGAAUUUUUCCUCCCAGGAUAAAAUGGCUAAACAGACCAACUGUAGCGGUACCUCAAACGGUUGGAAUAUCUUCGAACGCAAAGAACGUUUUGAUUAAUCAUACAGAGUAAUUUGGAAGACAAGAAGUGAUGUAUCAUUUCUAAAGCACCAGUUCACUUGAAACAGUGCGCAUGUAUAUAUAAAUGGAGGUUCGAAAGCAUUUUUCCUUGGCAUUCUUCGGAAUUCAAAUAAAGUUUGUCCAAAAAUUGGAAUAUCUUCGAACGCACAGAACGUUUUGAUUAAUCAUACCGAGUAAUUUGGAAGACAAGAAGUGAUGUAUCAUUUCUGAAGCACCAGUUCACUUGAAACAGUGCGCAUGUAUAUAUAAAUGGAGGUUCGAAAGCAUUUUUCCUUGGCAUUCUUCGGAAUUCAAAUAAAGUUUGUCCAAAAAGAUAGAUCUCAUCGAUCCAAAUCCAAAUCUGAGCUGAGCAAGCGACAACGACGCGAAGCAUCUCUUAUUCCUUGCCUCACUUAUCUAUGUGGGAGUGUGUUUCACAAUAUAAACACUUUAAAGCUUCUUUCUCCCACCAAUGUGGGAGAAUUUAGUAAGCUUUCCUAUUUUUGAGUACACUUUCCAUAUUGGUGUGAUCUCAAUUUUUCUCUUCCACUUGAUUUUUCUCCAUUUUCCAUUCACACUUCUCAUUUACUAUGAACCCAACAUAAAUGACACCAAAUCAUGGUGCUGAUGGGUUUAAUGCUUAUAAAAAGACAAUAUUUUUUUGGUUCGUAGGAGUGAACAUGUACAACUUUGUUAGCCUAAAAAAUAAUAAUAUGGGAAGCUUUAAUAAAGAAAAACACAUUUUGUUCAUUCCUCUUUUUUGCUACAUGUAUAGGUUAUACACUUAAAUAGAUAAGACCUGGAUAAACUUAUUGAAUAGGCUUGAUCCAUUAUAUGAGAAUGGAGCCAAAGAAUUUCUUCAUUUUGCGUCCUUAGAUAGCCCUAAUGCAUCUUUAAUCUUGUGUCCAUGCCGAAAGUGUCGUAAUAUGAAAUUUGUCAAAAAAGAUUUGAUUGUUGAACAUGUUGUGGUUGAUGGAUUUGUAACUGGUUAUACCUUCUGGAUUUAUCAUGGUGAGCAAUUAUAUUGUGGUUAAUGAAGUUCUAACUAGAUAUUCGGUCGGUCAACUAUGAAGUGGUGAGCCCUCUAUCUUUCGAAAGGCCUGGUCUCUCUUUUAGUUUUCAUCUAUUAUCCUAGAACUUUGAAUUUCCUUUGUCAUAAUCGGGGGCAUGUCCCGACUUAUUUGGUAUUCUUUGGAUUAGAGGCUUUUGUGGAGAGUAAUGAUGUAUCUUUAUGGAUGGGGUUUUGACUCUUAAAUAUAAAUUUUAUUUUGCUAUUUUGUUCUUUGGUUAUAAUAUUAGAAAAUAUUUACUUUACAUAUAUUUCAUGUGGUUGUUACUUAUGAAUGUACAGAUUAAAUUAAAUAUAAAUAUUUAUGUUAUGGGAAAAAUUAUAGAGAAUUUGUAUCCAUAUUUAAAAUGAUAGUGGCGUUAAUCUAAAUGCACUAAUAUUGAUGAUAAAUUUACAAUGUUCUAAAUAAAUGUCACUAAAUUUUACGACAUUAAUAUUUUAUUUAUUGACAUUAACUAAAAUGUUGGUAAUUUCAAUGCAACAUUUUAUGAACACAGCCUUUUUGCAUCCUUGUUUUUGUCUUAAGAAUCGAAGUACUAUAUAAAAAUGAGAGUUGUUGCCUCUUUAUGAUAUAUGAAAUGCGAAAUAAAUAUAUCUAGGUAUAUAAAUAAUCAAGACUUAUUGUCACGACCCGAGUCGGGGGCCUUAAGACUAUACUUCUUCUUAUGGACUCUGUGUUCAUAUUUUCCGCUCUGGGUCUAGACCCGCACAACUUUAAAACACAUCACUAGGGAGUAAGACUUGCUUACUUAUAUACCCAGUAUCCCUCCUGUAUUUUGCCGAUGUGGGACUUUUAUGGACUCAGCGUCCUCGCUGAGAUUUGUCUCACCGAAUGUGUUUUGCCAAUGUGGGACUCCUAUGAACUCAGCGUCCUCACUGAGCUUUCCCCCCACCAAAUGGGAUUUGCCAAGACUCAGGACUUAGGUUUUUCCCGCCUUAUCGAGAUUUGCCUAAACUAGUGAUAUUGUCUACUCUGGGUCUAGACCCGCACGACUUUAAAACGUGUCACUAGGAUAUACCCAACAUUUCUCCUGUGUUUUGCCAUGUAGGACUCACUAUCCUAAGUUGAGGUGUUACAUAUCUAGAUGGAGAAAUAAAAAAAUAGUAUCAAAUAAAAAUGAAAUGAAAAGAAGUUUGUUUCUUGUGAGAAAUUGUGAUUAGCUUUCUAACUAAAUUAAUCUAAACCCAACUAUCAAUCCUGUAAGUGUAACCUUUUGAACUUUGUUGCAGACAAGUGAUUAAUGUUUUUGCUUUUUAGACUUUCAUGGAAGUAGCACCAACUUACCUUUAUAAACUUUUUAAGAUAUGAUUUUUCUUAGUACUGAUCCUUAUUAAUGGUGGUUUUUCAAAAACAAUUUUGCCUCGUGUCAUCUUACUAGAGAUACACAUCAUUAAUUUAAAUUAUGGAAAAAGGAUCAAAUAUGCUAUCAGACUACCAGAAAUGACUCAUUUAUGCCAUCCGUUAAAAUUUCAAUAAUUUUUCCUUAAUUGAAAGGGAAUAAGAGAUGAAAAUUUUGUAGGGUUUUCAUCAGAUUUCACAUCUUCUAAGUGAACCUUUUAAUUUUCAUCGGACUUGAAUGUUAUUUUAAUGAAGGAAACCUUUAAUGAAUUAUUUUUUACUUUUUUAAAGCAAAACUCUAGAAAGUACAUAUAUUUGUGAUAGUCCUAUAUUAAGUUUUCUUUUAACAUCUAAAGGCUACGUGUAUCUUUUUAAUUAGGUGGCAGCAUUUGGUUGGAGUAUUAGUCCAUGUAGGAGCGAUUUUUAUGCAUAUGUGUUGCAAGAUUUAAUGGAUGACAUAAAUGAGCCAUUUCUGAUACUUCGAUGACAUAUUUGAGUCUUUUCUUUUUGUUUUAAUUAAAGAUGUGGACCUCUAGUAAGACGACACGUUAACAAGUAAUGACAUGGGUCCUGUCAAACACUCAAUUUUUAGGAUACAAUUGACCCACAAUUAUUUAGGGUUUUGAGUCAAGAAAUAUUGAAAUUAAUAUCAAAUUAGAGGAAUUCUUACCUUGGAUUUGUAGUAAAAAGAUGGAUUACACAAGUUGUUUAAGUUUCCAAUCAACCCACAAGACCAAUUUUUGAGUCACCACUCUUUUAGGGCUACAAGGGUUUUAAUAGAGGUGAAGAAUGCUCAAAAUCUGUCAAAAGCCCUUUUUUAUAAAGUUUUAGAUGGGCCCACAAGGUCAAAAUUUAUUUUUGACCGUCCGAACUCAUUUGGACUCCGUUUUUCGCAAAUGAACUAUGUAACCCCACUAAAUUCGACAUUCCGAACGCAUUGGUGAAGUCGAAUUAUUCAUACGAGAUUAUUUAGAUUAUUUGUGGGUCCCACACCCCUAUAUUUCGAUAUUUGACUUUUCGACUAAUUGGUCAAUAUGAGCUCGGGUGCUAUGGGAUGCGAACCAAGGGUCUAUUUAUCCUAAAAUUGAUCUUACAUAGAUGUUGGCACAGUCGAGAUUUGCAUGCGAAAUUAUUUUACUGAAAUUUCGUUCGGCGGACGUUUGGAAUCGAUGAAGACUUCCAAUUAUAAAAGUGGUUCUAAAAAUCAAACGAACCGUCAGGUAACCGAACUAUCAAUUCUAGCAAAUCACUAAUGACUUGAGAUGACUAUGGAGGAGCUAUAUCAGCAAAAUAAGCAAGAAUACGGCUAAUGACCUGAAGGGUCAUUACAAUUAGAAAGCAUUAUAGGAACAAUACUCUGCUUAAUUUAUACUCUGACCAGGGAAACCUUAUGGUAUCGUAUCAGAUGACACCUCUGAUGAUAACUUCAAAAUUAAUCCUUGGCAAUUUCUGAGUUAGCAGACAUUGACCAACAGGCAUAGAUCGCCAUUCCCCGCCAAAGCUAUGGAGAGCAUCCCUAGAUUCUUAGUAUGGGCCCCGAUGUAAUCAAACACCCGAUCUGUAAGGAGGCCAGAAAGGGCAAGUCGCCACGAUCCCUUGCAGUGAUGGACAAACAAUGGCCACAAAACCAGUAUGGAGCGGUCCAAGGGUUAGGUAAUCUGGAGUUUGAGGCUUGACUAAACACAAACGAAAACAAGUGGAGCUUAGGGCAGCCAGAUGAGACUGCUACAAGGCCUCUCUCAGUCAAGGAUACAUUCGUCAUCUUCAAUAUAAUCUAGCACCUGCAGUCACAUUUAGAAGGAAAGAAUAGAACUCUUUUCCAGUAAGGACGGAAGUGUAACAGAUAGGCUUCAUAUAUAGAUUAGAUUCCUAUUAGAUCUAAACUAAUCCAAACUAUGUAAGAAACCUACCCGUUACAGGAAGUACUUAGAAAAGGGCAAUCUAAGAAGACAAAUAUACUCCCUCAUUUUCUAGUUACGUGUCUUACUUUCUUUUAUCCUGUUUGGAAAAGAACGCAUCAUUUUAAUUUCAACAUUCCCAUUUGACCAUUAAUGAUGCUCUUUUGUGGGAAUGGUACUGCAGGUUUCAGACCAAAAAACGCGACAUCAAGCCCACCUUGAGUUGCAGAUGGUCAUCGUCACAGUCUGUCGGAUCUUGUGGAAGUUGCACCUUUGGCAACUAGCCUUGCAGAAACGGCUGUUGGAGCAAAUAUCAAAUCUCUUAAGUGUCAAUACAACGGCACAUCUUGCUAUUACUAUUAUACUGGGAGUUUGCUUUACAUAAAACAGACAGUGGAUUCCUCUUGGAUGACUUAGGCAGAUAAUGGGUUAUAUAUCCUUGCUCACAGCUAAAAUUCUUUGCUCACAGAUAUAUCCCACUUCUUGAUCACCUGAUGAUUUAUCACAAAUUACUGACGGUAUUUCUUGAAAGAUUUACAAAUCAGGAAUUACUUCAUGCAUUGCUUGACAUAAAACUGUUGGUCGAUUCUUCUUUGAUGGUCUAGGCAGAUGCUCGGGUGAUGUAUCUGUGCUACUCUUGAAUGAUUCUGAGCAACAGAUUUUCCAUCCUCAUCCUUAUCUUCCUGCAACGGCAAUUAUAUCCCAACACUGUCAAAUUUGUAUUUCAGAAAGCACUAAAGAAUUGACCAGUUCUGUUUCUAUAUAUAGAUAUAUUGAACAUAAGACUCUUAGCAUAAUUAUGAAACUGACGAUAACACACUUGGAAAAAACAUACACAAUAAAGGUCAGAUAGCAUUUCUCGGAACAUAACCAUAUGCAUCAGGGUUCUGAAGGCGAUAGACUUGUUGAAAUGUCACUCCAUGUAGUAUGUGCUUGUCUACCAAAGUUAAUGAACUUAAAGGCGACACCUGCAGAAAAGAAACCAUGGUUAGAAGAUAUUAGUGAUGAAAAUGAGAGUAUCCAAAGUUCGAAAAGAAUUAACCUUCAGGAAUAUUGUUAGAACCUCCAUUACGUUGGACUCAUUCGAUUUUGUCUGAAGUUUGAGAUGGCAUAGCCAGCAUCGAUAUAUUAAUAGGCACAUGAUGCCAAAUGAUGUACAACAACUCCAAAUUCUUAUCAAUGGUUGAUACCACUUCAGGUUGCCUUAGAAUUUGUCAAUGACUUCAGUAUCUGAAGAGUUUUACAUGUUUGUGAUGAUGGUAUUUCUUGAAGGAUAACUUUCAUCAUAUGGUAGAGAGGUUGCCGACCUUUUUUUUCACUUCCUUCUUUCCCAUAUAGCAGAGAGUCGGCAACUCCAAUUAUGUUUCAAAGAGACAUUUACAGUUGAAGUCGCUGGAGUCUGAUGGUAGCAAACUCGCAGUGCUAGACAAAGCAGCAGCACACAGACUAGAAGGUGAACUGAGCAUGGUGGAGGAGAUGGGGUUCUGCUUUUUGAAAGAAUGAAAGAAACUUUUACUCCGUAUUAUUUAUGCUUCAGAUUAUGAACUUUUGAAUGACAAUUCAUUAAACAUAUGUACAACAUUUAAUAUGGAUGACUAUCGUAUGACGUAUCGAUGAGUUGUUUGUUUCUUCCUCCUUUAUUUCUCCUUCAUUUUCUUCAUUCUACCAGAGUAACUUCUCCUUCCCUUCCUUUCAUGAUCUCAGGACCUGAUGUAUAUAAAACAUGCAUAAAAUGUCAUUUUUAAGAUAUUGAUCAAGGUCGAACAUAAAAUGGUGUUUACAGAACGCUAUCCCAAAAUGUUAAUUUACACACACACACACAAAGAAGAGUAGUAAAGAAGAAAACAGAAGACCCAAAUAUUCAAUGCAAUCCCUUCUGAUCCAAAUAUUCAAAUCCAAUAGUUUUGGCUUGUAUGUGCAUUAAAAAAUAUCCACUAAAUAAAUAUCUGCACAUUAUCCCUUUUUUAUACACAUUGUCGUCUUAACUUGUUUGGAUCCACCCCAACCCAAUAUCUGCUUGCUCUUUUAAAGCUUAUUGUGAUGAAACGGGAUCACAUCAUCUACUCAUUUCUACUUAACGUUCACAAAAAGUUCAGUUGAGAAUUUCAUCAAAUACAUUGUAAAUUUUGUUUCUAAGAAGCAAACUAAUAGAGAAGAACCUGUCUUAGAUAAUGGGAUAUUAUUCGGGCUAAGGAUCUGAAGCUUGUCUUCUCCUGUGAUAUCUUCAACAUAUUGUUUAAUCUCCAGAGCAGAAUCUUCAAGUUGAGGGCUCUCGUCAAGUUGGAUAAUUUUUAAUGAACCAAUAUCCCCAAAAUUAGGCGGAAUCUCUGUAAGCUUACGACAUCUCCAUAGUGCUAAUUUCUCAAGAACGGGAAAGGAUUCCUCUCCAAACUCCCACUUAGCAAGAGUCACUUCAUUUAAUCCCAAAUAUUUGAGAUUCUCAAAGGUGUCUCCCUCCCCCAUGUUUCAUUCUCCCCCCUCGAUGAUUGUUCUAAUAAGGCCCAGCUCUUCAAGGUUGGGCAGUCUCGCUAUUGUUGAUAGUGAAAAGUCAACGCCAAUUUUUUCAAAUUGGAAGGGAAAUGAAAAUUCCACAACCAAUUUGUCGCUAAAGAGGGCCCACUGUCAUUUGUGUUUGAACUUUUAAAAUCUACUCUGAGGAGUUCUAGUUCAUGAAGGAAAUCCAAUUUCGGGAAAGACAUGCAUCAGAAUGACAAUCUUUCAUCUCAUCUCCCGUUAUCUCCAAAGAAUAGAGGUGUUUACCAGAAUGCCUUUUCAUUUUUGAACUAGACAGGACGAAAUUGUUAAGCUCAAAGUGCUCCUUAUUAUACUCAAUGUUUACUAUGCGUGGCAUCAAAUCUGAAGAAGAAGAUGGAUCACUUGAACUUAUCCAUCGAAACAACUUUUCCUCUCUUGCUUUUAUAAAACAAAAAUCGUGCACAAGAUCAUGAAUUUGGAAAGUCGGGUGAUUACCUAUCUCAUUGAAAGAAAUUACCAAGCUACUGGAAAUUAAAUUAUCGAAAUAAACCUCCAUUACUUCAUUCGCACUCUUCAUCUCUCUCUGUUCAUCAAACCCUUCAGCACGCCAAUACAUUUUCAACAUAUCUUUUUCAAUUGCUUUGUCCUUUGGGAAACAUGCAAGGUAAAUUAAGCAUGGCUUCAGGUGAUAUGGUAAAUGGUCAUAACUUAAUUCUAUAACCUUCCUCACUCCCUGUUCACUGUUCAAAUUAAAGGAAUUCAAAUUAUUUCAAACUUCAAGCCACACAGCCUUUUUCUUUUCCAAACCUACAAUGACUCCAGCAAUCAGAUCAGCCACCAAAGGAAGUCCCUUACAAUUUUGGGCUAUUUCUUUUCCAACAUUCAAUAGAUCAUCUAACACUCUAAUAACUCCCUAUAAUUUUGGGCAACUCUCUUUUCCAACUUUUCCAAAGGAAGUCCCUUAUAAUUUUGGGCAACUCUCUUUUCCAAAUGCCCUUUUCUCUAAUAACUCCCAACUUUCCUCUAAACUCAGCAAUUGAAGGUUAAGAGGAUCAGUGUUUCACUUUCCAUAAAAAGCUGCUUUCUUUUCUCGAGUCAUCAAUAUAAUUCUACUUCCUUUCUCAACUUUAGGAAAAGGUCUGGUCAACUCAUCCCAUGUAGUAGUAUCCCAUACAUCAUCUAACACAAUUAGAUACCUCUUUCCAUGCAAUUUUCUCCGUAGCUCAUCAGCAACAUCAGUAUCCUCACAGAACUUCAAAUCCAAGCCAGUAACCUGAUUGAAAAGUUUCACCAGCAACUUCUUCUCGUCAUAUUCUUGGUCGACAGUGCACCAUGCACGAACGUCGAAAUGACUACAAACCGAUUCAUCAUUGUAUACUUUGUACGCGAAAGUAGUUUUGCCCAAACCCGGCAUACCAGUGAUUGAAAUGACGUCAAGAUCUUUCAACCCACUGGUGAGCUUACUAAUUAACCAGUUUGUCUCUUCCUUAAAACCUACAAAUAUUUUAGCAGCCGUCAAUGGCUUUCUUUCAACUGUCUUCUUGAUACAGUUUACUACAGUGAGGCUCCUGUUCUUGGGAAUCUUCUCCGAUAUACUGGAGACUUCUUCUUUGAUAAGCUUGAUCUUUUUUAUCGUAAUGGGAAGUGAGAAAAUAAGAUGUAUGAGACCAUUAUCUCGUACGAUAAUUGAAUUUAUGACAUCUUUUGACUCAUAUGCCACAUCUAAAACACGUGCCAGAGAUCUGUAUUCAAUUCUUGCUCAAUUGCCAGACACAUUCAUUAGAAUCUCAUACUGAGACUCUAAUGGAUAAAUCUGUUCAGCAUGAUACUUGCAUCGAUGAUGUAGAUUCUGGAGGAGGAAGCUCAACUGCUCGUCUGUCAUGGUGGCACUUGAUGUAGAAUGAUAACACGAGCUGACACAAUCACCAAUAUUAUCCAAGAGGCUUGGAAGGACAUGAUCCAUGUUGUAUUUACACCUAAUGUUGUUGUCAACAUCAUCCAAAAUUGGUUGAAGGAGAUUCUCAACCUCUUGUCUUGACUCACUCAUUGCAUCUUCAAACUCUUCCAAAUCCCAAAAAGCUGGACAUAUGUACAAAUCACUCAAGUUUCAGCUCUUCAAUUUGAUCCACUAUGUCAACAACAGUUUGAUCUUCUCCAUUCUUUAACCUCUCCAUGAAAUCUAGAACGUUGACAAUGUCCUUGCGAAGAGCUGAAAAUGACACCUUAGUUGGUCAUCUAUAGUUGUGUCUACAGAAUGUUGCGGCGCGGCGAAGAUAUUGAUGAUGGAGGAAUAUUAUUUUUUUUCGAGAAUGUAAUUCUUGGAUGACAGAAUCAGUCUCCAAGUGGGAGAAUUGUUGGGUUGUGGAGCCUGAUUAAUAUGUGAUGUACCGUUAUAUAUUAAUGUUCACCCAAAUUUUAGGUUGUACUGUUCAUUCUCAUUUCUCUGUGUAAAUGUACAUACUCUGAAUCAAUAAUAUAAAUAGCCCGUCCGCCGUGGAGGUUACCCACGGGUGUUACACGAAAAAUAUUUCUCUCUCUUUCUCCUCACUUACUCUCUCUCUCAUCUUUUUCAUCCUCGCCGCAGAUCUAGUGUGUGUAUGCAAAUCGAUCCUAACAUUUCUCUCGGAUAUGGAUUUUGCUUCAUUUUUUAUUACUUCCCCAAACCUGUUGACUUUCGUGCCGUGCCGACUCGCGUCUGUUGGAAACCAGCAAUAAGUCUGUGGGUUACCGUGCCGACUUGCAUCUGUUGGAACUGUGGACGGGAAGAAAUGCUAGGUGUUUUGAAAGGAAAGCUUUCUCUGUACUAAGGUUUACAAAUGUCUUUAGCUUAUGGCUUUUUGAUGCAACUUGCAGGAUGUAAAGGAUGAAAACAGUAUGUUCGAUUUCAUCAAUUCACUACAGGAAUAGAUUUCAGUAUAGAUUGGCUGCCCCUCUUUUUGUUUUUGCAUGGGGGGAUAUUCUGCUUUGUGCCUACAGAGCACCUUCUCAGCGCUUUGCUGUUAAUCUCAAUAUACUUAAAUGCCAGUUCUUUCUUUUGUGUAUUGCUUUUCCCCCUUACUUUUGGGGUUCUCUGGGUAACAAGAUUAAAGGUAUUUCAUGAAGAUAUCAGUGUAUCAAUUUUUAAUUUUUAUUUUUUUAAAAACACUAUUAGAGACUAAUCUUUUAAAUUGAUGAAAAUAUUGUCACGACCCAAACCAGGGCCUGGCCGUGACGAGCAUUUCAAACCAUGGAGGCCCGAAACACCCCUAUCUGAUAAUCAUGCACAUAAUUCAUAUGAUCAAAGUAAUGUGGAAGAAACACAAUAUAACGGAAACAUGGUCAAGAAUCAUAUGAAAAUGACAAUGGGGAAUAGUGUCCCACAAUCUAAAUCAACAUCUCUAAAACCGUCUGCGAAAUCUCUACUACAUGACUGAAACAAUGUCUAUCUGAAAACUGGGACAAGGCCCCCAGCAGACCCAAAAACUGAAUAUAAGGUAAAAGAACUGCAGGACAUAAGACCUUCCGAAACAUAGAAGGCUCACCACUUGUCUCUACAGCUCUGUCUGAAAGUUCUACUAAUUUUUUUGACCCCUAGACUAGGCCUCUGAACCUGAGAGGUUGGAGAGGGGAGGGGGCCAGCACAAAAGUACUGGCACGAAGAGAUAUCAAAGCAAAACAUAAUAUUUUUUCAAAAUAUAGUUGAGAGCCAUUAUAAAGCAAUUUCGUAUCAAAUCAUUAUAAAACACAUGGGUGUAAUGCAAUAGUUUUUCUCAACAAUAAUGAAAUGCAACUGAGCUAGGUGGAAUAUCCUACAUAAUUUACACCAACUGUCAAACCUCGGUUGCCGCCGAGAUUAGAGUAUAAGUGAGGAAGAGACACAGAAGACCACAAAGCAUGGCGUCUCAACCCAAAUCAAAUAUGGUAGUGCACAAGACCACAAAGCAUGGCUCCUAACCAUAAUCCCAAUUUGGGAUAAUAUAAUAUCAGAUACACAAGACCACAAAGCAUGGUACCGAUAUUCCGUGUCGGCAAACACGUUCUUCCAGCGAUGAGCCGCUUGUGUCUCAAACGCCUUCUUCGGGCAUCCACCUUUCCAAUGUAAAAUCAAUGCAUUCAAAUUUCAUNNNNNNNNNNNNNNNNNNNNNNNNNNNNNNNNNNNNNNNNNNNNNNNNNNNNNNNNNNNNNNNNNNNNNNNNNNNNNNNNNNNNNNNNNNNNNNNNNNNNNNNNNNNNNNNNNNNNNNNNNNNNNNNNNNNNNNNNNNNNNNNNNNNNNNNNNNNNNNNNNNNNNNNNNNNNNNNNNNNNNNNNNNNNNNNNNNNNNNNNNNNNNNNNNNNNNNNNNNNNNNNNNNNNNNNNNNNNNNNNNNNNNNNNNNNNNNNNNNNNNNNNNNNNNNNNNNNNNNNNNNNNNNNNNNNNNNNNNNNNNNNNNNNNNNNNNNNNNNNNNNNNNNNNNNNNNNNNNNNNNNNNNNNNNNNNNNNNNNNNNNNNNNNNNNNNNNNNNNNNNNNNNNNNNNNNNNNNNNNNNNNNNNNNNNNNNNNNNNNNNNNNNNNNNNNNNNNNNNNNNNNNNNNNNNNNNNNNNNNNNNNNNNNNNNNNNNNNNNNNNNNNNNNNNNNNNNNNNNNNNNNNNNNNNNNNNNNNNNNNNNNNNNNNNNNNNNNNNNNNNNNNNNNNNNNNNNNNNNNNNNNNNNNNNNNNNNNNNNNNNNNNNNNNNNNNNNNNNNNNNNNNNNNNNNNNNNNNNNNNNNNNNNNNNNNNNNNNNNNNNNNNNNNNNNNNNNNNNNNNNNNNNNNNNNNNNNNNNNNNNNNNNNNNNNNNNNNNNNNNNNNNNNNNNNNNNNNNNNNNNNNNNNNNNNNNNNNNNNNNNNNNNNNNNNNNNNNNNNNNNNNNNNNNNNNNNNNNNNNNNNNNNNNNNNNNNNNNNNNNNNNNNNNNNNNNNNNNNNNNNNNNNNNNNCGUCGCUUAUCACUUGGAAAGGUCAUAACUUCUUGCUCGGGUGUUGGAUUUUAGCCAAAUUGGUAUCGUUGGAAAGCUAAAUCUAAUACCUAUCAUUUGACACAUAGUAGGCUUCCUAAUUCGACAUAUACAGAGAAUUAUGGUCGAUGGAAGCUGACACACUUUACAACGUCCACUAAAACUUAGUCGACCGAAAUAGUUUCAACUCGUCCUUGAGUUGAAGGACCUCUAUGGUCUAAAUUCAAGCUUGAGCGGAUUCACAUACUACACAAUAAUUAACAUGCCGUAUUGGCAUAGGAUUUUAUGGCUUCGGAAUUAGCAACGCAUCGAAAUCAUGGUUUUUAUUCUAGCCCAAAAUGCGGGGCGUUACAAAUAUCUUCUGCUUUACUUUUAUUAUUCAUCCGGCAACUUCAAAUUGUGGGGAGAUGUUUGGUUUCGGGGUAGUGAAGAAAAUAAUUUUAGUAUUGAAGAUAAUUGUAGAAAAAAACCAUGCAUGGUGUUUUUAAAAAGUCUAGAAAGUAAAAGGAUGAAGCAAUGGAUCCUCACAGCUUGUCUACCACAAGUCUAAAAGGAUAAAGAAGAGUAAGCUAAUCAAAGUGAUAAGCAUCCAGUACCCCUUCAAACUUUGAUCAAAGUGGCUACGACAUACUUCAACUUCACAGGGGUUCUAUUAUCUCCAAACUCAAUUUUAGCGUGUUUUUCAUGACACCCUUAUUACAUAAAAUCAUGCCUACAUCAAAGGUUCUACAUCAGCUAUAAAGGCUGACAAAAGAUGUCAUGUCAGCUAACAAGGUUGAUAAAAAUAUGCUAAAAUUUAGUUCAAGGGGAUAAUAGAGACCCGUGAAGUUAGAGUGUGUCGUAGAAAAUUUGAUCAUAGUUUAGGCGGUACUACAUGUUUUACUCUUAAUCAAACUCUCAAUAGUUUGCUCACUUUAUAUUAUUUCCUUCAUUUCAUUUUAUUUGACACUAUUUUCUCAUUACAUCGUCAAAAUAAUAUUAACAUUCUUAAUUAAAAGCUUUUAUAUUCACACAAAUAUUAUGACAUGUGUUAGAGUUUGUGACCCGAAUUUUGUUGAUCCAGUCCUAAAAACAUCGCGGUGCGACCCAUGUUUGAGAUUUUUUGGGGGGUCUGUGCUGGUAGCGGAGGGGUCAGGCCUAUAGUGGGUUGAUUUUGGGCUUAGAAUUUAUUUGUACGCGCGUACUAUAUAGUGUAUUUCCUCCUCCUCUGCUUGUGGCUUUUCCCGUCAAGGGUUUCUACGUAAAAUCUAUGUGUUCUUAUUUUCUUUUGUUUAUGGUAUUGCUUAUUCCUGUCUGUUCAAUGACAACGUGUUUAUUGUAGGAACCAAAUAAUCAUACGUCAUGAGAAAACUAAUCAAGCAAACCAUCGAAAGAAGGAAGCUAAAGUCUAUAAAGGAAAGAGAACAAAAGGCAAUCAAACUUCUGAAUUUGUUAUAAUCUUACCUUUUGACCACUUAAUGUUCGGUAAACCAAGAUUGUUAGAACACCUCUUGUUUGAGAAAUAGUUAGUUAGAAAGAAAUUGGCUAAAACAAGUAUUUGGAAAGUUCACCAACAGAAAGAAUAAUCAAAUUUCAAGAUUAUUAGAACAGUAUGAGAUUCAAUUUUAAUGGGGCUUACCUGUCUGCCACUUAGCACAGUGAUUUGAUUAUAAAACUAUGUAUUUACAAAAGAUGUGUGAAACAAACAAAUCAACAAAUGAAACUGUGUAGUUAUAAAAGUUUCUAAGUUUCCUAACAGAUAAGGCACAGGAUCGUAUCAUAUACUCAUUGCUACAUAAUAUUAACAAAUAGUUGUAAGUGGUUGUGCCUAUUCACUUUGGUGGCACAUUGGAGGAUCUAUAAAAGACAUAGGUUGUUCAAUUGGAAUAUUUCUACAAUUCCAAUAUAAAACUACAAUUGAAUUCUCCUCAGUUGAAUGAAGGAGAUCUAAUGAUCAUUAGAUACAACAUCCCUCAAAUUUAAAAUAAUUAUCGAUGACUGAUUCUUGGUGCACGUAAAUUCCACCACCCUGCAUCACCAACAGUUGCAGUGAACGCGCAUGGUCAAGGGAGAAAUUGAUGGUGUAUGAGAUUCAAAAGCCUUCUUCAAUAACCUUUAGCUCCCAUGUUCCGUCGACUACAACAGCACGUUAAACCUACCCAAGGGACUCGAGCUACAAAAUUGUGGAGAAAGAUCAGUGUAGAACUGAUAACUACAGUCCUCCUAUGUAGAACCUGCUGCAUAUUCAUCAACGGUCCAAGUGGAAUCAGUCAUGCCGAACCUCCGUCCUGCCACUGUCCUGUAAAUGAAGAAUUUCUCGACCGGGAAACUUUCUGGUCUAGUGUCCGGAUGACCUUAACACUUGGAAACCUCUGAGCUAGCAGAAAACACGCGACAUAACUUAAUGAACAAGAAGACAUCCAAAGAUACCGCAUCGUCUCCAGCUUUGACUUACAGCCUUGCCGCCAAAGGAGCAGUCUCAUAUGUCCAAGCAGAGGACGUUGUGGAGGCCUAGAUAUACGAAGAGCAUCUCUAGAUUCUUAGCACGCGAUCUGUAAGGAGGCCAAAAAGGGAAAGUUGUCGCAAUCCCUUGCAGUGAUGGACGAUGGCGUCAAAACCAGCAUUGAGCGGUCCAAGGGUUAGGUAAUCAGGAGAUUGAGGCUUGACUAAACACACACAAAAUCGGAUCAUGUUAGGAUGGUUCCUUGCAAUAGUAACUAAGGCGGCAUUUGUCAUUUUGCGGCAGAAGUGUAGAACUGAGUGGAGCUUAGGGAAGCCCGCGGAGAUAGCUACAAUGCCUCUCUCUGUCAAGGAUACAUUCAGUUCUUGCGCAUAAGGAAAUGCCCUAUGGUUUCAAGGUCCUUACAAUAGGUGGCAAUAUCCUCAAGACUGAUUUCGUCAACAUAACCACGCACCUGCAGUCACAAUCAGAUGCAAACUAAGAUCAAAACUUUUUUGUAAGGACAAAAGUACUCUGAAAAAGAGUAACCUACAAAGCAAAUAUACUCUCUCCAUUUCAAUUUAUGCGUGUUACUUCCUUUUUAGCCUGUUAAGAAAAGGGCACAUCUCUGUAUUUAGUAUGAUUUUAAUUCCAACAUUGUCAUUUUACAUUUAAUGAUACUCCUAUGUAGGAAUGGUAUUGCAUGUCUAAGACCAACAAUUUUCUCUCGGAAAUUUUUGCUUUUGCGACUAGACAACAUGUUCAUGAAGGUAGAUGAUUAAUAACCGUGAUAAAUUCUUCCAUUUUAUCACAAACACAGUUAUUGUAUCUAGUCUCGAAAGUAUCAAAAAUGUAUAAAACUAUACAAAAGAAAAAUCAAGCUAGAACUUACCGACAGCCACUGCAACUUGUAAGACUGUCUGAUCAUCAUACCAAGAUCAGGGCUUAAAACCAAAGGCGCGAGGCUAUGGUGAACAUGACAUACAAGUGAAAAAAUAGGCUGGCACUGCGUCCCAAAACCUGCUCAAGCCGUCGAGUUUAUAGCUGUCUUGAAAAGCAUACUGCAAAUUUAUCUGAACUCCGUCAGGAUCUGCCUGUACGCCAGCAAAGUAACAAAAUACAACCAACUGGGUAGCAUGGAGAAGAAUGUUAGGAAGAGCUUAGAGUCCUCAAAUUAGUGGCUUUUCCUGCGUUGAUGUAUCAAAAGGAAUAUCAACUUACUGUUGCAGAAGAGGCCAAAUGUUGUACAGCUAGCACCUAUUUGAACAUAUUGACCAUUACACACAGCAGCCCCUCAACUCCAAAUGUUCAUCGGUGGCUGAUUUGUUGUGCACGUGAAUUCCACCAUCCUGCAUAUCACAAUUCAAACUCUUUGCACGCACAUAUUCCACUUCUUGUUGCAUUGGGAUUUCACAUAUUUGUGAUGAUGAUAUCUCUUGAAAGAUUUACAAAAACUUGAAAAAACUGAAAUGAGUUGGAAAGAAAUAAACUUUUAUUAUUUAUGCUUCAGAUUAUGAACUAUUGACUAACAAUUCUUUAAACAACUGAUGGCUAUUGUUUGACGUAAAGAAGAGUUGUUUGUUUUCAUUUUCUUUUCCUAUUUCCAUGAUUGUACUUUCCAAUAGUCAAUACCAAAGUAACUUCCCCUUCUAUUUCUUUCAAUGUUCUCACGAUCUGAUGUAUAAAAUGUGCAUAAAAUUUUAUUAGGUGGAAGAAGUUAGAAUAGAAGAAAACUGAAAUAAGUAAAGAAUACAAGAAUAUAGCUAGAUUUGAUACUUAUUUUUUCGAGUUACCAAGGUCAGGGCCAAAUGUAAAUUUUUAUACAUGUAAAUGAGAUGAAGAAACAAAACAACAAAUACUUGCUAAAUUUUGACUUAGUAUUAUUCACGAACAGACAGUUCAUCAGACAUAUAGUAGACAUCAAACAUAAGAACCGGAACAGCACACGUAUAUAAUAGAGAAGAACCUGUUAUGGUUGUGCUCAAGGCUUCCCCCACAUAAUUCUUCAAGCUACUUAAAUAAUGGGAUAUUAUUCGGGCCAAGGACCUCAAAAUCCCGUCCCAUAAUAUCUUCAACAUAUUGUUGAAUCUCCAGAGCUGAAUCUUCAAGUUAAGGGCUCUCGUCAAGUUGGAUAAUUUUUAAUGAAUCAAUAUCCCCAAAAUUAGGCGGAAUCUCAGUAAGCUUAUGAAAUCUGGACAGUUCUAAUUUCUCAAGCACGGGAAACGCUUCCUCUCCAAACUCCCACCUAGCAAGCGUCACUUCUUCCAACACCAAAUAUUUGAGAUUCACAAAGGUGUCUUCCUCCCCCAUGUUCCAUUCCUCCCCUUGGAUGAUUGUACUCAUAAGGAACAACUCUUCAAGGUUGGGCAGUCUCGCUAUUGUUGAUAUUGAAUCUGAUGCCAGAGGAAAGUCAUACAACACCAAUGUUUUCAAAUUGGAAGGGAAGUGAAAAUCCCACGACCAAUUUGUCGCUAGAGAGGCCCCACAGUCAUUUGCAUUUGAACUUUCAAAAUUUGCUCUAAGGUAAUCUAGUUCAGCUAAGUGAUCCAAUUUCGGGAACCAAUAUCGCUCUUUUGAGUAAUCCCAUGAUUCCUUGAGAUCAAAUACAAGACUUUGAAGAUUGGGAAACCUUAUGAAAAUAUCCACUAUUUCUUUUGAAUAGGAAAG
rnacentral:lncRNA from 1 species